rnacentral:lncRNA from 1 species
GAGACCGGUCGCAUUGCGCGCAGCAGCUCUGGCUGCGCUGGGAGAGCUCUCGGAGACCGGUCCCUAGUCGGGGAGACCGGUCCCCGAGCCCGAAAUCUGCCCAGUCCAGGCAGUUGAAUAAGAUGAAAGUUGAGGGGUUUAUUAGCAUUUUUGCAGCCCAAUGGUUAUGUAUGAGGGACAUGAGGGCUUUUCUCUCAUUCCACUCCCUCUCACACUCUCUCCUCUCUUUCUCUCUCUAGAAGACAAAGAAGGAGAAGAAGAAGACAAAGGAAAAGAAGGAAAAGAAGGUGGAGGAGAAGCCAUUGGAGUGAAGCCACUUCAUCUUCUUCCUCUCUAGUGCAAGUUAGGGAAAGCUUUGAGGUAAGCUUCAACCCUAAUCAUGCUAAAACCCUAAUGUGAGAGCCAAAUGACCUAGAAAUGGUUUUUAAGGAGCUUUUAGAGUAUGUGAAGCUUUUCUUUUGCUUCCUUUGAGAUCAAGACCAUGGGUUUGGUGUUGGAGGUAAAGCUUGAAGGAGAGCUUGACCCCUCUCAUGGUGAAAUCCAAACUAGGGUUUGGAAUGAGCUAGGAAUGGUUUAGAUGAACUCUUUAGAGAAUAUUGAAGCUACUUUUGCUUCCCAAUGAGAUCAAACCCUAGGUUUGAUGAUGCUAUGGAGCUAGGGCACCAAAAUUGGGGCUUUUGCUCAUAGGGAUUUCUAAGUGUAAUUGACCCUCUGGAAACCUAAUUGGGGGUAUUUCGAGGUGUUGGUGCAUCGGAUUAAUGUUACGAAAGCCAAUGUAAAGUUAUGGCCAAAUAGCCUAAUUUGGCUUCGUUAUGCCGAGGUAAGAACGAAGGGUCUAAAAAAUCCCUAAGAAAAUCAUCGGAGCACCUUGAGAAGCAUACGAGGUGGGUGGUGCUUCUCAACUCAUUGAACUUCUCUCGUAUGCCUAAUGUGUAAUUCAUUUGAGCUGUGUAUAUAUAUUGUUGCAUGCAUUUUAGGUAAAUAAUGAUGAAAAAAAAAUUUGAUGCAUGAUUGUCAGUACAACUUGCAUAAUACGAUGUGAGUGAGAACUAUGUGAAUGUCGAAAACCAUAUGUGUAUGCAUGAGAGAAAAGUGAGCACCCAAGUGAGCAAAAGAACAGAGUUGCAUAUGACAUUAGAUCGAGUGGCAUUUGAAAACGUAAAGUAAAUGUGACAUUUAGAGUUGGUGAGGCCAAGAGAACCAAAGUGAUGUAAAGAAUGAUGAAAUGCAAUGUGUUAAGUUAAGUAAAAUGGGACAAUAAGAACAAGAAAUGUAGAACAAGAUGCUAAAGAUGGAAAAAGUAAAAGAAAAGUAAGUAACAACGAUUGCUAGAAUGGCAACUAAAGUGACAUAAAGAACAAUAGAGUAUUGUAAAGUCAAGAUUGAACUUAUAAAUUCUUUGAGUUAGGAUAUGAUCACUUAUUGCUAUGAUUCCAUUGUGCUGAGGGCGGUCGCUCCUCUCGGGCGAUGCCGUCCGGAGGUAUGCUCGGGUGGAGUAAAACGCAAGCGCUGGGUAGUGAGUCCUGCGAGAUGGGAUUAAUGUUGAAAAGUUAUGGUGCGGCGAACCCCGGGUUAGCCUUGAGUUAAGAAAAGAACAAAGAAUAAGAGUAACGUGAAAAGAACCAAGAUUUGCAAUAAUCUGCUUUAUUUAAUGUUGGCAUUAUUUUUGCUUAUUUGUUCGGAUAUUCGCUCAUGUUAUGAUUUGGUUUACUAUAUGCCAGCUUAUUCUUUCUAAUUAUGCUGAGUUAAGCCCUAGUGCGGAAGAUCGGUGAUGUUGGGCGAACACCACUGGAAACUUAUGUUGUAUUUCUGCACAAACUAUUUCCACAGGAGGGAGCGAGCGAGCGACCGAGGUAAAGGUAUCGCGCCUUAGUCAGAGGCCACCAAAGUUGGGUUUCAUUUUGUAGUAAAGUACCCUAUGAUCAUCUUUUGUACAUGAUGGUAAAUGAUGCAAAGAAAAGAAUGUAAUGUGUAUUUUGAGGUAAAUGUGAUGUAAGAAAGAAAUGAUGAAAUGAAAUAUAAGGAAUUCGAAAAUGAACAAGAUGAAUGCAAUGUAUAUGAUCAAAAAUGAAUCAUAGUACAAGUGAAUGUUUAGUUUCCUUUUUCUUUCACUAAUGGCUAUUGCUUACCCUCGUGUAAGCCAUUUGUGUAUGUUUCCGCUAGUGCUUUUCUCUAUUGAUGAAAAUGUACAUGUGAUGAGCCUUGGGCGGAUAGGGAAAAACUUUGUCCGUUCGGCGUCUGUUUGACGUGCUCGGGUCAGGCCAAAUUGGUAUCGGUCCCGGGGCAUGACAGAUAGAGUGGUAUCAGAGCCAAGAGUGAAAGAAUAGGAAUGGACUUAGAGACCCUUAGGAUUGGAAGGCCUUAAGGAUCUAGGAAACGUGAGUGACGUGGGAUCAAAGUUAGCGAAAGCAUAUGAUUGGGUUAAGUUGGGACGUCUCUAAUGUGAUUAGAGGCUAAGUUUAAAUUUCGUUUAUCCUCUACUUCUAGUAUUGUGUCGGGCGGCCGACAACAUGACACUUGAGGCAAGGAUGAAUGUGCAUGUUGCUUUCGCCUAAUUGGGUAUGGUCAAGUAGUAUUGGUCAAGUGACUAAGGGAAAAGAAGGAGAAGAUGGAGGAAAUGCAGGAGAUCGUCGCCAUCGCCAUCCUCUUCGUCUUCUUCUUCUCCUUGGAGCUCUUGGAGAGGUGAGUUUCAUGGCUUCUUGUAAUAGUUCCUUGUAGAUGGGUUCUAAAACCCUAGAAAUGGAUUUAGAGGAACCCUAGCAUGCCUCUAAGAUGAUUUCACCCCAUUUCCUAGAUCGAUUUGGUGGUUUUGAUGUUGAGGGCAUUCUAGGGCAUCCAUGGGGGUUUUUGUAAAUAGAUGGGAUUGAUCUCAUUUGCCCCCUUGUAAACCUAAUUGGUAGGUAACGAAACACGUUAGCUCAAAUCAUCAACUCUAAGGUCUCUACUACCUUAGGAUCUCAACUCAGUCCACUGGCUUCUAAGGUCUCUAUUACCUUAGCUCAAACCUCUAUCUCUAGCUCAUAGGGUUUUACUACUUCUAUCAAGCUAACCACCCGACUCGGCUUCGAGUCAAUCAUCCGCGGAUAGUCCGCGCACUGGCUGCUCAUCAGCCUACCGCUCUCUCUAACUCAGCCUCAUAGCGGCGAAGUCGUCGCACACGCUUAACACGGCUCGAGUCGCUUGACUUAGCCAUCUGGUGGCAAUCACGUUGCUCUUACCCAGCGUGAGCUCGAGGCAUGACAUAUCGUCUGGCGGCGAACGAAUCGCACCUCACCCAACAACGAUGUCAGACUCAGCCACCUGGAGGCACCCGCAUCGUACUUACCCAGAUGGAUUCAGUCUACUCUGGCGGUCUGAUCCUUAAAUGGCUUAACCAUCCGGCGGUGAAAUCGUCGCACAAACGUCACGACAAUGGUGCAAGCCCCGGCGGCGAUCUCCAUGUGGUCACCCCCAAUCCUCCCUCGGUAUCAAGCUCGGCGGCGAAAUCGUCGCACAAACGCCCUAGCCUUUACCAGGGCCAUCACAAGUCAUGGGAUUCCGGAAUCCACUUCCCACAGGUCGAGGGUCCAUAGCCAACCCUAUACUGUCGAACUAGCUCAUCCUAGUGGCUGCUACCACUAUGCUCAACAACCUAGGUUCCAACACUCUAGGUUCUAUGUUCACAUCACAUAACCUAGACACAACCUCUAGGUUCUCGUCAUCGUUACCUAGAUGUCCACUUCUAGGUUUACUAGAUCGACCUAUGUUUGCUAACACUAGGUUCGAUGCCACACCUAGACUUGUUCGACUCUAGGUUCUCUUGUUCAACCUAUAUUCUUUAACACUAGGUUAGGUGCCACUCGAUCUAGUUGACAUCCUAGUUGUCCAAUCGAGUAUCUCAUGUCAAUCAACUCUACUCAACUAGAGUUAUUAUCUAGUUUACAUGCAUAUAUAUAAACAUUCAACUACUUGUGCAUUCAUGCGCUAUCUAGCAUUUUCAUAUUGUUCAUUAUGCUUUCUACCUAGCAUUAUCAUUAACAUGCACCAUUUAGCCUUGUCUACAUGCAUCAAUAUGAGAUUACAUUGCUUAGACAUAAAGGGCGACCUAGUCGCUUCGGUAAGCACAACCCACCUUAGUUAGCUUUCCGAUUGCUUGUCGACACUUGCAAUCGGCCUCCCGCGGCACUCGGCAUCCGUUUGGGCCCGAUCUCACAGUUGCUCCCCACGAGCGCGUCGCUUCGCCGUUUCAAGUGCUAAAGGUCUUCGCCUUGCUGCUACGGUGCUCGGGACCCGAUUUAACGAUUUAUGGAUGUCGCCUUGGCCUUCCAGGCGGAAACGAAGCUCUGAGCGCCCGUUUCUUCGAUAUCUUUACAACGGCUUGUCGGAUUGCCGAACCGACUUCGCCAACGUGUUUCGUUACCUACCAAUUAGGUUUACGAUGGGUCAAAUGAGAUCAAACUUAUCUAUUUACAAAAAUUCCACUUGGAUGCCCUAGAAUGCCAUCACUAGCAAAUCCACCAAAUCGAUCUAUGAAAUGGGGAAAAUCCUUCUUAAUAACAUGCUAGGGUUCCAAUAAUACCAUUUCUAGGGUUUAAAAACCUAUCUACAAAGAUCUACCAUGAGAAGGCUUCAAGCUUACCUCUCUAGGUUUGCUCCAAAGGCAAGAAGAAAAUGAAGAGGAUGAUGAUGAUGAUGAUCCUCUUCUUCUCCUCCAUCUUCUCCUUCUUUUCCUCUUCUAUUUUUCUUUUUCUCUUCUCAUUCCUUUCUUCUUCCCCCAUUUCCUCUGCUAUGAACGGAGAGAGAGAGAGAUAGUGAGGGAGAGUGUGAGGGAGUGAGAGAAAGAGAGAGAGAUAUCCCUCUCUAAUAGCCCCUAUCAUUUUGUAACAAUAUCCAUUUAGGCCCCUCAACUUUUCACUUCUUGCACAGCCCUCACUAGGCUGUCUGCGCGCGAAGGGACCGGUCUCCCCGACCUGGGACCGGUCCCCAGGGCCUCCCCUCGCGGGUACGCGUUCGGAAACCGGUCUCCCCCUAAGAGACCGGUCCUCGGGAGACCGGUUCCUCUCGGAGAGACAGGUUCCCGAGAGUUGAACUUUCGGGACUUAGCCGAUUUUUGGCCAUUCUCGUGGGUGUCGCAGGCUGGGACUGGUUCCUCAUCUGCCAGGGACCGGUUGCAUCAGCAACCCCGCAGCCUUCAGCUGAUGGGACCGGUCUUUCACCUCCAGAGACCGGUCCCCGAGAGCAACCUCAGCCCAAAAAUGCAGAUUGCAUUAUUUGCUCUCGCGCACUCCAUUCCAAUGCACUUCUUAGAUUUUGUGCAUCCUAACCUUUUCCAAAGCUUAUCCAAUCGACCAAUAGUCGAUUUUGGACGAAGCGCAACUAUCCAAUUUGAGGAAUUCAGGGUAUGACACCAAAACUGUGUCACUCCGACUCUAGUACACGUCAAUUUGACGAAAGAACUAGUUCAAGGUCAAAAAACCCAAACCGCUGAUUCCAAUCAGCAAUCAAGGAGGAAAGAUAGGCAUCACAACCCUAUCCAAAGAUAUGCGGAAGCAACACUAACAAUGCAGUCGUCUAAACGACCGCUAUCCAAACCCUAAGCUAUACCCUAGUAGCCCCACUGAUGUCUCGACCGUAACUGGUCUAAGUACCGUCUCCGUGGAGACACUCGCAGUAGCUCUCAUGCCCUCAGUAGGAAGAGUGGCCUGGGUGUCGACAGUUAAGACACUCGCCUAGGCUGAAGAUCACCUGGCCCUUCAAGGCCCCACCUGACAGAAGUGGCAACACCUGGGAAACGUCGCCCCACCACUCAAUGUCCAAAAAGAAGCACCGCCACUACUCCCGACUGAGACACCAGCUUGUACGAAAAUCGUAGUACAUAAGGAAAUAUCCGUGCAUUCGAGUUUACAAAUCUCGACAUGCACACCGGGACUCAAGCCCAAAUCCCGCACUCACGUGCCUAUAUACCGUAGGUCUUCCUAUAGGUCAACCUAACCAAUGGUUCAGUUCAUUUGGUUCAGUUCAUUUACUUUUCAAAACAACCUGUGAAUGGUGUCGUGGUUGUAACUUGUCUCUGAUACCACUUUAAUCUGUCACGCCCCGGGGUCUUAUUUAGUUGUGGUUGUAUCCGAUUUUCUUGUUGUACUUGUGCGACGCCAUGUAAAUACAGGGGAGACUCUGUCUAUGUGCUUUUUGUGCCAAAAAACUCAAAUGCUUCCCAAACUCUAUGAAGGUUAUCUAAAUAGUUUCCCAUUACUAUUUCUCACCAAAACUCUACUUUUUGCGAAAGUUCAAUGCAUUACAGUGGCUAUGAUGAAAAGAGACAUAUGCGUGAGUUGUUAUUGCCUUACAAGUUAUGACUUUGAGUUUCACAGAUGAAACUUUUUUUAAAGAGGGAGGAAUGUAUGAGCCGCAAACCACAUAGGUGGACUGUUGAUAAGAAAUAACUGGUGAAAUCAUUAAGUGAAAUGAUCAUGGAAGAGUUAGAGACGAGACGCUGAGAAAAUGCAAAAGUGAGAACUUUGGUGGAAUCCAGUGAAUUUUAGAAUGAUAGGUGAAAUGGUGACUAAAUGUCGUAUUUAAAGUAUUUGGGCAUAAUAAGAGAGGAUUAGGAAGUAUUGGAGAUGAUUCGGUCAGAUUUGAGAGGUAUCGGGAUCUACUAUGACAACUUAUAGUGGCAGUAUUUGUCGUCACUAAAACUAUUAGUGACAAAUUUUUUAUUUUUAGUGAUAAUAUUUUAUUGUCACUUAUAAAUCAUUUUCUUAUAUUAUAAGGUAGAAGAGAGUUGGGAGGAAACAAAAAUUUCAGAUGAAUGAUUGUGCUCCGAAGUUCAAUUAUUUUGAUAAGGAAAAAAUUGGAAUUCCCUAAUAUGGGAAGGUUUUGAAAGUGUUUAAAGUGUGUUGGAGUUUGGUUGGGUUGGAUUUGAUUUAGAGAGAAACAAAACGAAAAUUGGAGUUUCGAAAAGAAAAUGAAAAGGAAAAAAAAUGCUGAAACCACUAUUCACAGUGUCAAGGUUCAGAUCUUGUAAGGACUGAGAUUUGGCAGAGUAGCUAAACUCUCUGUUGACGAUGUUUUUGUGUGUAUUUUAAUUACAAAAGCACUCGUCAAGUUUCGGGGAAAAACGAGUUAGAAUGGAGAUUUUACGCGACCUUUACUUUUCACUUAAAGUGAAUAGUAACUCGGUUUUUCAGAGAGGCCAAUAAGUAGAGUUAGCUUCUGGCGUGUAUCGGACUCUGUUCAUAGUGAUCCAAUAGCUCGUUUUCAAUGGUUCGGCUAUCCUGGAACUAAUGGCACUGACGAAUUUUAGGUUUGACGCACGUAUUUCAAGAAAACUGGAAUUGCAUGUAUUUUAUUUAUUUGUGAGUAGUUUUUCCUUUUGGAGAGAGAAUGGGUUUUGUCGCAAAUCCGUGACCAAACGAGGCGAAACAAAAUUUUGAGUUUGUUGUCUCUAUCGUGCUAAUCACACUGGUGUGAUCUGUUCGCAAAUCUGACGGACGGAUCCCCUGAUAUCGCGCGUUGAUCGAGGAGGGGUCAUUAGUGAAAAAAACGGUAAUUUUGUGAAAAUCUCGAUAUUUUAUGUACCGUUUUGCGUGAAAUCGAUUGUGGGGGUGUAUUCGCGCGUUUUAUAUGCACUGUGAGGGACUCGGUGUUAAAUACUGAGGUUUGGUGGGCUAACUCCCAAUUUUACACCUUCUAUAUGUAUAGCUCACCUAGGGUUUGCCCCAUGCAAACCCUAACUAGCCCCAGCUGACCCCGCCAGCAACCUCUCUCUCCCUCACCUCGUGUGCCGCACACCUUCCGGCCGCUGCUGACCGAGCCCGGUUGGCUAGCCGCAGCUGUAGCCAUUGCCAUCUUCCCUCUCCAUCUUUCUCUCUCUCUCUCUUUCUCUCUCUCUCUCUCCCUCUUUCUCUUUCUCUUGAGUUGAGAGGAGGCCCGAGGCUAUAGUGCCUCCUCGCUCUCUCUGCCGACGUCGCCCUGAUCCCCGGUGCUUCCACCGCCGGCCGUCGCCGCCCCGAGUGCCGCCGCUGCCGCCCAAGCCACUUGUGGCCAUCUUGGUCCAACACAGGUUGAGGGAGCUUCAGCUCCCUCCCCUCGCGCCGCCACCGCUUGAGGUCGCUCCUGCCGUCUCCCUCGGAGCCCCAGCGACUUCCUCCGCCGGCCACAGCAGCCUCGAGCGCGGCCGUCGCGAUCCCUCUCUACUAGCGGCCUUCCUGGGCAUGUGCGGGCUGAGGUGAGCUCGCACCUCCUCCCUCGCACCGCCACCGCCCGGAGCCACUACCGCGGCACCUCUCCGGCCUCAGGCAAUCCCCCGCCGUCGCCCCUGAGCUCCCCACCGGCUGCUGUGGCCGCCUUUGCUCCCGAACUUGAACCCUAGCCCGUGCGGGCUCCGGUUGCACCAGCGCCGCCGCCGCCGCCUCCCGCGUCGUCGUCUCCGAUCUCGGCUUCAUCAAACCCUAGCUGAGUAUUAUAUAUAUCUCCCUCUCUCUCUCCCUCGUCGGCCGCACCCGUCUAACACCGGUGGACCCGCGUCGAGCCGCCGCCGGCUGUGCCCUAGCUCCUACUGCUCUGGUAAGCUUUGUCUAGGGCUUUUGAUUACUGUUCUGGGUUGCGCACAUUUUUUCGGCGAUCCAAGGCUGUCCCGAUGCCUCCGGAGGUGAGCAUGAUGAUCGUUGGUCAGUGCUGAUCAAAGUGCUUACCUCACUUUGGAUCAGCAGCUUCCAAAGUUGCGUUUUCGGCGCGGUUUUCUCCAAGUGCGCGCUAUUCGCAGAAUUUUUGGGUCACUCCCGCGCCUCCCAUAGUGAGCCGUUGUGCUUCGAAUCAUGGGCACGGCCUUCGGCAUGUUGAGACCUAUCAGUACGUAUCUCGGCGGACCUCGGAAGCCUUCGGGUUGUGUUAACGAGCCACAAAAUCGCCUUAUUUACAUAAAAUAGUAGGAUUUUAUGUAAAUAGAGGGACUUUUAUGCAAUUUUACAUCAUGUGGCUACUGUAGGCUGUAUGUCCGUGCGGUAGUUGACCUCUGAACUGAUCGUCCAAGGCCCGUUCGCCUUUACGAAAAUCGGAGGUCGAGUUCGGUGCGUUUUUCGGCGAAAUUCGCCGACGAAAUACGGUUUUGGUUCGGAUUUCAUCCGACGGUGUUUGGUUACCCCGAGAGUUGUUGCUGAGCCUUGUCGUCUAGUCACCAUCGUCAUUUCGUGAGUUCGAAGAUGACGGGUGAGCGAUGGUGGGUUCCGGUGUCGAAAUUGACACUUCCGGGAACCCGGAUUCGAAUAAUUAUUCGACGAUAAUUGUUUAGUUGUAUAUUUUCAUGCUUGCUGCCAAGACAUCCAAAUCGAUGUGUUUUGUGGCAGCGGGUGACUCGUGGUAUGAGUCGAUGAGUUUCGGGGCAUUUAGUGGGUUCCAAUGGCGUCUCGGUGUGAUUUUCGAGACUUCCAGCGAGUUAUGGUGAUCGAUUUUGGGAAACCGAUUUUUGGGGAUUUGUGUGGGGAUUCGUGAGUUGUGUACCUUCGGUUUGUGGGUUGGAUGCUCACCCGGUGGAUCUUCGUAGGUCCGGUUGACUUGUGUACACCCAGUUUUCUGACGCAACAAUAAUAGGUGGGCGCUUCGAGCUGGUAGUCAGUGAGAUCGUUUCACUUUUUUCUGUUCUUCUAUAUCAGUAUUGUAGUCUCUACAUGUCGGUUGUUUUGGUUAUCGUUCGUAUAUCUAUGCCUUAUUGAUUCCAUGAUGAUAGUUAUUGAUAGACAUGUAGAGCAGGUUUGCAUAUAUAUUGUAUCUCUGUGGACCUUGGGUCCAGGCAAGACAUCGACUCCUCUGUCGUGUGUUUCUAUCUAGUUGAUCGUGGUUCGGCGUGGUACGCCCUUGUAUCUGGCUUCGGCCAAGGCACCGGCUUCAGCCGGCUUUCGCAUUGAGUAUAUUAGCAUGAUUUAGUCACAGCACUUGGGUGUAUUCAUUGACACGAAGUCAGGUUGGCCACCGACCGGAGGUGUACUUAUUCGGAUGGAUCGUCCAGUGGACGGGUGAAUCAGGUCGGUGCAAGCAAUGUGACAAGCAACGCUUGAGGUCUGCGGACCAAUAUGGCAGGCACCAGAUUGGGUCUGGUUGUGGUUUAAUUACCUUGAGGCAUGCUCAUCAUUGUAUUCCUUACAGUAGCAGUUUUUAUUACUUGCUUCUUAUUAUAUUUGUUAUAGCUACUGUAGUUCUCUUUUGUAUCACAGCAUCUGUACUUGUUUACUUUACCUCCUUUGGUUUUCAGUGAAUACGACUUACCUUCGUGGCUCUGUCGUACCCACUGGAAAAUCUUGAUUGUGGUUUCUCACUCCCCAUUUCCCAAGGUGGCUCGGGCAAGGAGUUAGCAUUGGGCACGACGGGAGGACGUUCUAGCUAGACUGCAGUAGCGACCGUCACUCGGGUUACUUUUAUUUCUGCUUCUAGUAAUUUGAAUAAUUAAAUGGUUAAGUUAGAUGAUCAUUAUGAAUGUUUGCAUAUUUGUGAAUUGGUUUGAGUUGAUGAUUUACUAUGAUGCUUGCAAUUGGAGUUGUUGGAUCUUCUGUUUUGGAAUUAUGUAUUUAUACUUUGUGGUUUUUUACCCCUCGAGGUAGUUGGUUUUCAAAACGGAGUUUCCGAGUGGGAAACAGUUUUAAAAAAGGUUUCGAAUGGUUUUAUGGAUGGUUAUAUACAUUUAAAAAAAAAAAUAAAACUUCCGGGUGGGGAGCACUUUUAAAUAGGAUGCUUGUUGUAUUGUGCAUUGCAUCAUCCAGUGCCUGAGGAGUGUGUAGAGAAUGCAUCAUCUCUAAGGAUCACUAACUAUAUGUAAAUGCUUCGCAUAUAUUGUUUGUGGAUUCGUGAAUGUAAGUUGUGGUUGUGAUCCUGAUGUUGUUGUUGGUUCACUGUACAAAUACAAAGGAGACCUUGUCCGAGUGGACAGAGAAACUUUAUAUUUGUGUCGUGUCAGUACGUCACGUGGCCAGGUUGAAUUCAAAAAAAAAAAAAAUGGCACGUUUUCCACAACUCUGGUUUCUAAAUUUGUAUUCGUUAUAAAAAGGCUUUUAAAAUUGGCCCUGGGGCGAGAUAGAUCUCAAAGGAAAUGUCCGGAUCUUUGCUGUAUAAUGUGUAGAAUAAGUUUCGAGUUUCGAAUUUUGGAAGGGAAGUCUAAACCUUUGCUGCAUAAUGCACAGAAUGGCUUUCAGGAUGUGAACUUCACAGGGACGGUAUGGAUCUCUAGUAGUUUCAGGCCGAAAGUUGCAUUGAAUGUAAUUUUUCAUUUUUGGAGUGUCUAAAUGGGAUUGUAACUAUCCUAUUUGUACCCUAACCAUUCCUUUUCUCUUUUCCAUCACUUCCUCUAAGGGGGCGUUUGGAUUGACGAAUUUGUAAAUUCAACGUAAGUCAAGUGUAGUGGUGUUUGAGUUUCCCUGAAGUGUGAUUAUUUUUCUGUUGUUUGUUUUCACGUAACUCGUACCACUGAAAGUUAAAUUCAAUCACUUCUGCUGUUUGUUUUGAUGUAACUUGGUGCUGGUAAAAUUAGUUUUUUGAGUUCCGUUGUUUGUUUUGAUGUAAGUAAGUGGAUCCCAUUAUCUCCUAAAUAUAGUAAUAAAUUUAUCACUAUAAAAUUUAACCUAUUAUAUAAUUUAAUUUUUUAUUAUUAUUUAAAGAUAAUCUUAAUUUAUUAUAAAUAAGGUAAUUCUAACCCAUUAUAAAGAAAGUAGAGUUUAGGUUUUACUGUUUAAUAAAUUGUUUAGAGAAGGUUGAGUGUGGUGGAAGUCGAGUUCGGUACUUUAGAGCCGGAAGUCGAGAGUAGGUGAAGUGGAGCUCUAACGUAACUUGAGUUACAUUAUAUUUUUCACUUACACCAAAACAAAUAACGGAAGUGAUGGAACUUGAGUUCCAUCACUCCACUUACACCAAAACAAACGGGCCCUAAGAGGAACCCAACUCUCUCCACUCCCUCAACCUCCACUAUUCUUCCUCCUUUUCUCUUCUUCUCUCACCAUAAGUUCUAACCCUCAAUUUUUCCUCCUAUGGAAGCUAGUUCCCCCAUCAUGCUUGGAAUUGGAUCAAGAGAAAUGGCAGAGUUCUUGGAAACCUAAACCAAGAUUCUAAAGCUUGAAUUAAGGAAUUAGUUCUUGAAAGAUAUGAGGAUUAGUAGUCUAACACUUUGUGUAGGGUAAUUUUUGGAAAAUUUGACGGUUUUAGUAGGGUUGAAAUUAAGGUUUGAUUUGAGGAUUUUUUUAUCAUGAGGCUUUUAGAUGAAAUUGAUGUGUAGAAUCCCUUCAUGUAGUUUGCAUUAAGACCUAGACAACUUAAAUUGAGUAUACGACAAGGAUUAACCAUGUUUAUGUGAGUUCUUCAACAUUUCUAUGUGAUUUUUUAGGAAAUAAUAAAAUAAGGAUUUUGGAUGGUUCCUAAUGGUUAGAGCACUUCCUUUAGAGUAGAAAAGUAGACUAAAAAACUUAGAACAAGAAUAUGAAGAGAUUUCGCCAACCAUCUGGUGAGUUUUUGUUUGUCGAAAUUAGUUGUCUCCUUCUAUGUCUCUUUUCUUUCUCAUGGGCUUAUUUCCUUUCCAUGGUAGAAUGAGAAUUCAUAAUUAUUAUAUUAUAUUCAUAAUUGCAUGUUGUGUAGGCCAUGAGUUGGAGAAAUGUAUGUCUUAUAAUUAUAAAAUUUGGUGAGUAUCUGGAGAUCUAGAGUCAUGUACCUGAGAACAUUAUUGUUAAUGUUUUUUCCCCUAAAAAUAAGUAUGUUUAGAGAGUAAAUGACAUUGGACUCUACUUUGAUUACAUGUUGUCUUUGCUUCAUUGAGAUUAAUAUUUGUGAAUAAGUGUCAGCAAAAUUAUGAUAAUGAGAAUACAAUUGGCUCGAGAACUUAGUGUAAUUAGAACAAAAGGUCAUUCAUAGUUCAAAUAUUCAUAAUUUGAUAAUGUAGUGAAAAAUCUCCUAAUUAUUAGUAUGAUAGCUGUAAGGACUGAGAUUUUUGACAGUGCAACUAAACUCUCUGUUGAUGAUGUUUAUGUGUGUAAUUUAAUUACAUAAGCACUCGUCAAGUUUCAGGAGAAAAUGAGCUAAAACGGAGAAGUUACGCGAUUAUUAGUUUUCACUUAAGUGAAUAGUAACUCUGGUUUUCCGGAAAAGCCACGGAGUAGAGUGGGCUUCUGGUGCGUAUCGGACUCCGUUCAUAUCAGUCCAAUAGCUCGUUUCGACCGGUUCAGCUGUUCUGGAACUAGUGGCGCUGACGGAUUUUGAGUUUGACGCACGGAUUUCGAGAAAAUCCAAAAAUACAUGUUUUAUAUGUAUUUGUGUGUGUGUUUCCUUCUAUUGGAAGAAGGUUGGAUUUUGUUGUGAAUCCGUGGUCGAUCGAGAUGAAGCGAAGGUAUAGCUUUGUUGUCUCUGAGGUGCUGAACGCACUGGUGCAAUCCGUUCGCAAAUCUGACGGACGGAUCUGCGGAGAUCGCGCGUUGAUCGAGGAGAGGUCGGUGUUGGCAAAGCGGUAAUUUCGCGAAAGUUGCGACAUUUUAUGUACCAAAUCGCAUGAGAUCAAACGUAGAGGUGCGUACACGCAAUUUACUCGUGCUGUGAGGGACUAAGUUGGAAUUAACCAGAUCCGGAGGACUUUGGUGCAAAGCGGCAUUUGGUAUAUAAUGUCUUUAGGGUUUCUAUGCACGAAACCCUAGUUUCGGCCGACCUAGUCUUCCAGCUUUGCCCUAGGUAGCUUCAGCAGGCUCUUACCCUAGCCGUGCUCGCGCUCCGACCGCCGGCGUGCGACUCCGGCCGCCGGAAAAGCCGGGUUUGCUCUUUCUCCACCUUCCUCUCCAUCUUGCUGCCUCUUUCCUGGCCAUGGAUCACCCGGAGGUCGUCCACUUGAGCCGUGCCCCUCCCCUGGCCAGGGCCCAACCUCCGGCAGCUCCCCCGCCGGUCCGAGCCGCCGCCGCGCGCCGCCGUCGCAGCCUGGGCGACCCGCGGCCAACAGGAGCCAGUUCUGGCCGAGGCAACCCUGCAUCUUCCUCCCCGCGCCGCAACCGCCCGGGACCACGUCGGGGACCUUCCUCGAGACCCUCCGGCACCUCCGCGUCCGGCCGGAGUGGUCGCCGCCGCCGCCGCGCGGCUAGGGCGUUGCCGCGGCUACCCUCUGGCAGAACUGAGUUCGGGCGGCCGAGCUCGGGUCAUCCUUGCAUCCUCGCGCCGCCACCGCUCCCUUUCGGCCGCGCCGCCCUCUGGCGACCUCCGGCGACCUCGCGCGCGCCUCCCCGCCGUCCCCACACGCCGCCGGCCACCGCCCGGGCUCUCUGCGGCCGUCCCGAGCGCGUACGGGCCCUGCUUGGACCAGUACGGCCUUCGAGGGCCGCCGCCGCCCACCGUCGGGAGCACCACCUUCCCCUCGGUCUCCGGCACCGGAUAGUUGCCGCCCCGGGCUCCUCCGGCCGCCGCUUCACUGCCGCCGCCCUUGAACCCGAGAGGAAUUUGGCGGACUUGAUCUCCGCCGCCGCGCCACCGGCCACCUCCCGCCGCCGGCCAGCUGGUGCCCCGGACCCCUUCGACCUGCCGCACCCUUCCCCGACCGGACCGCCCGCCGUCCGGCCACCGCCGGCCAACCCUAGCUCUCUCGGAUCUGGUAAGCUGAAACUUUAGUUACAGCACUCAGUUUUAGGGUUCCGGUCACCCUUCAGGCGAUCCGAAGGCACCCCGGUGAAUAUGGAAGUGAGCACGAUCAUCCUCGUUACAUGCCGAACGUCGUGCUCACCUCCGUUGGGGUCAACGGUUCCCCGGUUUGCGUGUUUGACGCGAUUAAGUGACAGUGCGCGCUGUUUUGCUGUAGUUCACAUUGCUUGUGCACUGUUUGGGGUUGUGUGUACUUUUCGGCAACCCGAAUGGUCUUUUUGACCUCAGGAAGUGAGCACGAUGAUCCUUAGGUCGUGCUGAACAUCGUGCUUACUUCCGUCGAGCCCUGAGAUGCCUUGGUUGCUCGGGCAACCGCGAUCUUCCUGCGGUGCGCACUGUUUCGCUGACUUUUGCGUCGCUGGUGCGCGCACCGCAGUCGCCGAAUGUGCUCCGAAAGGUGAGCACGGCCUCCGGCACGUCGAGACCUGUCAGCAGGUGUCUCGGUCUGGCUGCAUGACUCCUGGUUUGUGUAGACGGAUCAUAAAAGCGCCGAAAUCGCAUGAAAUAAUGCGAUUUCGGGUAAUAGGGAGGGCUUUUAUGCAAUUUGAUUUGUCGUAGCUGCUGUUGGCAGCAUGGGUGAGCUGUGGGUGACCUCUGGACUGAUGGUCCAAGGCCCUGGACCCUUGCGAAGAUCGAAAAUGUAUUUCCGGUGCGUUUGUCGGCAAAAUCCGCCGACGGAACGCGGUUUUGGUUCGAAAUUAUUCCGACGGUGUUUCGUGAGCUAUUGUGUGGUCGUUGAGCCUUAUAGGCUGGUCACUCACAUCAUUUCGAGAGUUCAGAAAUGACGGGUGAGCGACGGUGGGUUCCGGUGUCGAAAUAGACACUUUCGAGAACCCGGAUUCGUACAAUUAUCCGGUGAUAAUUGUGUAGUGGUGUUAGCUUGGGUUUGCUGCCAAAACAUCCAAAUUGGAGUGUUUUGGGGCAGCAGGUGACUCGUGGCUCGAGUCGGUAUGUUCCGGGACAGUUCGUGGCUCCCGGCGGAGUCCCCGUGCGAGUACGGGACUACCGGCGUAUUACGGCGAUCGGUUUGGGAAACCGAUCUCCAUGGGUUUGCUUGUAGGUUGUGGAUUUAGUAGUUAUUAGCUGUGGGUUAGACACUAACCCGGUGGACCUUCCUUAGGUCCGGUUGACGUCCUUUUUGCAGUCAGGAGACAGGCGCAGCAUUUGUACAGGUGGGUACUUCGAUCCGAAGUCGGUACAGUGGUGCACGCUCGGUGAUAUUCUUCUAUCCCUGUUCUUCUGUUUAUUGAGCUUGCAUCCCCGUUGUUUCUAUUAUACUCUACUCAUAGGUUUCUAUGCUUAGUAUCAUGUGUAGGAGUAGAGUAGUUUAUCCAUAUGUGAUAUCGGUGACCUGAUUGGUCGGUUCUCGUACUUUGUUCCGGUGACCUAAUUGGUCGGUUCUCGUACUUCGUUUCGGUGAUCUAGUUGAUCGGUGCUUUUAUCUUAUGUCUGUUGACCUGGUUGGUCGGUUGUUGCACUAUGUAUUGGAUUGGUCUGUUUCGUGACUUCUGUUGUUCGAUGACCUUUGAGGUCGGUGUACCCUGAGGGGCAGGAUUGUCGGCUGGUGCUGACGGUAGUUCUGGACUAUAUCUAAUACACUCCUGUGACCUAUCGGUCGGUUCUUGCGUUCGUACUUUUAGUUGACAUCUAGCAGUAUCUACAUAUUAUCUUUAUUUACCCUACCUAGUUGUUCUAUGUGUAGUAUCCUGUAUAGGGGUAGAGUAGAUGGCAUUCGUAUAUACUAUACUCGUGACCUGGUUGGUCGGUUCUCCUAUUUGCAUCGGUGACCUGUUUGGUCGUUCGUUACUUUCCGUACAUUGACCUAUCUCGGUCGGUUCACGUUGUUGCUUGAUGACCUACACGGUCGGUAUGCCCAGAAGGGCAGUGAUUGUCGGCUGAUUGCCGACGGUUGGCUAUUGAUCAUAUCCGCAUUGAUCGCCACAGCUCGAGUGCAUUUCACGUACACCAGCGGGUUGAUCCCCCGCAGGAGGGUGUUCUUUUCCGGAAAAGUGGUCGUACAUCCGACCCGUGAGCCCAGCGGUGUUCUCUUUGUGCUAGGGUUACAUGCCAGGUGUGAGCAGAUAGUGGCUUUUGCCUGAGGUCCUUAGACCGACACGGCGGUUUAGAUUGGGUACUUUUGGGACUUCUCGUCCGGUUGACGCAUAUAGCUAUAGUAGCGGUUGUUGCAUAUGUACUUCUAGUUCUUUCUUUACAGUUGUCUUGCUACUAUAGUAUUGAUAUCCUUGUAUGUUUGUAGUUGUACAUUACAGUAGCGGUAGUUGUGCUUUUAUAUAUAUAUACCUCAUUCGUUCAUUAUCGUUGCUACUGUAUUUCACUUAUCAUACUGUUGUUUAUCUCUUCCUGAUCCGGUGAGUACUCCUCGCCUUCUUCGGCUUGCGGUACCCACUGGGAGGGGAGACAUGUUUACAUGUUCUCACCUCCCCCACUAUUUUUCAGGUAUUACAGGUGUUGAGUUUUGGGACGAGACGUGAGGUACGUUCGUAGCGGUCGAUAGAGCUUCCGACCCAGGUUAUUUCGAUUUAGUUGUUAUCCUUGGUAUUUCUGUUGAUAUAUAGUUUAGUCGGUUUAUGUGGUUCAGUGUUCAUUUACAUUUGAAAAUGUGAAUUUCUGGAUUUUGUAAAAUAAAAGGUUUUCUACCCCUCGUGGUAGCGUUUUUAAAAGAAUAAAGGUUUCUGUGUAGGAAACAGUACCAAAUCGCAUGGAGAUCAAAGUAAGUGCGUACACGCAAUUUACUCGUAGCUUGUGGACUAAGUUGGAAUUAACCUAGAUCCGGAAGACUUUGGUGCAAAGCUGGCAUUUGGUAUAUAAAUGUUUUAGGUUUUCUAUGCACGAAACGCCUAGUUUCGGCCGACCUAAGUCUUCCAGCUUUGCCUAGUUACUUCAGCAGGCGUCUUACCUUAGCCGUGCCGCGCUGCGGACCGCCGCGUGCGAUCCGGCUCCGCCGGAAAAGACCGCGUUUGUCAUUUCUCCCACCUUCCUCUCUCAUCUUUUUGCUGCCUCUUAUCCUGGCCAUGGAUCACCGGAGAGUCGUACAUUGAGCGUCUGUCCCCUCCUUGCAGGCCCAACUCAGCAAGCUCCCCGCCGCCGAGCCGCCGCCGCGCGCCGCUCGUCGCACCUGAGCGUUGCGCGGCUUAGCGUCUCGCCGCGGCUACCUCAGCAGAUUAGUGUUCGGGCGGCGAGCUCGGUAUCCUUUGAUCUCGCGCCGCCACCGCUCGGCCUGAUCGGGGCCGCGCGCCCUCUGGACGUACCUUCCGGACGGACCCUCGCCGCCGCAGCCUUCCCCCGUCCCCAACGCCGCGGCCACGCCGGGGCUCUCUCGCGGCGUCUUCGAGCGCGUAUCGGGGCCUCUUGGACCAUACGGCCUUCAGGGCCGCCGCGUCCCACCUCGGAGACACCUUCCUCGUUCCGGUAUCCGGAUGUUGUCCGCGGCUCCUCCGGCCGCCGCCUUCUACCGCCGCGCCUUGAACCGAGAAAUUGGGACUUGAUCUCGCCGCCGCGCACCCGGCACUCCGCCCCGGCCGCUGGAUGCCCCAUUCGACCCUUCGUGACCUGCCGCACCCUCCGACCGAACGCGCCGUCGGCCACCGCGUCCAACCCUAAGCUCUUCGGAAUCUGUCGUAAUGCUGAACUUUAGUUACAGCACUCAGUUUUUAGUGGUUUCCGGUCACUUCAGGCGAUCGAAAGGCACCCGUUGAAUGUGAUAGUGCAGCCAUCAUCUCGGGUAAUGCCGAACGUCUGCUCACUCCGUUGGGGCGUCAACGUCCCCUGUUUGCUGUGUUUACGCGUUUAGUGACAUUGCGCCUGUUUGCUGUAUGUUCACAUUGCUGUCACUGCUUUGGGUUUAUGUAUACUUUUUCGCACCGAAUACAUAAAAUAUCGCGACUUUUGCGAAAAUACCGUUUUGCCACUACCGACCUCUCCUCGAUCAACGCGCGAUCUCCGCAGAUCCGUCCGUCAGAUUCGCGAACGGAUCACACCAGUGCGAUCAGCACGACAGAGACAACAAAGCUGCGAUUUCGUUUCAUCUCGAUCGACCACAGAUUCACGACAAAAUCCAACCUUUCAUUCCAAUCGAAAGAAACACACAAAAAUACAUAUAAAACAUGUAUUUUUGGAUUUUCUCAAAAUCCGUGCAUCAAACUCAAAAUCUGUCAGCGCCAUUGGUUCCAAAACAGCUGACCCGGUCGAAACGAGCUAUUGGACUACUAUGAACAGAGUCCGGUACGAGCCAGAAGCCAACUUCNNNUCGUGGUAGCGUUUUUAAAAGAAUAAAGGUUUCUGUGUAGGAAACAGCUUUUAAAAGGUUUUUGUGGAUUUCUGUUUAAACCUCGAAUGUAAAACUGUGAUGUGAAUGGGGAAUGUAUGAAUGUAUAGCUAUCUGUAUAUUCAUUUGAUUGUGGUUGUAUACUGUUUGUACUUUUGUACUUGUGUGACGCCGUGCAAGUACAGGGGAGACUCUGUCCGUGUGAACAGUGGAUUCCUUGUAUUUGUGGCGGAUCUGGCAUACUCUGGGGUCAGGUUUUUAAAAAAAAAAAAAAUUCAAACGCUUUUCCGCUGUAUUUCAAACAAAAAGGGGACCCCGGGGCGUGACAAUAGCAUAAUAUUCAUGUUCAUUGGUAUUAUAAUAUUGAGAUGCCUAUUUUUUGAGGAAAUGACAAUAGAGCUAGAGAGCUCUCAUAAUUAUUAUGGAUGGAAUCUCUUUGAUCAUAAUAUGUGAUCACAGCUUGUAAGGGCCAAAAUAAGAGCAUUUGCUCAUGGGGAUCACUACGCCACAGAACUGGGCCUCUUUAGGUAUAACCAUGCAAGUGCAUUUGCAUUUGCUAUUUGGGUGUCAACUGGGUGAUAGAUGUUGUAACACACUGGACCUUUGCAAUUGUAAGAUUCGAGUGUUUGCUCUGUGUUCCGAGUUUUUCCUGACAUUCUGGAAGGUCGUUGACAGUGAUCCGACCUAUGGCUCGAUCUCGAGAAUUGAGGUUUAAAACUUGGCACCAAAAUCCAAAAGGUUGGGUUGUUGGUCCUGCUCUCGGGUUAGCCUUAGCCAGGCUAUGUAUCGGUAUAGCCUUGAUGGUUGUACCGGUACAGGAUUUGUACCGGUACACCUUGAUGGUUGUACCGGUACACCUUGAUGGUUGUACCGGUACACUUCGAUUUUUUUGCCAACCCGAGGCUCGGGUUUGGGUGCCGCGCAGGAAGUGUACCGGUACACUUUCCCGUGUACCGGUACACUUUGCUCUACGGGCUGAUGUUGUGGGGGGGUGUUUUUGCAAUUGUUGCAAACCUUAUAAAUACCAUCCCAGUCCCCUUAGGAGCUCUUUUAAGCCCUAACCUGUGGAGAAGUAAGGUGAGACUCUUCCCCUUUGAUUUCUUCUUCAUUUUUGGUGAAUUUUGGUUAGUUUUGAUAUCUCCUUUCUUCUCCUCCUUGCUUUUUGGUGGGUUUCCUCCAUUGUUGAAGACUUGGAGCUUGGAGAGGAGCUUGUUUGAGAGGAGAUCUUCAACCCUACUUGGUUUAGAUCUUGGUUUGGGGCAUCUUGAGAGGUAAGUUGCACUCUUCUGCUCCUUGAUCCUUGUUUUGGUAGGUUUUGUGAGAUGCAACCCUAGAAUGUGAAAAUUAUGGUUUAAGUGGGGAUUUUUGAUUGGAGACUUCUUGAUCUUGAUUGACCUUAUUAGAACCUUCCUUUAGGUUGGUUUUGAAGGAUUCUUGCUCUCUUUGGGAGAUCAAGAGGCAUUUUCACCAUUUUCGGUGAGUUUUGCCCUUUUUCUUGAGUUGUUUAAUGUUCGAACCUAGAAUUGUUCGUAACGUUCGUGUAUCCCUCCUUUUGUUAUCUUUAGGGUACUCACUACAACAAAACUAUGUUUUAGCGGCGAUUAUUUUUUAAAUUAGCGGCAAUUACAAUUGCCGCUAAAAUAUUUGUGGCAAUUUUAACAAUUGCCGCUAUUGGCAGGGUCGCUAAAAGUUUUAGCGGCAUUUAUUCCGGCGGUUGGUAAAAAUCCAAAUAAAUGCCGCUAAAUAUUAUACAAUAACGACUAUUAUAAAUGCCGCUAAAUAGUAUGCAAUAACAACUAUUAUAAAUGCCGCUAAAUAAUAUACAAUAACAACUAUUAUAAAUGCCGCUAUAAUUAAUUAUAAUUGCCGCAAAAAACAUACUAAAUGAUUGAUUAAUAAAGCUUAUAGCGGUAAUUAAAUUAAUAUUAAAAUACUUGAUUAACAACUAAAUACUACAAUGAAUUGAAAUAUUAAAAAAUAUUAGUAACUAAAAAGCAUUAAUAAUUUGUAUAACAAAUAGUCUCAACUCUCAAAUUACAAUUUCAGAAUUCAAAUUAAAUUUCAAACAUAAGUUCUAACAAAAAAUACUUAUUCAAAAUGUAGCAAAAAAAUAACAAACACCGCAUGUCUUGCUUCCCACUUCAAUUUCCACAGCUCCAUAAUGAGCAAUUGCAUUACUCUAAAAAAUAGGACCAUUAUGUGUUUCCAGUAUAGGAACCUACAAUAACAUUAAUCUGGUAAGUCAACACAGGAAAAUACAUGCAACAAACAGCUGAAAUUUUCAGCAAAGUCUUGUUUGGUUACUACUAACUACGCUACCACACACUCUUCUCACUAUCUGNGAUAUUGAAAAGUUUGGCGGAAAUAGAAUACUAACUGCGUCAUUUUCCAAGCAAGGACAGCACCAAAAGUACUUUCAGUCAAAUCUUUAUAAGCAGUUAAUUAUAAGGAUAAGCAAUUGCUAGACAAAGCAGUGCACAAAAUACUUCUACAAUUCACUGGAGCAGUUAACUAUAACGAUAAGCAAUUGCUAGACAAAAAUUUGGCAAUGAAUAGUAAAAAAGAACACAAAUAGGCAUUCACAAUUUGGCAAUGAAUUGUGAAUGCUCUUUUUUUUUCCUUACAAUUGAUCUAGUGUGCAUCUAACCAAUUUUUUUUUCUUUUUUCAUAGAAAUAUGAAGAAAUAACAUAGCCCCAUCAUCAAUUAAAAUUAUUACUAAUUAUGAACAAAAAUAUAUAUAAAAUCUACAAUAAUAAUUUGCAUCCAAAAUUAAUUUAGUACAAUAGGAGCCCUAAUUAAAGACACAAAAAACACCCAUCAGAUCACACAUUUUAGACAAGAUAUAUCACAAACUUCUUUCUCAAUAAAAGAAAUAUGCUUACCCUAAAAUAAAAAAAAUAUGCUAAAAUAAACACAUAGUAAACUAACCUCCAAUGUGGACUACAAUUAUAGAAUGAUAACCUAGUCCAUAGCAAGUAUCCAAAGGUUGUAUUUUUCAGUUGAAGAUUGCAAAAAUCCUCCAAUAUGCAUGCUUCGUACUUAAAAAGAUUUAGCCCUAAUUCUUGAGUGCCUUUGCUCUUCUCUUCAAAAGAGUAGAAAAAUUUGUGAGGUAAGGAAGAGCAGCCUAGAGAUACAAAGAAAAAAAAAUAUUUUCACAAAAUAAAUAAAAGGAAGAGAGUAACUUGGAGAAGAAGGGGGUGGAAGCAGAGUUAGGGCAAAUAUAAUCCAAAGCGAAAGCAGAGUCGGCGGCGACUGGAGCAGUGAGGGAGAGUCGGCGGCGACGACGACAGCGACGACGACGGCAACGGCGACGGCAAUGGCGAUGGCCGCGGUGAGGGCGACGGCCGCGGUGAGGGCGAACGGCGACGGCCGCGGUGAGGGCGAAUGGCGAUGGCCUUUCCCUCUACUUUUGCUAAUAAUAGAUGGAGAGGGACAGAGCUAGAGAGAGGAGGAGAAUCUGGUGGUUUUGGGGAAAAAAGAAGUGGGUUUUGUGGUUUUGGGGGAAAAAAGAAGUGGGUUUUGGAAAAAAAAGGUGGGAUUUUUUUGCUCCAACCCCAUGGCGCGAACGGGAAAAAGUUCCCGCGCGUGAACUUGCCGACACGAGGCGUUAGAGUCGCAAUAUUAACAACAGAUGGUUAAAAGUGCCGACGCCCUAUGUAUGCAUCGCCAAAAAAGCGUAGCUAUACACUACUUUUUCUGUAGUGGAAGCUGAUAACACUAUUACCCAAAAUCCUGUUGUGCUCAAAAGCAAUAAAAGUAUUGAGUAUGUAAACCAUAUAUGAAAUUGAUAAUUUCUGUCAAUUGUUAGUCUCAGCAUGUUGGACCUGGGAGGUAAAGCAAAAAAUAGUAAUGCGUGUCCGAAAUAAAAAUAGAGGACUGUACGUAUAUAUUUCUACAAAAUAAUCUAUUUACCUAUGUAACAAUGAAGAGUCUCAAUAUGUCAUAUAUUUUCCUCAAAAAUGCAGUUUCUUAUAUAGACAUCCCUAAGUUUCUAAUAAUCCAAAUAUAGGGAGUAACUAAUUUUGUAUCGGAAAAAGUCCCUUUUGUUUCACUCAAAAAGAAAGUUCAUUUAAAGUGUGAUAAAUAGUAUCUAAUCAAGAAAAAGUGAACCGAUUAACUUACAAUAAUUUUGCAAACAACACUGAGCAAUAUCCGACAGCACAAAAAAUAAUGAUGCGGGAAAAUGGCAGCAAUUUGCAUUUAUAGACAUAAAAUCAGACCAAAAAUUUGAGAGAAUAUCUUCUCCUUCCUAUAUAUGUAUGUAUGUAUGUAUGCAACUUAAGAACCAGAUUGUAAGCCUAAAAUGCAAAUAGUAAUGAUAGUGCUGUGAGGAAGAUGGCAAGAAAUUAGAGAAAGAGACCCUUAUUAACAUUUCAUCAAACAGUUGGCAGGCGCAAUCGAAAGCACUACCAAUUUGGAACUUCAAUUGCUUUACGUAAUAGAGAGAAAGAGAGUGAAAGAAACUUCGAAGGUGGCGAAAAUAAAUGUCGGCUACAAUUGAUCGUGAUGUUUACCUGGUAAAGAAGUUGUCACAGUCAAUGGGAGGUAGUGGCUGAUACGGCUAUGUUGCGGCGCCAAAACUCACGUAGCAUGAGAGAUCAAGGGACAUAGCUGAAGGCAUUAAGGUUGUCAUUACCAUCAGCGUGGGAUGUUGCGACAAAGGCGAGGCAAUAAAGAUGAAAAGGGGGGGGGUUCAAGAAGGGAGAAGGUAAAGAGUUACAAUGCCUUAAUGUCGAGGCAUAAAAACGGAACAAAUCGUUUGGGGGAGAUGUACCGGCGCGAGAGCAUAGGGAACGAAGGAACAAAUCGUUUGAGGGAGAUGUACCGACUGCAAGGGCAGAGGGAAUGAAGGAACGAAGCAAUAAUAACCGGUUAAUGAGAAGAUGACCGGUUGUGAGCCAGUUGAUGAGAAAAUUAACCGAAUAUAAGCUCAAAACUAAGUAAAAGAUGCCACGUGGACAUAGGAUACGGGGAUUAAUAUAAGUUUAUAGAUGAGGACGAGAUACAUUAUGUAUAUUUCUACAUAGGAAAUGUUCUAUAACACAAGAAUUUUUUGAACUUUCUUUUUUCUAAUUGCUGCUAACUGAAUGGUCACUUCAAUAGUAUUUUGAACAUUUGCAGGAUUGGACAUAUUAUAAAAUCAAAAAUGUGUAACAUUUUAGUUUUUUUUAAAAAAAACCUUAAGGCAAAAAUUAUAUAGAAUUUUAAAAAUGGUAGAUUCUAAUAGGGGCUUUGUGACACCCCAAUAAUCCCACAUCGGAUGGGAAUGGGGUUGUCAUUGGGUUUAUAAGAGACUUAGACACUAGUAAUAAUAACUGGGCUUAAGCAUUUUGGGCUGUUGACUGGGCCCAACGAGUUAUCAUUGCUAGUGGGCUGGGUCGUUACAGGUUUAUUCAACGAUCAGAAAUUAAGUGAAAAUUUGUAACAUAUAAUUUUUUAAAGCCCGCUUAAAUUUUUCAAUUUUUAUUAAAAAGACUUUAGAGAAAAAAUAGGGAGAUAUUAGUUAUUAUUUUAUUAUUUAUAAUAUAAUGAACUCAAGUAGAAAUUACAAUCUAUUGCACUUUACUUUUACAACUAUAUUGAUAAUUUUCAUCAAAAUCAACAAAGGUAUGAAACAAAUUAAUUUUUUACUUUAAAAAACAUAUGAAAAAAUAAUAGUAAAAAUUAAAAAUACAAGAAUAAAGAAGAUGGUAAAAAUAAUUACGGAUGAGAAUAAACUUAUUGUUCAAUAUUAAUUUGUAGGAAGAGAUCAGUCCAAGACGAAAAUACGUGCAGCAAAUUUUUUCUGCCUCCAAUUGUCAAAGUACUUCUACUAUCUCCUCCUCAUUUGUUUUUUAUGUUCAAAUAUAAGAGGUAACUGAUGUCAUUGGUGAUGGCAACAAAGGUUUCUUAUAUAGGAAAAAAAAUAAAAUAAAAUCAGUGAAUUAAAUAAUCCAUAUCAUAAAAAUAUUUAAUGAUAAUUAUUUACCUGAAAUAAUUACUAGAAUUGAAGAAAAAGAACAGAAAUUAUAUACAUCAUUUAUUUAAUUUGUAGAUUGAAGAUAAUAAAAGAAUAAAUAUGUAUAAACAGUAAUAAUUUUGUAGUUAUUAUCUAAAAACCGAACCCUUUAUUGUGUAAGUAUUAAUUCUGCUCCGUCGAUUCUGCUCUGAACCACCGUUUCUCAAAGUGCAACGCUUCAUGCUAUCGCUUUGACUCCUUAUCAUAAUUUUUCGAAGGUGUAGCCGUCGGCUGCCGCUCAUUGCUUUUCAUUAGGUUAAAGAAGAAGGGCCAAAGUAGUGGUAAGUUUGUAAAAAUUUUCAUUGGACCUGGUGUACACGGUAUAUAGGUCACAGUACACUAAUUCUAUAUAUUUUUAAAUAUGGAAGAUGUAAUUAAACGAAAUGAGUUUAAGAUUUUGAACUAUAAGUUUAAUCUUGAAUUAAGAUUUGAAAUUCUAUUCUAAAUUUCAAUUGCAUAUCAAAAUUAAAAAUCUAAAUUCAAAUUUAAAAUUUUACUUCAAAUUUUAUUUACAUUGAAUUUAACCGUCCAAAGUUCUUUGAAUUAAAAAAUUAAGCUCAUGAUUAAAUUAAUUGAAUCAAAUUAUAAAUUUAUAACUGUGAACUUAAUUUGUUAACUGUGAAUUUAAAGAGCUUAAUUCUUUUUAAUUCAAAGUAUUUUUAGUAGUNUUCAAUUAAUAUAAUUCAGAAAUAUGGAAUGAAUUUUAGAGGUUCUUAUGUCUAAAUCUAAACAAUCUAUUAUUGUUUUGUUGUUCAGGGAACUGCAUACGCUCAGUCACUGUCAAGAAAGUGAAAGAAAAAAAAGUAGAUUUCCAAGUACUUGAAUAUUUAUGCGUCUCCCUUUCGCAUUAUUAGAGCAGAAAACUGAGAUAGUAUGGAGAACAUGGUACCUUCUCAAGCUAAUAGGCGGAAAUUACGAAUGUCAUGUUAACAUUCAGAUAGCAGCUUAGUUUCAGUUUCUAGUGACAUUUUAUGCGCAAAGAAUUGUGUGGUGAACUUGCAGAGCAUUUUCAGGAAAUUCAGUUUUGUUAUAUCAUUGAUACAUUCUUGCUAUUGAAGAAUUUCGUUACUGAUCAAGAAAGAAGCACAAACCUUUUGUGUUGCCCCAGAAUCCUCUAAUAUCGCCACAGCUUGGUUCAAUCUCGCAUCGAUUAUAUCUGCAGGGAACUCGGCCUCGACAAGCACAUGUAAUGGAUCAUUCAGGUGUUCAUAACCAGGUUUAUCUCUUAGAUUGUCUUCCUAAAGAAACACCAACUUUUCAAAAUUAAAGAGGGAUAAGCACUUCAGUUGCACUUACAAAAUAACACAUACUUAUCUAAAAAACUAUUUGAAAUGUCGUCGUAAGUCACUUACGAAAGCACUAAAAAUAAAAGAAUGUGCGGUGCAGCGAACUUUUGACUAAUGGAGAAAAAAGAAGUAUAAUUCAUAACCAAAUAAAUGAAAUCUUCAUUACUCAUUCUAGCCUUGAAUUCAUGAUACGAAGAUAAGUAAUUGAAAUGAAUAUCUGUAGUUCCAAAUGGUUAACUUACUUUUACAAAAUAAUGUAUUGAACUUGAGUAGCUUUCCCCAUUACCCAUUAACAAAGGGUCUCUAAAAAACCAUAGCAUGAUGCACAAAGAUAUGUUUUUUUUUUUUUUUUUUGAGAAUUACAAAGAUAGGUGAUAUUAUUCCACCAAUAUCAACUAUACGAAUCAAAUUGAGUUGAACGAAUGUCGGAAUCCUAUUUAGAUUUCCAUAUGACUCUAAAACACAUUGUACCUAGCAAUAGGACUUAAAAACUUGUCGGAAAACCAUGAGAGAAUGCAAUCGGAAAAACGACUUGAAUACCAAGUUCGACUAGACUAAAUCCUAAUAAAACAACUGUUUAGCAUGGCCGACGGCAGAGAUUUUUCAAUUGUCGACUUUUCUGGUAAAAUAUUGUCAUGCUUUGCAAACCAAAACCUGAAAGUGUAACGAUAUUUGAAACUUCAGUCGAAACUUUAUCAAACGAUGGAAACUAGAGAGUAGACCGGCUUACCUUUAAAGAGUCUUUUACCGAACCCCGCCUGCGUAUGUAAACUCUGCACUGAGUCGUAGCUUCGACUCGUUUCAAGGAAUUUCCUCUGCAACUAUUAUUCCUAUAUCAUGCACUAACUCAAAAGCAACUAUCAUUUCUACACAAGAUUUCUAAAUUGCUGAACCAAUAUUCUAACGAAAGUCAAUAUUAUAUGUAAAUUCAACUUCGGAAUCAACUUUACUUAAUUUUAGGCCAAUGUACCUUACAAUCCGGCUUGGGGCAUCUUCGAAUUAGCUAGAAUUUAGGCAGGAAUCAGCUAGAAUCCCCUAAAAAUUACAAGAAAGUUGGAGUCACAACUUGCAAAGAUAAAGCUUCAUUAUCGAAAAUCAGCACUGCGACCAAAAUUACCUCAAUUGAAGCUCAAUUAGACAACAAUUCGGCUAAAUAACUUGCUCCUCUUGCUUCUUACAAUCAAGUAGUCCAAGAGUAGGUUCCAAUUUAUCAUAUCUUGAAACGUCAAAAUGCAUCCAUUUCACCCUCAAGUUCAGUGGCCUCCGCUGAGAUGCACUGUAGUAACUGCUGGACUGCACCUUGGUGCUGCGAAUUUCUUGCUUCACAAGAAAAUCCAGCGCAAGACAAGGCUAGGGGGCGAUCCACGAGUGAUCUUUGACUUCUAUACUAUAAGAAAAAUCUAUAAUUCACUACGAAAUUCCACUGCAAUUAGGAAAUAGAGGUCAAUAAUUCAACUUCGACAUAAAAACAGUUUUCGACCUCGAAGAAAACUAAAAUUCUUAUUCAUCUUACCUCCAAAUUAGUCCAAACAAAAUUCAAAUCACUAGAUAAUGAAGUCAAGAUCACUCCCAAUCCUCCCAAAGCUCGGAUCCUAAAAGAAUAUCAAACAAAUUUUAUCAAAAUUCAAAACUAGUUCAGUUCAGUCCAGAAAAUCAGCAUUGCACCAUUUUGGAUCAACUUUAAAAUUAGAGCCACAAACCCGAUUUUCAGCUCAAGAAAGGUAUAAAUAGCCUCUCAACAUCCCCCCACACAAGUACAAGCCUUUAAUUUUGAAGGUGGAACUUCAAAACUUCACCAAUUGCACAAUAUAUCAUCUCCUCUGACUAAUAACCACUCUGCUGCCAGCUUCACUGCUGCAGUGAAGCAGCUGGCAGCACUUGAUGCUGCUGCUGCUGUUGUUUGCUAGAUGUGCAGGGACCAAACCAGCAAGGAACACAGAAAGAGGGAUGAGAGGGAAAGUCGCAAGGGUGCUCUUCAGUCAAAACACUAUAAUCAUCCAAAAUAAAUGAGUAAUUUUUCAGCCCAUAAGGAGUUGAACUUAGAUUAAGAACCAAAUUUCAGCAUCGAGCCAAAUCGGUUGCAAACUCACUUAGAACCAAGAAUUUAUUUUCCACUAACCUCUCACUUGGCCCAAGUAAGCUUCUAAUUAGUAAAAGAUGAAGAUAGGUUCGUUUCCAACCUAUCAAGAUCUCAGCCAAAAGAAGAAAAUCCAAAGAGAUUCAUCAACCGCAUGAACUAUUCAAAUUCAGCUCAUAUAAUAAAUUCGACUAAUUGAUAUGCCAAGGCAGGUUAUGCCCAAAUGAGAUGCAGAAAAUGCAGCCUCUGAUGAAACAGAAGCUCUCUGAUCAUGGGCAAGCUUUAGUGUUGAACUAUCAGUCCCCUUCAGAGUAGCACUAGAAUUCCUAUCAGGAAAAGAGUUUGAGCAAAAGUGAAGGUAAUUUAGCUAAUAGUAGAAUUAUAUAUCCACUACGAUUACAUUGUCAUUAGCUACUUGGUCCAAUAUAAAAUCAACGAACAGUGAGAUAAUUAAUUCUUUAACAACUCUUUUAAUUUGCGAUGUCAUUCUGGUAGUUUCAAUUUCAUCUCUUUCCUCUCAAAAUUGUUUAGCAGUUCUUCGACCAUUUAGCAAUACCUGAACUAAAAAAAACCCUGAAAAAUCAAUAGAAUUUAGUGUUCCCAGAAAGCAGUCUAAUACAAGUUAACCUACUUUUCGGAAACUCUAAAGCAACUAUUUUCUGAGAAUAUGAUUAUUUCAAUUCUUCCUAUCUAAUAUUUAUCUUUUGAAAAGCUUAGUAAUUUUUCACCAACAUCAGAAACCAGAACCUGAAACUCUAAAAAUAGCCAAAACUAAACUCAAUAAGCCUACACUGAAGCCUAUAUUGAGCUUUCAAUGAUCUAGUUAUACCAUCAAAUCGCAGUGAGACAGAUGUAACAAUGGCUUCCAGUAAUACAUAUAGUUGUUUCAGCAAUUGUGGACUAAAUAAUUGGAACAUAAGAGAGAGUUAUGCCCAAAUGAGAUGCUUGUUCUUAAAAACAAAACAAAUAUUGAAGAACUUCAUGCUUGUUAGUUUUAAUCCAAUGUUCGUCAAUUAGAUUUUGCAUUAUCCUCUUGAUGGAUUGUGGACCUUCAAAAAGUUUAGCAACGCAACAAGAAACCAUUUUAUAUUGUCAUUCAGUACUAUCCUCUAAACUCACGGUCAAAACUGAACAGAAAAAGCCUAUUCUUCGAUUUAAUACCAGGGGAUCUAAUAAACAACAGAGAAAUUCUUUAAGAAAUCAAUUUGGAUGUCACUACCUAGUUAAUGAAGUUUGUGAUGCAAUCUAGUGGUGACCGCAUAGAAAGAGACGGUAACAUGUCACACUGAUAUAAGCAUCCGUCCGUAAACCAAUAAAAAAACAUAUGUUAGACUAAUGUCGAGCAUCAUUACUGUAUAUAGAUUUAGAUGAUAACAAAUUAUGAGUUUCCGUGUUCUGAUGCUAAAUACCUGAGAGCUUUGUACUUGACUUGAAUUUUGAGAUAUUGGAAUCCUGCAGCAUCUCGCUCUGCACAUGCCGUAAAUUGGUAGUGAGGGCCUCGACACUGUGAUUCCUCAAGCAAGUGGCGGAGGAGCAGUCCUUGAAGAGCUCAAAGGCGUGACCGGCGAUGUCGUGAUUGAGCCCUAGAAUGGAGGCGACGUCGAUGAUUUGCAGGUAGGCUCGGAGGUUGUCGACGGAGACGAGCGGCCCGGAGGGAUCCGCGCCGCCACCGCCUUCUCCUCCUCCUCCUCCUCCGUCGCCGCGCCACCGCGCCACCGAGGAGGUCGCGCUCGAGCUCGGCGAGGUGGCCAGAGAAGGAGAGGGCGAAGCGGGCGAAGACUGGGGCUGGCUCGAGGGUCCAGGCGGAGAAGGCGAUGAUGAAGCUGGUGGGGAGGAAGGGGUCGUCGUCGUCGUCGCCGCCGCCGUGGUGGCCAUGGUCGCCUUGGGUUUGAGGAGAAGGAGGGGGUGAGGGAGAGAAGUGGUUGAGGGGGUGAUGGAGAGGAGAGGGUGAGGGAAAGAAGGGUCCGACGCAGGGGAGGGGUGAUCGGGUUGCGUUUCGGUGAGGGUUAGGGUUAGGAUUUUAUUAGGGCUAAGUAAAUUUAUUUAAUAUUUAAAUAUUAGUCGGUAAAGAUAUAAAGUUUAAACAAUUGCCGCUAAAGUAUAAUUAAAUAUUAAUUAAUAGCGGCCAUUUCAUAAUCGCCAUUACUAAAUUGCCACUAAAAGGUAAUUUUGUUGUAGUGACUAGGAGAGUGGUGGACACUCUCGUCGGAGCAAACGAAGGGUUUCGUGAAGUCGCGGUGGGUUUGGCUUCAUUGGAAUAGGAGAAAAUUUCUCCUAAGUGGUUAAAUGUCUUCGUUUCAUCGCAUCGCAUGCAUAUUCAUGCUAGAUAGAAUUUAUGUGAAUUUUAGAAUGCUUAAAAUGUAUAUGUUAUAUAUUAUGAAAAUUCAUCUCUAUAUAGUAGAGCCUUAUAUGGACUUAAUGUGCAUGUGAGUAGCAUUCUUCUUGUGGUUUGGAAACAUGUCUCAUAUGACGAAAAUGACUUGAAUUAUGUAUUCUUGAAUACUAAACUCAUGCUUGGACUUAGUGGGCAAAAGUGCCAUAAAGGGGCACUUGAACUAGUAAACGGUGAAACUGCAAUAUAGAGACAUAGAAAUAGGCCAUUGUGACAUCGACUAUAUUCCGUGGUUUAGACACGAUGACAUAGUGAUAGGCCAUUGAGACAUAGGUUAUAUUCCAUAUUUUAGACAUGAUAAUUUGAUACUUGAGACAGAUUUUACGCUUGCUUGCCCUUGUGCUCAUUCGCACAUGCUUGUGAGGGUCGCUCCCUACAAACCGGCACUUCGGAGAUAGCCAUCGCGACAUAUGCUCGCCCGUGGGGGAUUGGGCGCNUAAAAAAUUAAGCUCAUGAUUAAAUUAAUUGAAUCAAAUUAUAAAUUUAUAACUGUGAACUUAAUUUGUUAACUGUGAAUUUAAAGAGCUUAAUUCUUUUUAAUUCAAAGUAUUUUUAGUAGUAAAUUUGAGUAUAUAAUUUGAAUAUAAAGCUUUCUUUUACAAUGUGAAUUUGAAUUUAACAUUCAAAUAUGGUUAAAAUUUAUCAUUUAUUGAAUUGAGAAUAAUUGAUGCGAAAGGUAUUUUGGUAAUUUUAAGAGUACCGACAAAAUAAAGGGGUGAAACAAAACCAACAAACAUAUUUGCUUAGGCUUAGUUUGGUAUUGAGGUCUAUCUAACAUUAUUAGAUAAAAUGCAGUUAGGGUAAAAACAUAUAGAAAUAUGCUUCUGCGUUUUCUGGUAGGACCGCAGAAAAUAUAUCAUAACCGAUUCAUCGCAAUAUGCGGUUAUUACGUAUUAAUAUUUUUCCAUCGUACUUUUUCACCACACGUAACGCAAUCUUUCCACAAUCCCAAACGAAGCCUUAUAAUAAUAAAAAUAGAUUAUCUACAUACCCCAUUUCUUUUCAUAUCCAAUCACAUCCUCCUCCCCAACCCAAUCCCUAAGCUGAGGGCUCACCUACAAAAAUAUUAUAAAUUCGUUGAUUCCUCGAUCAAUCCACGGCGCAACGGAGUCACACAAAGAUGAAAACCCUAAAUAGUAAAUACCCAUUUAGAGAUCCACCAAGCAAUCCCAUAGCUAACCUCUGAAUCCAAAACUAAAAAAAUAAAAAGAAAAAAAAUAAUUUAUCUCAAUCACUAAACAAGUGAAAAAUGGAGCAGAGAUAGAAUUUAAUUGACAGAAAAUAUCAUGAUCGUGCUAAGUAUAAUUAUUAAAUUGACAGAAAAUAAAUUAAUAAUUAAUAAAUAGAAUAAUUAUUAGAUUUAAUAAAACUGCUAAAAUUGUGCUAAGUAUAUAAACUUAAAUAAAAAGUUUAAAAGUUCAAAAGUCUCUUCUUUUUUUUUUAAUAAAAAAGGGGGCCAAUUAUUUUUUUAUAAAAUAAUCUUCUAAAAUUUUAUUAUUUGCGAAAUAAUCUUGCCAAAAUUAUAUUUGAAAAACUAAUCUCUUAAAGACGGUGAAUAGUUCACCACCUUAUAAAGACGCUGAACAAUUCACCACUUUUCUAAUUUCUCAGAAAAGCGGUGAAUGACACCGCUUUUCACUUGUUUAUUACUUCUUUCUAUCAUCCUAACAACCUCAUAAAUAUUUCAACAAAGAUCCUAAUAAUCUACGUACAAUUUACCCAUACAAUCCUAACAAUCAAAAAGAUCCUAAUAAUCUAUCCAUACAAUCGUAAUAAUCAAACAUCACAUAUAAUCUUAACAAUUUGAAAAUCCUAAUAAUAUAUCCAUAAAAAAAAAUUCUAAUAUUUACAAAACAAUCCUAACAACAUCAUUUUUUUUUAUUUCCCAUAUAAUCUACUUACAAUUUUAACAACCUCAUUUUUUUUCUCUUUUUUUAUUUUCCGUAUAAUCUACGUACAAUUUUAACAACUUUAUUUUUUCUCUUUUUUAAAAAAUUAUGAAGAAGACGGUGAAUGAUUUACCAUCUUAAUACAUAUUUGAUAGGAUUGUUUUGUAAAUUAUAAAAUUUUAAACGAUUAUUUUGUAAAGAAGUACUAAAAUAAAAUCGCUAAUAGCUGAGGGAACGGGCAUUUAAGCGUUUUAUAUCUUCCCGUCUCUUUUUCCAUUCUUACGAUCCCUCUAGAGUCUAGACUCUCUCCCCUCCAUCGAUAUUGGCAAAUUCCCGGCCGACGUCGACGUCGACGUCGCCGCCACCACUCUCUCUGCCACCGACGCAGCCGCAACGUUAUUUCGGUGCGUUCGGAUUUAUGUUUUCUCUUUCUUUCUUUCUUCGCCAAAGUCACGGUGAAAAUAAAACCCUAGGUCUAUUUUAAACAUCUUGGCUAGAUUUAUGCUUUCUCUCUUCGAUUCGUUGCUUUUGAUGCCCUAAUCGAUCUAAUGUGUUGACCUAAAAAUAAAAACCCUAGUUUAUUUUUUUCUUUUAAUUUUUGGUUUAGUUUUGAACUUUUGUUUUCUCUCUUCAAUUCGUGGUUGUUGAUGCCCUCAUGGACCUAAUGUGUUGAUGUAAAAUUAAAAUCCUUAGUUUGUCUUUUUCAAUAAUUUUUUGUUUAGUUUUGGAUUUAUGUUCCCUCUCUUCAAUUCGUGUUUUGCAUGCUCUUAUCAGCUUGAUCUGUUGAUGCUAAUUUGUAAACCCUGAUUUGUGUUUUUUUUUUUAUGUUGGUUCAGUUCGGAUUUAUGCUUCAUCGCUUCGAUUUGUAUUUUUUUUUACGCUCUAAUUGGCCUGCUGUAUUUCUCGUAUGCUUAGACUUGUGCAACAAAAGAAGAGGACAAAUUAAAAAAAAUUAUUAUGCACGUCCUAAAUUGCUUAGGCUAGUACUGUUUGUCAUUUGCAUAUUAACCUAUAGACUAAUUAUUUCAGAUGAAAACGUUUUCCAUCAAAACAAUCACCAAGAUCUUGACGUUGAGAUGUUUUUCAUUGAACAAAGUAAUGGUCCAAACACUUCGAAUGGUGGUACAUUGGGAAGAUCAAAGAAGCAGAAGUCGCCAUUUGGAGAGAAUUUGAUCAAUGAACAAUUUUGUUCAACCUUGCAUUCCCUUGAAACUACAUUUAACGAUGCUAAUGGGCACUUUAGUCGGCUUGCUAAUUGUUUUCAAUUCAUAGUUUAAAGAGAUACUAAAGAUUGAGGAACUUGCGGAUGGGCAAGUAAUGGAUGUUAUUAAAAUCCUAUCGGGUGAUCCUACCAACUAAACACGUUUUCCUCGAUGCCCGAGCAUUAUAGAAAGGAAUAUAUUCUUCGUAUCUUACGUGGGAAUGGUUAAAGAAAUUGUGUUAUUUGACUGGUUUGAAAAAGUCUAAAGUUGGCUAAAGUGCACGGAGCUGUUAGAGCCUAGGCGCAAGGCGUAAGCGUGCACCUGAGAGAGGAGCGGUGUACAACUCCUUAAUAUACUUUCUAACAAUUGAUAAAUGGCACUGAAGAACCCUUUACAUUCAUACUAUCACAACAAACAUUUUAAGUAUCCAAUAAUCAUGUUAUUUGGGGAAGAAAAAGAAGAGAAGAAAAUAAACCAAACAACAUAUAUGAUAAUGUUAAAAGAACAGAUUAACACAAGUAAAAUGUAAAGACAAAAUACUUUGUUGUCUCCAAAUAAAGUCUAGUAUGAAGAUAAUGAGGAAUGUAAAACAUAUAGGAAAGUUUGAUGUCAAAAACAUAUAAAUUUAGAAUUUCUCAACCAGUUUGGCGGGUUUGAUGUUAAGAGCAUAUAGAAAAUUUGUGACAGAUGAGGAGAGGAGCGGAGAUGACAGAGGAAGGAGAGAACAAAGGUAAGCAAGAGGAGGGGGGUGGGGGAGUGACUGAGAGAGAGAUAGAGGGUUUAGGGUUUCUCAACACUUUAGUUUAGGGUUUAGGAUUUUUUUAAUAGUUUAAACCCAUUAGACCCAAUAAAAAUAUAGAUCCAUACACAUUAUACAUAAGGUGCGUCUUGUCUGCGCCUUGCGUCUAGGUGCCCAGGCAUGUGCCUAGGUGAGGUCGCCUACCUAGGGACUUCCUAGGCACAGGUCAAUGGGCUUUGCGCUUAAGAGCCUAGAGGCGAGCACCACGGUGCGCCUUUUUUUAACACUGCUAUGGACUAUUUACUAUUUUGGCUUGUCUUUUUGCAUUGCGUGGACUUUUAAGACUUCUAUAUUAUUUACUAAUGUAGGUGUUUAAGCUUGUACUUUUGGAUGGUAUCACACAUCUGGAUGGUAUCAUGAUGUGUGGAAGUUUGUAACUUCCUAUUAGAUGUUGAUUCUGUAUGAUGCUUUGUUAACUUGGAAACUUGUAAUGGUAGUAUGGUACUUAGCAUGUUUUGUUAAUUAUGAAAUAUCUAUGAUAUUUUAGUAUUAGGCAAGUGAAAUGUUGGAUGUUAUUUUAUUAUUGUGGCUUUAUGUGAUGUUUGGUUAAUGAUAUUGCUUAUGAAUGUGUUUUUAGUUUGAAAUUUAUGUUUUUUUGUAUGGUUGUUUGAUCAUGUGAGAUGGUCUUUUUCUAUUUNUCUGUACACGUGCCGGGCAGGCUUCCGCUGUGUCCCGGGGCAUGACAGAUUAUUUUGGUAUCAGAGCCUAGGGUUGAGUCUUAGUGGACCUAGCAGACCUUAGGCCGGUUGGACUAUAGGAAAUAGGCUCGUGAGAGACGAGGUCUAUUUGACUUGUAAGCGAAAGUAUCUUGAUUGGGUAUCCUUGAUAACUCUAGAAAGUGGAGUUAAAUCGAAGUGUAUAGCUUCUAACUUCGCGGAGGUUACGUUGGCGGCCGACAACGUAACAUCGGGAGUUAGUAGUGAAGGACACUUCUUUACUUUCGCAUGAUUUGGGUAUUAUCUUCUUGAGCGGGGAUUCGAUAGCGUGGGUUUUACUAACUUGCGUUUUUAUAAAGUUGUAGUGCGAUGCCGAUCACUCACUCCCAAUCAGCUAGAGCGGAUAAUGCGGCACACUUGGAGGAUGUCAAGACCUCCACCACCUCCGGAUCCGGCGAGGUCCGUGAAUUGAGGGGCCAGCUUGCGGCUGUCAAGCCCUGGGACUGGCGGAGGCCGUUCCGGUAGAGCGCCCAGACCCGCCAUAUGUCUACACAUAUAAGGCGUCUACGAUAAAAGCGGAAGUAAAGCAAGAGGUAGAAUAAAUAGAAUGAAUAGCAACUAAUGAUAUCAGAGCAAGUAAAGUUCUAUCAUCUAAACCAGAGUAAAAGAAACAUAUCUAAACAAUAAAAGUAAUCAUAAGUAAUACAAUAUCUGUCUCAAAGGUACACAAAAGGGGGGUCUGUAGUAUACUGGUACAGCUCUCAUCUUCUCCAAAAAGAAAUACAUCGAGAGGUAGACCACCUAAACUCGUCACUCGCUGAAGAGCUAACUCGAAGUAGCGCCCUUCCUACGGUCCCUAGCCUCUCCCGGCGUGGAAGGCUCUGAAAGAAAUCAUGAAACAGAGGGCGUGAGAACUAUAAUUUAUAGUUCCCAAUGGGCAAUUACUGACAUCAGCUCAAUGCACCACUAGGCCCCAAAAGAAAAGGGUAAGUAACGACAAUAAUAAUAAUAAACAAUAAAGAGUGAGUAUAAAAACUGCUGAAAGAAGGCAUAAAUGAAAUACUAUACUACUAUGUCUCGAGUAAGCUUGAUGUCAUGGUGAUGUGCAUCUACGCUAUCAUAAGAUGAUAUGUCCAAUGCAUACUAAUAUGCCUUAACAUAAUGAACAAGUAACCUUCACGAUGCAAUAGGUCAAUGCAUAAGGAGUACGCUCUAUCAAGCAACCUAGUAUACUAUGAUGCAAUGAAUGAAACAGGCAAGUAUACUAUAUAUAUCCCAAUGCUAUAUCAUGAGCAUGUCAAGUAAUCCAACUACUAAGCCUAUCUAGUAGUGAUUAUUCAUUCACAACACUGUGUCGAUUUUCAUUUCCAAUUAAGGACCUACNCCAAGCUAUUUAGGUGACACUAUAGAAUACUCAAGCUUGUACUUUUGGAUGGUAUCACACAUCUGGAUGGUAUCAUGAUGUGUGGAAGUUUGUAACUUCCUAUUAGAUGUUGAUUCUGUAUGAUGCUUUGUUAACUUGGAAACUUGUAAUGGUAGUAUGGUACUUAGCAUGUUUUGUUAAUUAUGAAAUAUCUAUGAUAUUUUAGUAUUAGGCAAGUGAAAUGUUGGAUGUUAUUUUAUUAUUGUGGCUUUAUGUGAUGUUUGGUUAAUGAUAUUGCUUAUGAAUGUGUUUUUAGUUUGAAAUUUAUGUUUUUUUGUAUGGUUGUUUGAUCAUGUGAGAUGGUCUUUUUCUAUUUAUUCUUGUAUGGUUUGAAACCAAUUAGGCUUUAUGAAUUUUUUUCAUGUUUGGUCUUUUUAUUUAAGUCUUAUAUUGCUUAUUAAUGUAAUUAAUCAAGCGCAAAUUAUACUGUUUUAUAGUUUAUUAAAAAUAGUGUUAAAUAUAUGACUACAAGAGCAAUUUUGGAAUAGGCUAUAAUACUUUACUCUCAGUAUUACUAAACUUUAUAAAACAAACCAAACAUACUAAUUUUGUAGGCACCGUAAUCCAAUAUUACAUUACUGCACCGAACCAAACGUAGUAAUGUAAUAUUAGUAGCAAUUUGAUUUAGAAAUCUCCAGUGAUUUAAAAAGGCGCGCCUCGGGCGCGCGCCUAGGCGCCUAGGCGCUAGGCGAGAUCGCUCGCGCCUAGGCAGCUCCUAGGCGGGCGACCUCGCCCAGGCGCGCGCCCGAUGCGCCCAGGCGCUCGCCUUUAUUAAGGCGCAAGGCGCGCCUGAUGCUUAAAAAAAAAAUUAUCAUGGAUUGGACUUUGGAUCCAACAUCCAAUAACCCGUUAAGUGUAAAAAAAAAAAAAAAAAGAGAAAAGAGAAGCCCUAAUUGAUCGAACGCGAGUCCUCCGCCCCCUCGAGCAACCCAUUUUCCCUCUUUCUCCUUCUCGCUGGGUCUCCAGAGCCUCCGCUGCUUCGCUGCAGUGCUCCGCUCGAGCUUCGAGCAACCAUCCGCCAUCUCCGCGGCUUCGGUGCUCCGCUUGACAGCUCGAGCAAGCACCCAAGCUGCCCAAGCAUCAUCUCUCUCUCUUUCUCGCUCGGUUCAAGUGUUCAACACUUCAACCCAUCGCGUCGCGCGCUGGGCGAGGUGCGAUCUCUUCGGUCCAUGUAUUCUUUUACUGAGAAAUCCCUCUUUUAUAGUUCUUAUCCUUAAGAAAUUAGGGUUUUAUCUUAUGUUUUUCUUGCCUUGUCUUUUGGGUUAUACCUAGCUUGACUAAGCAUUUCUAGAUGUUUAACAAGGGAAGAGUAUAGAAAGUGAGAAUUAUUGGUUGCACAUAAGAAUCUUGGAGCACAAGCAAAAGACCUGGUAUUCGAUGGUGCGGCACCCUAGGUGUUUUCUUUUUUUUUUUUUUUUUAUUUACUACAGGUUGCGCAUACUGUGGCAACUAAACCUUGGCUGAAAUCACAGCAGCACGCUAAGUUCGUUAGCAAAAUCUUUAUAAUAGGACUACUUAAAUUUUAUUUUUAUUUUUUAAUUUCCUACAUGUUGCACGUAUUGUGGCAACUAAACCUUGGCUGAAAUCACAACAACACGCUAUGUUCGUUAACAAAAUCUUUAUUACAGGACUAGUUAAAUUUUAUGAAACUGAACGCUUCAUGGUUUUCACAUCAGUGUUUAUUAGAUGUGUUUGGGGUUGUUUUUGUUUGGUAAUCUGCUUAAUCCUGUAAUAAAUCCUUUUGCUAUUCAUAAGUUUUUUUUUUUCUUAUAUAAAAUUGUCUGUGCUAAAAUAGAAUAGAUAGGAUGAGAAAGUUAGUUCUGGCUUUCUUGAGAACUCAUAGGUGUUGUACCUAUUGGUGUGUUAGAUGCUUGUUAUAUUCUAUACGUGAAUAGAGUCUGGAAAGUUCUUGCUAUACGACUUGACUUUUUCACUCUGCAGGGUUUUUAUAUAAUGCCUUCCUUAGCUACACAAGGCCUAACUCUACCAAUAUUUCUAAUCCCCGCAAGGAGAUACCAAGGCAAGUAAUUGCAUUUUACAGUUGUUCUUUUUUUAUUACAAAAUGUCAUCAAAUUGUAGUUAUUGAAUUCACAGAUUUUCUUUUUUCUUUUUCAUUUUAUUUUACAUUUAAAUGUGAAAGCAUGUAAUUUUAGAUUCUACUUUUUAUUAUGCGAGAUCAUUUUCGUACUUCUCACUUAGAUUUAGAUUUUGCAAUUAUACAUAUAGUUUUAGCUAUUUGGUUGAGUGACGAUCAUGCAAGACAUUGUGUCCUGCUUUUCAAGUUGGGAAGGAAAUGCAAGAAAAGCAAGCUAUUCUAUCUGCAGGCUUAAAAAUCAAGCACACUCGCGUUUGUAAUCAAAAUUUAUUCACAAAUAGUCUUGACGUAUGAGCUGUUGUUUUUCUUCUUGGAUGGGAAUUCGACUAAAAUCUAGUAUUUGUUAUACGGUGGAUGUGUUGUGGAGAAUAAAUCCCUUAAGAGAUCUGGAUAUUAUCUGUUGUAGAUAUAUGAGUUGUUUCUUUUAUGAGUGAGAGAGAGUGAGAGUGAGAGCGAGAGCGUUAGCGUUUCUUUGAUCUUUCCUGCACGUGAGAGAGAGAGAGAGAGAGAGAGAGAGAGAGAGAGAGAUUCCUUGAUCUUUUUCAUUCCCAUAGAUAGUGUCUGAUCUUUUCCAUUCCUUGCAGGAGAGAGAGAGAGAGAGAGAGAGAGAGAGAGAGAGAGACAAGGGGGAAGGGGGGAGCUUCUGAAGUAGACUAAGCCUUAGUGUGUUCAGCUCAUGAAAGUUUUCAUCUCAUUUAGGGCUUGUUCUUACAUCUAUAUUAGAAUUUGACAUUGGAAUGAGAUUCACUGAUUCUAAUAGUACUAGUUUGUUUUAUAGAAAUCGGAUUCCCAUUCCCAUUCCCCUCUGGGAAUGACCCAAUCUAUUUAUGGCCCAAUCCUGCUUUGAAUUCUGGAUUGACCCAUUCCAGAUUAAAGUACUCAAAAGUCCUCCCUUACAAACACCUCUCCCUCUUCUCCUUUCAUCACUCUCCUCUCCCUUAAUCAAAACUCUCUCUCAAAAUCCGAGGUGUUUCAAUUGUCCAUUCCGAUUUCCAUUUCAAUAAUAAACCAAAUAUUUUUGGGUGAUUUGUUGUUUCAUUUUCCAUUCCAAGCCAUCCAAUUCCACUUCACUUUCCCAUUCCAACCAUGAACUCUAUGAACAAGGCAUGCUAAAUUGUCAUCAAUAGAGACAGAGACAUUGUUAAGCGUGCAGAACUGAAUGUUGAUCGAGCAACACAAAUUGAACCUAUCGAUUUGCUCUGAUUUAGAAAUCAAUUUUUACCUUGUAGUCGGUUCAGUUUUGGCUUGAACAACUUUCAUUCAAAAAAAAAUCAUUCAAUUUCAGUUUAGAUUUUUGAAGAACCAAUGCUUCGGUUUAAUUUUGGCUUGGAUAAUUUUCAUAUGAGCAAAAUUCAUUUAAUUUCAGUUUAGAUUUUUAAAGACUCAAUACGUGAUAACUCGUGUAUGUGUAUAGACGGUAAAAUGUGUUGAUGUGCAUAUGUAAGCAAAUGCAUUCUUACUAUUUUACCUGCAUACUGUAUUUAGGUUGGAAGCGCAAAACUAGGUUUGUCUAGGCUGAGUUGCCCAACUCGUCAGCUCGGUCCAGACCUCUUUGAGUAAGUUUUGGGAAAUUUCAAGUGAACUAAAAUAAAAACCUUGCCUUAAUGUAGUUCCAACUUCGACUUGGGUUUGGUGUGCAACUGCACUAGAAAGUUGUAGGCCCAUAUAUAAAAUGAUUGUAGAUAGGAAUGUGUGGCAUGCGAAAGUUAAUUGGCUUGCCGACUAUGAAUGUUGUUAUUAAGGUAAGAUAAUUUGAAGUAAAAUUUAGGAACCAUUAUUGGUGAUCCCUAUUAUCUCCAUGUUUCAGUUAAUCUCUCUUGUUUGUGCUUCAAAAAACAAUGCAAUGGGCCUAGUAGGGACUCCCAAUUAAUGGCAGGGUAAAAAAAAUUGUUGAUUUUGAGUGCAUGCUAGACAUGGAAAGCUAUUAAGCUACCACUGAACUUAUUAACAACAACUUACGUCUUGUGGAACUGUAACUUAUGCAAUUCUGUGUCGAUAAACAAACCUAGCAGGCACAAAAAAAAGAAUUAUCAUUUUCUUUCUUAAAUAGUUUGUUCAGUUUUAACUGCUAAAUUGUCUUGUUUAGCGAACGAUCAAGCCAAAUUUAGGUGCUAGCUCUAAUUUAAAUGUAGGCUGAGAAUAGGGAUGCAAAUGAAUUCAGGUUGGAGAUCCUAUGCCGAUCUGCCCCUAGUGGGGUGGUAAGUGGGAAACAAAAGUAAGGGGGAAAAAACUGCCCCGAUCUCCUAAGAAAUCGAGGAGGAUGUAGGGAACCCCUUCCUUUGAUUUGCCAUAAAUCUACGAAAAACCUGCUUCCGCCUGAUCUACCCUCAAUAGAUUGGUUUCUGCAUGAAAAAAAGAGAAUGAAAUCCAACCCGCCUUGCAUCCACACCUAUCUGCCAAGAAAACGGGGUAGUAGGUGGGGGGCCCUUUUGCCCCACGAUACGCCGUGUUUGCAUCCCUAGUUGAGAACCACUAAGGAUGGCCAACCUUCCUUGGAAUGUAGUAACUUAAACGGCAUGAAGUUGCGACUUGAGAUUUUUGAUGUGCCAUCUCCUUGAUUAUGAUUAAAAAUAAAGAAGAAAACAUGGCUGAAAUGUGUCUUAAAAAAUAAGAAGCUCAUGGAACAACUAUUUGGAAAGGAAAGUAAUUACAGAAAAUGUGUGUCAUAAGAGAUUGGUAGUGGAUUGGUAGUGUAGAAUCAAGGCUUAAAGUGCCGUGGCACGGAGAAGUGCCGUUGUCUGCCUGGCAAGGUACGGCACCGGCACGCUUGCGUGCCGACACAUGGUACGCUUCUGUACCGAUGGAUAUAUAUGACCUUCUACUAGCACGCUUUGGCACGGACUUGUUUUAAUAUUUUGUGUUCCAAUAAGCUCUUAUAAUAUUAUUUUGAAAGAUUUAAUCAAACAAUUAUGAAUCUUUGCUAUAUAUAGCUUACUAUUCUCAUCAGUUAAUAAACUUGUAAACUUUUUUGUAUGUAAAGUACAACUAUACUCGAUGCAGAAUAAAAAUAUUUACAGGUUAAAAUUUUAAAAUGCAAAGGCACCUUUUUUUCUUUCUUUCUUUUGACCAUAUUACAGUCUUUCUUUCAUAAAAUACAAAAAAAAUAAUUUUCAAAAAAAUUUUAAAAAUUAUUUGAAAAAAUUAUUUUAAAAAGUAUUUGAAAAUUUAUUUUUUUAUUAAUUUUUUUCAAAAAAUUNUAUUUGAAAAUUUAUUUUUUUAUUAAUUUUUUUCAAAAAAUUAUUAGAUCUACCAAAAAAACAAGCGAUAAAUUAUAUGACAAAUAAAUUAAACAAAUUUAAGUAUCAAUUGAUUUAAUUUAGUUUUUAAUUUUAUUAGUAUUUUCAAUCUUCUAAUGCAAAAAUAAAAUUCUAUAUUUAAUGUGCCUCAAAAUUUGUUUAUUGAGUUCGAUUUUGUUCCCCUAAUUCGCCAAAAGUUUCGCGGCGCGACAAAUUUUGAUAAAAUAAUUUGUGAACAUUAAUUAAUUUGAUAAAAUAAUUUUUUUGGCCUACCUAACAAGUAGAUUUUCGAUUUGCAAUGCCUUUGAGAGUGUGGGGUACCUAGGAUACUUCUUGGUGCCCCAAAGAACAAAACAAAAAAAAAAAGCAAAAAGCAAAAGAAAAAAUGUGUGCCGGCACGGCACUGUGCUGCGGCACACUCCUACAUAUUGCUCUGUCUCGUGUGAUACGGCGAAGCGUGCCGUGGAAGAGAGAGGGGGGGUGGGGGGUCCAAGACCCCUUUUGUACCAUGCCCCCUUCUUGGGGGCACGGUAUGUGCCGGCACUUUAAACCCCCCUUCUUGGGGGCAUGGUACGAGCUGGCACUUUAAACCCUAUGUAGAAUGGCCCAUGGGAGAACCGGAGAAGGUAUUCAUACAACAAAUCUCACCAAAAUAUGUCCUCUCCCAGAAAACUAACUAAUUUUUGGAGCAAAGUAAUUACACAAGUUGGUGAAUUGGUCUUCUUCCAAACCUUUGGGGAAUACUGAAUUCAGAUAGCACAUUAUGGAGGAUAACUGUCUGUGUUCUCUAGCUGGAUAUUUUUUAUUCCAGUGUUAGAUCAUAUAUUGGUCUGGAGCUCUGGGUCUAGAAACUGCACUAAACACAUUCUAACAAGUUAAUUAGCUUAGUAGAUACUGGCUCCACAUUAAAUUUAAUAAGUACAUUUUGAAUUCAAUAAUUAAACAUUUGAUGCAAUUGAUUAGCUUUUUGUUUAUUUUAAAAUACAGGCAUGGACUUGCAGAUUUGUUCAAUUGAUAGCACAUCAUGGAGGAUAAACGUUGGUUUAGAGUAUUUGUUUUAAGUUCUUGCCUUUUCCUAUAGUUGAUUAAUCAGUUUAUUUAAAUCGUUCAUCAACAAGCUAUUAAUUGAGGAAAAUUUGAUUCGACUAUGUCCAUAACUGGUAUAGAUGAAUAAUACAUCGUCUACUGAAUAACCAGACAAUUGUUAUUAAACAUAUUAUGUUUCUGUAUGUGAAUAAAAAGUGGAUAUUUGAUAAAAAUAUUGCUAGUUUCUUGUCUGUUUCUAUCUGUAAGCAGAGAGAAAUUUAAGUGAGGAGAUGAUUUGAGCUUGUAUUAUAUAUGAUACAUAUAAGAAUGCUCUUUUUGCAACUAAUAGAAUGAAGUUGCAUUGGCCUUUGAUCUCAUCCAGAGUAUAUGUGAAUCAUAUUCAUAUGUGAUAUGGCAUUUCUUCAACAGCAAAACUUGCCGUGCGUUUUAAGCUGAUGUUCAAAAUCAUUAUUUUGUUAUUAUGAUAGAAUGUGCCAUGAUGGAAUCAAACCAGUUCUAGUGUUUUUUUUCUAUUUUUUCUUUUUUUCUUUCUUUUCGAAAUUCAAAAUACUGCAAAUAAAUGUUUAUAUUAAAAAGUCUGUGUCACCUAAAAGAUGCCAGUCCGAUGCGUCUAUUGCUAUAUGAAUUUGGUUUGUUACAUCUUUACUGAUGAGUUUAAUUUUUAACUUUUAUACAGAAAUAGUUCUUGUUAACAUUUGAGAUAGAGAGUGCUAUAUUAACUAAUUAUUAUCCAAAUGCAGGUGAAAGGCUGAAAGGUAGAGCAACAUCCAGUUUACAAGCUCAACAAACUUUACCUACUUCUGUUUCAUUUGCUCGCAAAGUGCCAUCUAAAGCAAGUAUAUGUGCUGGUAAUAUGGUAUGUUAGUCUUUGCUUAAUCAUACCUGGAGUAGGUCUAGUGUACUAUCAAUUCAGUAUUCUAUGGGGGUUGUACUGUUAGUCUUAUUUUUGAUGUUAGGGCGUCCAAAAUCAAGGAUCCAUAUUGUUGGACAUGAAACAGGGUGUUUGAAGUAUCUAGAAACAUUAAGUAAUGUUUUUCGACAUUAUCUACCUAGUGAUCAAAUUGUUUAGAGUUGAUAGUUUUUAACAGUCUGUAUGAGUUUUUAUGCUUUAUCAAUGUUUUAAGGUAAAGCUAGUUGAACUUUUGAUAGAAAAUACGUGGAACUAUUUAGAUCAGGAUUAACACCUCUGGUCUUGAAUUGAAGAAUAAUCCUAUCCUCAAGUUUUAAGGUAUCCGAUUUUCAUCCAAUCAUUUUAUAGACAUUAUGACGAGAUUUGAUCACUGGGUACAGAUGUCAAAAAAAUAUGAAAAUUUGCUUGUAGAUACUUCAACAUCCUAGAUCAUAUUUAACCGUUCACAUUGUAGACUCGGAUUUGGUAGCAUAAAUAACGAGACUGGAGAACCAAAACCAUAAUACUUAGGGCUUUGUUUGGUUCACGGUUUAUAAUAUUCUAGUAAUCCUCCAUAUAUUCUAUUGAAAAUAUUCAAAUCAUCACCAUUCAACUGUAGUUUGAUAACGGAAGGUGUUGGUAAAAUAAUGGAAUCAUUGUAGGUUCCUAGCUAGUAGGAACGCUUGAUUACUAUGGGUUAGGAGAUAUUCUCGUUCACAUACCUGAUGGGAAUCAUUAGUGGUCCAUAAAUAAGAAUAUACAAGUUCCUAACAACCUCUCAACCCAAGUGACAUGAUAAGUUAGUAACAAACUUAUCAUUCCAAAUAUAAAAUAUACAACAUUUCCGGAAUAUUACAAACCUUAAACCAAACGGCCCAUUAGUGAUAGUAUAUAAUCCCUGCUAUCAUGCUGGUUAUCUUGUAUGUCCUUAUUGAACACUGUACCCUUUAAGAGUAGGGAGAGAAGUGGGGGCUAAGAGGGACGGAAAAAAAAGAAGAAGAAAGACGACGAAAAAAAUGGCAUGGAGAACCUUACCUCUUUGCAAAGGUCGCAUUACUAUUUGCUUUUGUAUUCGUGCCAAAAUCUUUCUGCUGCUUUGGCAAUGAAAUGUUUUUAAAGCAAUUCUUGAAAAAACAAAGGGGGAUAAAUUGACAGCUAUUUGUUUCCUUUGAGGAAAUCAUCAAACAAAAGUUGAUGUUUUAUUGAUUAAUUUAAAAUCAUAAUAUCAUACUUGUACACUUGUUAGUUUGGACGAACAAAAUUUGCACGUUGCGGAUGGAAAAUAACUAGCAGAUAUUGUUAUUUUAAGAUCCAGUGCUUUUAUUUCGUCGGAAUUAAGCAAGUCUAAUGAACCGUCUUGUGUUAGCAUUUAUUAUGUGUGCGACCUGCCUGUUGAUCUAAACCAUUUCGUCUGCUUAUCCUCAUCUGAUUGAUUUGGCACAUUACUUCGGUGCAGAAUUUUAGAUGCUACGCAACCCAAACCCAAACAUUGGAGCGGAAAUCACCGACGAUCACCAAAUCUCAAUAUGCUCCUGUCAAAGGUAAUUUAUAGCAUUUAGCACAGCUAUUCUCCUUUAUUAUUCUCUACUAUUAUUAUUCUAUAACCAUUUCAUUUUGGACAAUUUCCGAAUGAAUUACAGGGAAGGCAAAUGGACUGAAACUUGAGUUUGGGGGUGGAGGACCUCCUCCGAAUGACGGUAGUGGCGGAGGCGGGGGCGGCGGCGGAGGCGGUUGGGGCUCUUCGGGUGGAUUUCUCCUUUUUCUAUUCCUCAUGUUUCUAGAUUAUCUGAAGGAACUCGAUGAAAAGAGUCAACGGCGGCGUCAUCAAGAUGAUUACAGUCAAUUGUUACUGUAAAGAGAAUUUACAAUCUGUCCAUCUUUUUAAUGUUUCGUAGGAUGCGGCCCAUGUUUUAUAGGAACUAAUUCUUUUAGGUUAUUUGAAUGAAAAGAGCACUCGAGUAUAUUAUCUUGUUCCUGUGUGGCUGUGUUUAGUACGCGAAAGUAGACUUUGCAAACUUGUUCCUUAUAACUGUAUCCAGCUUCUUGUGUUUCAAGGCGCUUUCGCUUCUCAUGCUUUUCUCGUCCUCGUACGGCCUUGUUCGGGUCGAUGCGCUUUUUGUUUAUUAAGGACCAGGGUGGUGGGGUCUUGCCCCAGCCAAAUAGAUAUUAUUAUUUUUAUUAUUAUUAGUAGUAGUAGUAUUUCAGAGCAUUGAAAGAGUUAGUUAAAGAGUUUUGAAGCACUUUCGGAAUGUUGUUAAAAAAUUUAUGUAUUGGAGGAUGUGUUUCGUGUGGAUGUAAAUUAAAGCUUUCUGGAAUUUCUUGCUGAGAACAGUCCCCGGUAACUUUUUAUGGGCCGAUGACACAUCUACUUGAGAAUGAUCCUUAAAAAUAUCCGUAUAAAUCACGUAUCCGAAUAAUUGAUGAAUCCGUUUUUUAGCCGUAUUUUUCAACGAAUUUAAAAAUUAGAAAACAAAUUUUAUCCGAAUUAUACCCGUAUCGAAUUUGUUGUGAAAUAUCUUAAAAAAAAAAUAAAAUUAUAAAGCGUUUUGAGAAUCCAAAAAAUUUGUGAAGGAUUAAGCUUUUCAGAAUUACAGUUGUUUCACAAAAUUUAGUUUGACAUCGGUCCAGCCAAGCUCGUAGUUUUUAUGAAAUUUACUCCCAUUUAUUUAUUCCACGUCUUGCACUGAUUAAUGUCUCUAUGGAGUAUAUAUUAAUUUAUCACUUCCACUACCUUAUCACUAAUUGAUUAGUAUAUAUACAGAUACUAAUGUAAUGCGUUAUCUUCAAUUAUCUCAGAAGAUUGGAUGGUGAAUUUUAUCGUGCAACGUGCUAUCAUGAAUAAUCUCAAAAGAUUCCAUAGUGAUGAAUCUUAUCAUUAAAUUCCAACGAAAUUGACCUAGCUGGGUACAUAAUCUGCAGGCAAAGUAAAUAUAAAUUUAUGUGCGUGUUUAUGCAGUAAGGGAUCGUGUACUAGAAUUUUUUUUCUUCUCAACUAUUGAUAUUUGUGUAGCAAGGAAAGGUUUUGGGGUUUUUUUUUUGUAUUUGGCCCCCUCAAAAUAAUUAUUUUCAUAAAUAACCCUACCAAAUUUAUAAUUGCAACUUUGGCCCUUUCCCCUCCACACAGACGCCAUGUAAGCGCCACGUGAGUAAGGAAAGAAGUUGAAUACGGUAAUUCAUUCAUCGUAUCUAAACAUACUGAAUAAUUCACCGUGUCUUGGAAAAAGGAAAAUAUAUUUAUUGCGAAAGAAUAUAAAUAUUGAAUAGGGGAUGUAAGUAUGGAACACGGUCAAUCAUUUAUUAUAUAUGUUUAAACACGUACGAUAAAUGAUUCAUCUUGUUCAACUUAGCGCUCCUUACGUGACGCUGAUGUGACGCCUGCGUGUGGUAGGGAUAAGACCAAAAUUAUAAUUAUAAAUUUGAUAUGGCUAUUUGUAAAAAAAAAAAAUUUGAGGGGGCCAAAUGCAAAAAAAAGCCAAAGGUUUUCAUAGUCGUGGUCUGUAGCUUCUUCAUCAUUGCUUUUGGCUUUGGGACGAGUUGUGAAACAACAUAUCGAAAUCUUUAAAAGCAUAAGCUAUUAAGGAAUGGUCAUUUUGAGUUUCGGAGAUAAUUGUGAAAUAAUUUGUCGAUUUCUUUAAAAGUUUAAGCUAUCGAGAAAAAAAAAUCUUUACGUUGUUGUUUGUGAAUUUGAGAUUUCUCGAUAAACCGAAAACAUAGACUACAAUUUUACAGAUUCUACAAUGAUCGAAUGUGAGUUAAACCACGUGUUUGUUACGUCAUGCAUCUAAUUAAUAUAACAACACCCGAUAGAUAUAUCAGCGUCAUUCAUGGUUUAGCCUAAUUAAUAUCUCCAUAUGAUAUUCCUGCAACUUGCAAUCCUAAUAUUUCAUCCUCUUCUAAUUAUCGACUAUGCAAUUUUAAAAGCAAUUUAAUAACAUGUUUUAAUAGGCAACAACUAAUGAUAAUCAGAGCAAAAGAGAGUUUUACAAUUUGAUUCUCUCUAUGUCUUGCCUCUCCUUAUGCGCGCCUUAAUUUCUUCGAGCAUUUUAUUUGAUCACUUUUCUCUUCAUUAAUUGCAAAGUAAAUAACAAGCAUCAAGUAAAUCUUUGGAACCGCAUUUUGUAUAACCUCUAUGAUGAGAAAUAGUAGACUUUUGUCUCCAGUUACUUUGUUAAAUAAUGCGCACAUUAGGAUAAGUGCCAAAUCUUGAUAGCCAAUGUAUCAAGAACUUUUUUUCUUUUUUUUUCUUUUUUUUUUUUUUGAGAAAUAGAUAGCAAGCUGCUUGUUUCAUUCAUUAAGUAAAAUGAAUUAAAUGUACAAGGUGGAAGCAGCUAAGGCCUCUGAAAAGCAGGCAAUAAAGGUAAAAUUAAGAAGCGAAAAAGAAGGGGCUAGGUGAGAAAAGAAAGAAAGAAAGACUAGUGACACAUUAGAGUGGUGCGAUCUAAUUGCUCGUCAAAAGUUUGACACUUUCUAACGACCGGGUGGCGUUGGGCGGAUUUGCCCGAAAAACGGAGUUAUUUUUAUCCCUCCAGAUCACCCACCAGAUCGCAGCUAGAAGGGUCAAGCCUUUUUUUCUCAUUGAUUCCACAGGAUUGGCAGAAAUUCUGAACCAAAGACUUCGGACGUCACCCGUGAUGUCAUCAGGUACGUCUAAUCCUUCCACACUGAGGAGUAGGUAUCGUACGAAAACAUAGUUAUGGAAUAAGUGAUCGCAACUUUCCGUUAGUAUAACACAGAAAACAUAGUGUUGUUCUACAAGCAUGCCUUGGUUGAGCAAUCUGUCGGCAAUGAGUAAUCUCUUCCGAAGUAACAGCUAAAUGAAGACUUUGAUUUUGACUGGAAUUUUCAAACUCCAGAUGUGCUGGUUCAUUGGGACUCGCCAGCAAUUAAAAUUAGGAGUUAUACACUUGUUUUACUAACCUUUUUGGAUUGUCCACACACUACAUGGCAACACUUUUAAUAACGAUUAAAUGCAUAUAGGUCCUUGAAAAUAUAGUGAAUUGCAAAUAUAUCUCUAUAAGGUUCAACUUUUAUAUGUUGUUUUUACAAAAGUUUUAAUAUUUUCAAAUAUAUCCCUCUAGUUUGUUACGAUUAGAGAACUGUUUAUAUUUUCAAUUUUACCAUCAUAAAUAUGUCUCUCCAAAGCCAUAAUAGUAUAAUAUAAGAGGAGUAAAAAAUGUCAAAAACUAACCAGGGUUAAGUAUUUAACAUAUGGUUAACUAAAUUUUUCUAACGGAUUCUAUCGGCAGUGACAUAUUUGAAAACAUUAGGACUUUUGUAAGAACAACAUAUGAAAGUUGAACUUCGUAGAAAUGUAUUUAUAAUUCACUAUACUUAUAGGGACCUAUAUGCAAUUAACCCUUUAAUUAAUCACCAUUCUCUUUAUGCUUCGGCAAUCCAAUGGCUUGCUGAACAGGUAAUUAGUUACUUAGUAUAAAAUUAUACUUGUCAUCCAGUAUUUGAAAUUGUAUGAAUUCUUUGAUGGGAAUUUAUCGUUCAUAAUUUUUAUAUUUUCAUUGUGUUUAGUAAUAUAGAAAAAUUGUGUUUCAUACUAUAGAAAAAAUAAGGAAAUAUUGUAUUAAAGCAAAGUCUUACAACAAAUUAUUAGCAUGCAAGAAAACAAAUUAAAGGUGGUAUAUCUCAACCCUCGACUUCAUGAAUCAUGACCAGGUAACAACAUUCGAGCCCUUUACAAUUUACUAUCUCAUAUUUUUACUAAAAAGUUUUAAUACACAGGAGUUGUACCAUUUGAAUGCUUAUAUGUAUCGUCAAUAUUAAAAAAUAUUUAUCAAAAUUCGCUAUCAAAAUAUGUAAUCAUCAGAUUGUCCAAUUAAUCUAUGGAGUAAAUGUACUCAACACAUAUUCCCACCUUGCUACAUAGGACGUCUUUGUCGUAUUUGGGCUUUUAGAUAACGAAUAAUAGCAUAAACUUACAAAUUUUGAUAAAAUCUUCAACUAUCAUUGAUCUCAAUGUAUAGUUUGCAACCGACUGUGAGAACUGAGAUUUUUUCUUUAUAUAUAUAUUUGAUAUCUUUUUAAAUGUUAUGGUGUGUAUUUUAAUUUUAAGCUUGCCUGUCCAAUUUCAGCAAAAAAAGAUUUAAAAUAAAAUUUUUAGGUGAUUAUUACUUUUCACUUAAAUGAAUACUAACCCGCGUUUGCAGAUAUGAUUGAGGAAAGUGGUUGGCUUCGAAUGCGUAUCGGACUUCGUUUCGCGCAAUACAAUAGCUCAUUUUUGAUGGUUCGACUAUUCCAAGAUCAAUUGCGCUGACGGAUUUUAUGUUCGUCGCACGAUUUUCGAGAAAAUUAGUUUUAUUGCUGAGAGAGCUUUUAUUCCACGAUUUUUAUAUUUUUUAAACGUGAUCAGUGCAUCAUUUUGCAUGAAAUCUUACGGGUAGGGGUCUUUUUGCGAGAGAAGUCCAGAGGAGAUGGACUGAUUCGAGAAGCUGGAGCUUCGGAGGACGUAGAAGCAAUUAUUCUCCUAGAAUAUUAUUUUUUUAUGGAAUAGAAUUUAAAUCGGGGUUUUUGGAACCCAACAAACCCUAACCCUUGAUGGCCUCUCCUCCUUGGACCUCCUGACCCAAGCUUCGCCGUCGCCGAUCGCCGAAGAAGGAGAUGAAGCUCGAUUUCUUCCUCUUUCUCUCUCUCUCUCUCUCUCUCUCUCUCUCUCUCUCUUUGGUGCAGUGAAGGGGACCAAGCCCAAGCCUCCCAUCCUUGUGUCGCCGCUAGUUAGGGACCACCGCCGGCGUCACCCUCGAUCGUGGGCAACCGUUCUUUUAUGGUGCACGGCGUCGCCCCGCCCGUGGAAGUUGCCGCAGCCGAGAGAAGCCCGCGGGCCUUGUGCGACCACGGGGCUCCACCCGACCGUCGACCUCGCACCCGCACCGCCCCAAAGCAAUGCCGUGGGUCCCAAGGGACCCAUCGAUGUCGCCCUAGGCCUCCCCAAGCCGCUAUUGGGGCGCACGUUGAUGCUCUAGCCGCGGCUGCUUGGGGAGCUCCGUCGCGCCGCUCUGCCGCGGCCUCCCGCGGGCGACCCUCGCCGUUGCUCCGUGGCACCCCUGAUAGUCGCCGCCGCCGUUGAGCUCCACGAGCCCAAGCUCGUGCCACGCGGGCUGCACGACUUGAGGCGUCGCCGCCGAUGCACUUCGCCCCCGGCAGAGGGAAGCACGGGGCUUCCCUUCCCCUCCACGGCCAACCCCCGCAGAUGGAAGCGCCGGUAGGUCUUAGGUAGUCGACCGGAGUCCCUGCUCCCUGCCUUAGCUUCACUUAGGGCCAGUUUGACUCGGUUGGUAUUUUUCGGUCAUCCGGCACUUCCCGAUCGAUCCGAAAGUGAGCAUGGCGAUCCCCGCGACUUGUUGAACACGGUGCUCACCUCUAUUGUUGCCGGCGACUCUUCGUCGCUGGGUUUCGGCUUUCCAACUUCCGGAAGCAUGCCAUUAGAGAGGUUUUUCUGCUGUUUCCAAGCCGUCCAACGAUCGAUCACGUUCUGGACAGUGAGCACGAGGAUCUUUGCUUUGAGACAAGUCAAAUCGACUAGUUGGAUUGAUUCGAUGCGCUGCGGAUUAGGGUAAUGUGCUCGAAACUCAUGUUGUAUGCAUUAUUUGUAUAGUGGUUGUUGCUUUGUUCGGUUAUUUGCAAAUAGUAUGCAAUGGGGACCCCGCGCACAGCCUUGGACAGCAUGUAAUCGCUGUUGGGUACCUCUUGAUUGAUCGUCAAAGGUCCGAGAGCCGUUGCGAAGUGGAAAUGGGGUCCCACGGCGUCGUUUGGCAAAAAUUCGCCGAUCUGACGCGGUUUAUGUUGCGGCUUUUGCAUGUUAGCAUUUCGAGCGCCCUAGGGACCCUGCCAAGCCUUGUUGACUGGUUACUACCGCCACCUUCAAAGUCCGAAGGCGGUGGAUGAGCGGCGGAGGGGUUUCGGUGCGUUAUUCAGCGAAAUAGUCGGUAGAACGUGGGUUUGCGUCACGAUGAGUUUCCGGUUGUGUGGUUGCCCCAAAAUCAUCGCCUAGCCCCGUUGGUUGGCCGCCAGGGUCGUCUCGUGUGUUCGAAGGCGACAGGUGAGUGGCGGAGGCUUCUGGUGCCAAAGUGGAAACUUCCGGAGGCUUAGAGCGAAUUGAUCGCCGACAAUGAUCGAGUUAACCUUGGUGCUUGUGUUUGCUGCCUGGACACUCAAAUGGAUGUGUUUCAGGGCAGUAGGUGACUCACGACAUGAGUUGGUGUGUUUCAAAAAGUUUUGUGGGUCCCGCGGACAUUCCGGUGUGUUUUCAAGAUUCCCGACGAGUUUGAGAGUCGGUUUUGGGAAACCGAUCCCACAGGUGGUGUUGGGUUUGUGAGCAUUGUCUCUUGAGUUAGUAGGGUUGGUUCUGACUCGAUGGACCUGUCGUAGGAUCGGUUGACGGUUUGCACACCGCGAGAGCUUGGUGCAGCUGUGACACAAGUGGGUACUUCGAUCCGAAGUCAGUUCAGUGGUGCACGCUCGGCGAUGUUUCCUUUAUCCCUACCUUUUACUGCUUACAUAUAUACAUAUUCGAUACUUAGAGCUCUUCACAACAUGACUUCGAUCCUUACUCUACUUAGUAUACUCUCCCGCUUCUCAUGACAUAGAAAUAGAGCGGUAGUGAUACUUGCAUUUAUAUUCCUGUUGAUUUGAGUGGUCGGUGCCUGUGUACUUAUAGUGUCAUUGAUCUCACACUUUCUAGUUGACUAGAGUGGUCCGUUCUCUUAUACUCUUGUCGUUGUUGACCUGAGAGGUCAGUUCUCGUGGAUACACCCUAGCGCUGCGUUUGGUUGGAGAACAAAAUUUUGGAGAACAACUUUUAUUGUUCCCGAGAAUAAGGGAUAUUCUGGUACAAGAUAGAACAAUUGUAAAUUUAUGUUUGGAUGCAUUCGAGGAUAUUCUAGAGGAUAUCCUUAAUAGCGUUUGGAUAAAAAGUCUAGAACAACGUCUAAAUAUAUUUUUAAAAAUAAAAUAAUUAAUUUAUAUUAGUAUAUUUUAUAUAAAAUUAUUUAUAAAAUUAUUUCAUAUAGUAAUUUAUAAUAUAAUAUUUUAUGUAAGAAUCUAAUUUAAAAUAAUAUAUUUUAUUUUAUUAUAUAUAAUAAUUUAUUUUAUGUAAUAAUUUAUUUUAUAUAAUUUAUUCAUAAUAUAUUAAUGAAUAAAGUAUAAUACUAACAAUAUCCCUAUAUUUUUAAUUAAUAAUUAGUAUAAAUUUCAAUACAAAUAAAAAAUAUAUAUAUAAUUAAAUAUUAAAGUAUAAAUGAUAGAGUUUAAUAAAAUAAAAAAUAUAUCAAAUUUAAUUAAUUUAUAUUAUAUAAUAAAAUUUAAGUAUAAAUAUAUUAUCAUAAAAAUUUAAGUAUAAAUUUCAAUACAAAUUAAAAAAUAUAUAUAAUAUAUGAAAAAAUAAUUUUAUGUAUAUAAUACUUAAUAUAAAAUAAAAUAAUUAAAUAUUAAUAUAUAAAUGAUAAAACUUAAUAAAAUAAAAAAUAUAUCAAAUUUAAUUAAUUUAUAUAAUAUAAUAAAAUUUAUGUAUAAAUAUAUUGUCAUAAAAAUAAUAUUCAUAUUAAUAUAUGUAUUAUUUAUUAAAUUUGAGCAUUUAUUUAAUUUAUUUGAAAUUAAUUAAAAUAAAGCAUAAAAAAAAUAAAAUGGCAUAAAAAGAAAAAAAGAGACAAAAAAAACAAGUUCCGGCUUGUUCUCCAUUUCAUGGAGAACAAUCUUAACGGGUUGUUCUCGGAACAACCCGUUAAGCCCGGAACAACCGGGUUGUUCCAUUUUCCAUUGCGUUUGGGAGGACAACGAAGGAUAUCCCGCCUUGUUCUGGGAUAUACUUCCAACCAAACGCAGCCUAGUUGACCAGAGUGGUUGAUUCUCUUAUACUCUUGUCGUUGUUGACCUUGUACUUUCUUGUUGACCUGAGUGGUCGGUACUUGCAUACUUGAGAGGAUUUUGAGUUGUUCCAUCCUACUUAACUAGAGUGGUCGGUACUUGCAUAUACUAGAGAAAAUGUUGAAUUGUUCCAUCCUAGUUGACCUAAGUGGUCGGUACUCGUGUUCCCUUAUAGUUCGAGCACCUAUUGGUCGGUGUGCCCCGAGGGGAGGUGAUUAUCGGCUAUCCGCUGAUGGUUGGCCAUUGAUCAUAUUCGCAGCGAUCUCCACAGCUCGACAGCAUUUCAAGAACACCAGCGGUCUGAUCCCCCGCAUAAGGGUGUUCUUUUUCAAAAAAGUGGUUGGUUGCCAACCCGUGAGCCCAACGGCCAUUUGUUAGGAUUAUAUGCAGACAAAGCAGUUAUGGUUUGCCUUAGGUCCUUAAACUGAUACUGAGGUCUAGAUUGUGUAUACUUGUGCUAUCAGUUGUAGUUAACGCAUAGUCAUUUCUCUGUCUUCCUUACAGUAGCGGUUAUUUAUACCAUUAUUACAGUUGUUUUCAGUUCAGUUAUCAUACUAUUGCACUAGUUUGACUAUUGAUUAUAAUUGGUCGCUGCUUCAUUAUCUCAUUUUACAGUAGUAGUUUCUUUGGUGAUUACCGGUGGAUACUAGUCAUUAUUAUCAUGCCCGAUUUACUUAUUACUGCUGCUGUUUAUCCUUCCUUCUGCUGAUGGGUAUAGCCUGCCUUCGUCGGCUUGUGGUACCCACUGGAAGGGGGAGACAUGUUUACAUGUUUUCACCCUCCCCACUUUUUCAGGAGAUGUGGGUGAGAUUGGUUUGGAUGUAGCGUGAGGCCGUAGCUAGAGAUUUCGAUCUAUGGUAUUCCUUUUUUAUUACUUCAUACAUAGUAUCAUAUAGAUAUUAGUGGAUAAUAUAUAUCUCACCCUAUACUGGUUAUUAGAUAUCUACUUCUAGUUCAGUUGCUAGUUUAUACUUGAUGUUUUAGAUGAUGUACGUAUGAGUUUUGGAUACUCAUGAUUUUGGAAUACUCGUGGAUUUUGGACUCAUAUGGCUUUGGAUUCGGAUUUUGGAAUAUGGUUUUCUACCCCUAGCAGUAUUGUUUUCAAAAUAAAUGUUUCCAUGUGGGAAACGGUUUUCAAAGUGGUUUUGGACUUUUCGUGAAUUUUUGAAAAAAACUAGAAUUUCAAAGUGAAGCCUUCGUGUGGGAGGCGCUUUCAACUAGUAGGAAUGAAUGUGACUUUGAUGUGGAAUAGUUGAGACUAAGGACGGAUAGUUUUAUGAUAUGAAAUUAGUGAUUCUUGUACAAUUUGUAUCGUUGUGUGUGUGAGUGGAAGUCUGGUUGUUAAUUGCAUAUGUGCUACGCCGUGCAAAUACAGGGGAGAUGAUGUCCGUUUGUUUCGAAAAUUUUUUAUAUUUGUGGCGGUUCUGUUAUAUCCAUGGGUCAAGGUUAAAAAAAGGGUAGUUUUUUGCAGAUUCUGAUUUCUAAAGAUAGCCCGAUUUCAAAUUGGCUUUCAAAGAGGACUCCGGGGCGUGACACCGACCGUCCCUAGCACAAGUAGCAAAGGGUUUGAUAGUUCGUACCUGAGAUUCCAAGUUCGAUGUCUAGUUGCUUCACAUUUUCAGCCAACUCUAUUUUCUAAAAAAAGAACGAAGGGGAUGACAUGCUACCUUUUUCUUAAAAAAAAAACGUAUAGUUUGUAUCACGCAAUAUUUAAAGAAAGCUCAUACAUAAGUAAUAAAAUAGCUCUCUGACAUAUCGCAAUUUGAUUUGGCAACUUGUAUCUGUGUUAAUCAAUUAGAUUAGUUAGGUCAAUUUGUGACCAUGUAUAGAUCUUUAUCUAAACUAAUUGUUAUUUGUGGAGAGAUAAGGAGUGAUUUUUUUUUUCCUGUGGGGAGAUAAAAGAUUUCGUCAUUGUUAGAAAAAUUAUGAAUUUCAUACAAAAGAUUCUUUGUUUAUUUUAUUAUGAAUUUCAUACAAAAUAUAUGGCCAAUUUGCGUAAAAAAUCCACAAGUUUUGAGCUUUUGCAAAAUAUAUUGGACCGCCUUUUUCGAUUUUAUAGAUUUAGUCCGAACUUUCAGCAAACUGACCAAAAUACCGUUGUACCUUUUUCUCUCUUCUUUUUUUUCUCUUCGAAGAAAGCAGCGGAGGUGGAAACGGAUCGCCUAGCCUCUUGUACACACUGAACUUUAGCAAAUUGUAAGGUUCGAGUGUUUAAUUUGUGAUCUGAGCCUUUUUGGGUUUUCAGUAUGGUCGUUGAUUAUGUUCCGACCUAUGACUCGCAUCCCGAAGAGCGAGGGUGAAAACUUGGCAACAAAAUCUCCAAAAAGAGGAUUUUGGGCUGCUAUCGGAUUGACUCUGCAGGGCAGAGUACCGGUACCGCAUCGACCUGGUAUCGGUACUGGACAUGGCACCGGUACUGCAUCAGGCUGGUACCGGUACUCAGUGUAUUUUCUCGCCAACCCGAGGCUCGAGUUUGCGCGAGUUGCUGCCUGGUACUGGUACUCCAUCCCGUGUCACCGGUACGGAAUGUAGACUGCAGUCUGCAAUUUUUUGAGGGUUCUCUUUGUAAUUAUUACAACACUUUAUAUACCCCACACCCUUUGGCUGGGGUCUUUUGUGCUACAACAGAAAAGGAGGAGAGGUGGGUUUCCUCUCCAUUUUUCUUUGCUUUUUUCCCUAUUUUUGCUUAGAUUUUGGAGGAUUGAUCUUUCCCUUUUGCUUCUUUUUGCAUUUUGGUAGCUUUCCACCAUCGGAGAAGCAUUGAAGCUUUGAUUGGAGUUUGUUCGAAGGAGGAUCUUCAACCCUAGCACCUUUCCAACUAGGUUUGAGGCAUCAAGAGAGGUUAGUAUCAUGUCUCUCUCAUUUUGGAGCAUGUUUUGGUAGAUUUUUGUGUGGAAACCUAGAAAUGAGAAAUCUAGGGUUUAUUUGGAGAUUUUUGAUUUGUAGCUUUUGGAACUUAAUUGAUAGGUGUAGAACCUUUAUUUGGAUUGGAAUAGAAGUGCUCUAGCUUCCAUUUGCAAUUUAGGAGGGUUUUCUACCAUUUAAGGUGAGUUUUGACCUUUUUUUUGGGUUUGUUAAAGAUGAACACUUUGGGUGUUCGUUCGUUUCGUCUAACCUUCUUAGAAUUUUCUUUAGGGAGUUAGGAGACUUGUGGGUGCCUUCGUUCGCGCAAACGAAAGGGUUGUAAGGAGUUUUUGGUGGGUUUGACCUCACUGAAAUGGGUGAACUCCCCCUAUGUUGUUUUUCUUGAUAUAAAAAUAAAAAUUUAUGCAUAUUCAUGCUAGAUAGAGUAUAUGUGAAUUUUAGAAUGCUUAAAAUACAUAUGUUAUGUUUCAUGAAAAAUCACUUCUAUGUAGUAGAGAGAUAUGUGCAUUGUAAUCAUGCAUGUGAUUAGCAUUCUUUUAUGUGACUUGGAAUCAUGUUUCAUGUAAUGGAAAUGACUAGAAUAAUAUGCUCUUGGACAUGGAACUCAUGUUGAACAUAGUGGACAAAAAUGCCAUAAAGAGGCAUUCAACUUAGUAAAUGGUUAAACUUCUACAUGAUGAUAAAGUGAUAGGCCAUUGGGUCACUAGCUUUUAUACCAUGUUUUAGACAUGAUGACUUGAGACUUGUGAUGGAUGAUUACAUUUGCUUGCCAUUGUGCUCAUUCGCACAUGCUUGUGAGGGUUGCUCCCCACAAGCCGGCACUUCGGAGAUAGCCAUUGCGACAUAUGCUCGUCUGUGCGAGAUUGGGCGCCGAAAUGGGAUGCCGUGGGGGAGGCUCAUUCCUAGGGUGGGAAUGUUGACUACCACGGGGCCAUUAGGCACGGCGCAAACCGGAUUACCUUGUGUAGGUCCUAUAUGAUUGGAACAAUAUUGAAUUAAAAUAUAAAAUGGACAUUAGACUAUUUGUAAAUGUUGACAUUCUACUAGUUGCAUCAUGGACAUCAUGCUACUUAUAUAUGUAUAUGCUCAUUCAUAUUAGAAUAGCAAUUAUACUUGUGCAAAAUCAUGCUAAGUAGAGGCAUAGUAGUUUAGCAAGUUUUAUUCAUGCUUAAUAUACAUAUUGUUCAUUUCAUUUAAAUGUUAGAACUUACUACUUAUGCUUCCAUCGCCUAGUGGUGUAUUUCGCUGAGGUCAGCGGCUUGCCUACCGGGAACUAUUGAUUAAUAGUUCUCACGCCUUCUAUCCUGUUGUUUUUUUACAGAGCCUUCCACACCGGGAGGGGCUUGGGAUCUCGGCAAGGGUAUUGCCUCUAGCUAGUUGUGAGGAGCUUCGCUAUUAGGUGGUUCACCUCUCUUUUGUUUUAUUUGGAGAGGAUGAGAGUUUUGUACCUUUAUAUAGAGGCCACUAUUUUUGUAUAUCUAGCAUUUGUAUUGGAGAUCUUAAUGUAUUAACCUUUAUGGUUUAUGUUAGUUGUUUAGUUCUUUUAUCUAUCCACUUGCUAUUAGAAUCUAGUUACAAUCAUGCUCUGAUAUCUCUAGAUAUUUAUUUUUUGUUACUUUAAUUAUCGCUUUGUUGUAGACUCCUUAUAUGUUGUAGGCAUAUGGCGGGUCUGGACACGCAUCGGGCGGGCUUCCGCUGGGUCCCGGGGCAUGAAACCUCUGCCCCUCAUGCCCUCGCGCCCCCCUCCCUCCUCGCCUCCGACCCCGCCAAGACUAUGCCGCAACCCUUUUUUUUUUUCUCUCCGGCCCUCCUCCACCGCCUCCUCGGCCCUCCGCGAUGAUAGCGAGGACGGUACUGCGUCCUUUUCCUCCGCCUUCGCUUUCCACCUCCACUGUAGCAGAUUUUCUACUCGCCAAACAAAACCGUUGUUCCCACUGCCGUCGCCGGAAACGAAAAGAAAAUGCUUUUCGGGGCCGAAAAGCACGCUUGCGAGGGAAGGGGAGAAAAUUAGUUACAUUCCGGCGAGAGCGGUGGCUGCGAUAGAGGGCAAGGGAAAGGUUGUGACAAAAAAAAAUUAUAGAGAGAAAAAUAAUAAGAAUAAUAAAAAAAAAUUCUACAGAAAAGACCAAAAAUAAUAGAAGAAGGAAGAAAAAAAAAAUUGCACUACUAAAAUAAAGUUAUACUGUUUUAAAAAAAUUUUGCACUGUUUUAAAUAAAAAUUGCACUCUUUGAGAUAAAAAUUAUACUCUUUGGAAUGAGAGUUACACUCUUUAGGCAAAAGUUGCACUCUUUGGGUGAAAUUUAUACUAUUUCUUUUUCUCUUUUUCUUCUUCUUCUUCUUCCUUCUUCCCCUCCAUCGCCCCUCUUCCUUCUUCUCCUCCUCUAGAGCCUCUGAUCAGCAGUAGCAGCAGCGCAUCAACGACCUCCUCGCCGAGCCCGAGGCCCUCCAUUGCCUCAAGGCCUUCGCCGAGGACGAUGUUUGCUGCCUUGCUGGUAGCUUGUUUAUAGUAUUAUUAUGGCUGGGUAUAGUUGAGCAAGUAUUCUGUAGUCUAUAAUGAUCCAUAUAUAGUCGAGCACAAGGUUAGUAUCAAAUUGGUUUUAAUUUUAAUCAAUAUUUAAUUUAAAAUGAUUUAAAUUAAGCAAAUAAUCAUAUCAAUCAUCUGGGAGGCGGUGGAGAUCUUGGACUCGAGGGCGUCGCUACGGGAUGAGGCCUCAGCGGGCUUCGCAGUGGCGUCGUCGAGCUUCUUGGCGGCAUUGUCGGCGGAGUAGAGGGCGUCAUCGUGCUUCUUGAUGACGUCCUGGGCGAAGGCCUUGAGGCGGAGGAGGCGGGACUCGGAGUCGGCGCGGGCGUCCUCGGCGGAGCGGCGGGUGCGACGCUCGACCUCGAGCUCGGCGAGGAGGUUGCCGAUGCGCUACUGCAAGCUGCGGAGGAGGAGGAAGAGGAGCCGGUGGAGGGGAAUGAGGAGGAUGAAGAAGAAUAGAAAGAGAUAUGGUAUAAAUUUUGUCCAAAGAGUGCAACUUUGGCCUAAAAAGUGUAACUCUAAUCCUAAAGAGUAUAAUUUCUAUCUUAAAGAGUGCAAUUUUUAUUUAAAAUAGAGCAAAACUUUUUUAAAACAGUGUAAUUUUAUUUUAACAGUGCAAUUUUAUCUUUUUCUUUCUUCUUCUAUGAUUUUUGGUCUUUUUUGUAGAAAUUUUUUUUUUUUUUUAUUUUUUUACUUUUAUUUUUUUUUCUCUAUAAUUUUUUUUUUGUCAUGAUCUCUCCCUUGCCCUCUAUCACAGCCACCAUCCUCGCCAGAGUGUAACUAUUUUUCUCCCCCUCCCUUGCCGGCGUGCUUCUCGGCCCCGAGAAGCACUUCCUUUUCGUUGCCAACGGGGGGGAUGAGGGCAGCGGGUUUGUUUGGCAAGUAAAAAAUCUACUGUAGUGGAGGUAGAGGGCGAAAGGGGAGAAAGAGCACGCGGUACCGUCCUCGUCAUCGACGCGGUACCGUCCUCGUCAUCGUCGCGGAAGGCCGUGGAGGUGGUAGAGGUGGGUCAGAGAGAGAAAAAAAAAAAAAGAAGGAUGGUGGCGCAACCUCAGCGGAGUCAGAGGCGAGGAGGGAGAGGGAUGCGCGGGCGAGGGCGAGGGCGUGAGGGGCAGAGGCAAGGCGGGCCAUUUCCGCCUCCGCCUUUGCCGCCUUCUUCGGAGAGGAAAAAAGAAAUGCAAGAAAAAAAAAAAAGAGAAAAAAAGAUAUAAGAAUAUUUUGAUCAGUUUGCUAAAAAUCCUAAUCUAAUAUGCAAAAUCAUGCAAGAUCAAAGAAGACGGUCCAAUUUUACAAAACCUCAAAACUUGUAAAUUUUUUUAUACAAAUUGGCCAAAUUAUAUUUGUAUUUAUUAAAUUUUAAAUUUUACUCAAUCAAAUAUAGGUAUAUAAAAAUUUAAGCACCCCGCCACCCACUCCCCAAACCCGUUUUCACCCGUAUGCAUCCAUAUCCAACCCGUUUGCAAAUAAAAUUGGCGCCGGAGUCCAACCCGAUUUCACCCCUAUUGACGUGGGAGUGGGGGGUUACACGUGAAACUAUUCAGUUUUGCAGUUGUAUAUAUGAAAACAUCUCAACAAUCACUACGAGGAAUAAUAGCAAACCGAGUACUCAGCUACACUCUAGUUAAAUAGUGAAAUUUCAAGAAGAAAGAAAAACAUAACCGAAAGCACCAUGAAGUAAAAUUGCACCUAGAAAACAAAUUGUUGAUAGCUAAAGCAAGCCAUCAACUUGAUGUUUACAGUAACAUAUCAGUGUACCCAAAUCUAUCCUCGGCUGAUAAAUUUGAGAACAAAUUAAUAAACAAUAUCUUCUGUGUCGAAUUGAGCAUCUAGUAACAGGAUUCUUACAACUAAAGCAUAUUUCUUUCUUCCGCCCCCCCCAAAAAAAAGACGACAAAUGGAGCAAAACUUGACCAAAUUUGAAGCAUCCAACUUAAUCAACACACGGCUAUGAGGUAAGAUGGAAUACUUGGCAGCUGGGGUUGUAAGAUCUCUUGCUCACAGCCUGCUCAAACUUCUUUAUCGCAGCUUCAUUCUCUUCUAAGCCGCUCUGAACAAAGUAUCGGAUCCACCAUGACGAGCUCCUUAAUUUAGCCUAUAAGAAAUCACCAACAAGAAACAAUUUUUAAGUCAAAAAAAGGAAUUGCAAAAUACCAAGACAUCUGGAGAUUUAUUUGGUAUCAGACUUUGCAGCCUCAUGCAAAUUAGAAUUCAGGCUAUAAUUAUAUAUUUGUAAGUAUCAUGAAAAAUACUAUAAAAACAAACAGUCAAUGCUCCCAAAAAGAGAGCAAAGAAAAGAAGAGUAAUGAAUCAAAUGCUCUGACGAAACUACAGCAGAAGCACAAACUUUAAAUUAGAGCCCCCACUUGUAGAGCCCAGAAGCUCAUUUUUAGUAUUAUGUCAAAGCGAAAGCUUCGAACAUUCUCGCUAGCUAAAAUGUCUGGUUUCAAUGGCCCUAAGCUCGUAACUGAUCCAUCAAAAAUGUUGAUUUAAAUCAAAUAAGAAAAUGGAAGCAAAAGCUUCUCACAGAUUUUCAUACUGCUUACUAAAAUAGGGGAAUCACAUGGAAAACCAUACAGCCACAUCAAAAAUUUCAAGCUAGGUUUCUUUCUUUUGCAGUCUGUCAUUUGCCUAUACCAUCUCUCUGCCCUAUUCUUUCUCAUUUAUUUGCAAUUUAUCAUUACAUCUAUCUCCAUCUCUUUUCACUUGCUGAUGGUCUCCUCACAAUCAAUUUCUAGCAACCAUUGAUACCGCCAAGUUUCGAAAGUUAAUCAAGUUUUCUUUAUAACAAUCUUUUUGCCUUGUUGCCAUAGAUUGUUGUAACAGAAAGGAAGCAUCCUUACAUAUAAUAUUGAUACCAAAAUUAACUAAAAAUAAUUUUAAAAAAGUUUUACAUGAUGAAAUCUACUGCUCUGAAAUUUCUCCGUUAUUUAGUUAUAUAUAUGUCAUUCUGUCAGUUGAUCUCAGGUUAAUCCCAGGAUAAUUUCAUCCUCAAUCUUAUAGGCGACAAUCACUCUCCAGGGUCAAUUAACUCCAACGAUCACUCACCUUCAUUAGACAUGCCAGCAUAGAUGUCUAUAAUUAGAGCUGAAAUAUAAAGAAGCUAUUAUUAUAUUUCCUUAUAACUCUGCUAUACAAUAGGAAACUAAAUUACUAUUGUAUCUCUUGAUUAUUUCCCUUGGUAGACCAACUGAGGCUGUAUUAUACUGUGAAUAGUAACAAUUCUGUUCUUCGAGCUUCUUCCGCCUAAAAAUCUUAAGUUAUAAUUCUUCUACAAUAUUUACUAUAUGGUAUCCGAGCUUACUGCUCAGACAAGCUAGAGAUCCUAUUAUUUUUUUUCCCCAUGGCUGAAAAAAGCAUUUCAAACACCAUUACCUCCCCGUUGGCUAUUCCCAACUCCCAUUCUGACCCCAGCAAUAUGCUUAUUUCAAAAAAUGCUUCAGCCCAACUCCCUCUUAAGCUUACUACUCUUAAUUAUCCGUCAUGGCAAGCGCAAUUCAAUAACCUUUUGGUUGGCUAUGAUUUGAUAGGAUAUGUUGAUGGUACUUUGGUAUCACCGCCCAAAACAGUACUCAUAAAUGAGAAUAUUGGUCACUGAUAUGGCCUAUUCUUAUUGGUUUCAUCAAGACCAACUGUUACUUCAUGCAAUCAUUGCAUUGACUUCAGAAUCUGUAAUGCCACUUGUGGCCACAGCAAAGACGUCGCAUGAAGCCUGGAACAAGCUCUUAUGUCUCUUUGCAAGCAAAUCACACUCGCGAGUUAUGAGUCUCAAAAAGUGAUUGGUGUAUCACAAAAUAAACCUCGAGCCAUGGUUGGUGUUCGUGUCUCCAAAAGUGAUUGGCAUAAGAGCCUUGGUCAUCCCUCUUCUCAAAUUCUUCAAUAUCUCAACUUCUACGUCAACUUCUACUUUGCUAUGCGACUUAUGUCGCUGUAAUAGAGGUCAUAAACUUCCUUUUGGAAUCUCAAGUUUGUCUAGUCGUCGACCUCUUGAUCUUCUCUAUACUGAUGUUUGGGGUCCUGCUCUUGUGCAAUCAGUUGAUGGGUUUAACUAUUAUGUAAUUUUUGUUGAUUGUUUUACAAAAUAUGUUUGGCUUUUAUCCCAUGAAAAGAAAAUCAGAUGCCUCUUUCUUAUUUCCUAAAUUCAAAAAAUUAGUUGAAAAUUAUUUUGGCAUGCCUGUUGUUUCAUUUAUUCUGAUUGGUGUGGUGAAUAUCAAAAAAUGAAAGCUUUCUUUGAACCACAUGGCAUCACUCACUUAACAACUCCACCCUAUACACCAGGACGUAAUGAGUCCACGAAAUGGCGCCAUAGACAUAUUGUUGAAACAGGAUUGACACUCCUUCAUCAAGCAUCUCUUCCAGCUUCAUUUUGGUCCUAUGCUUUCCAAACUGCUACGUACUUAAUUAAUCGCUUACCUACCAAAAUACUUCGUUAAAUCUCCCUAUGAAGUGCUUUUUAAGAACUCUCCAAAUUACUCAAAGUUUCACAUUUACCAUAUGCUAAACAUAAGCUUGACACAUGUUCCAAGCCUUGCAUCUGUCUUGGUUAUUCACCUAAUCAAAGUGCCUAUCGGUAUUUCGAUCCUAGCACAAAUAAGAUCUAUGUUUCUCGACAUGUCAUCUUUGAUGAGUCAACAUUUCCUCAUGGCUCCUCAUCCUCCCAAGUUCAGUCUAAUACUUCCAUGAGGUCUGUGCCUAAUCAAGAUAAUCUUGGUCUGUCUCACUUUAUCUAUCAUUUCCAAAUCCUCUACUGCAACUUCUAAAGUAGAUCUGUGUCCCUAUUCCAUUGCAUGCACACUCAUCUCCUAGUCCAGCUUCACUUUCUCAAAUUUCAGCUAGUAGAGGAUCCUCUCAUCAGUCUUUUGUGCCCACUUUGCAUGAACAGCACCCACAACAAGGUAGCUCAUGCUCGUCGUCUCAAAGCCCAAGUGCAAAUUCAUCAUCAAAUACAAUUUCACCUAAACAACCCAGUCACUUCACCCCUCAACACACACAUCCUAUGACCACUAGAUCUCAAAAUAAUAUUUUCAAGCCUAAACAGCUCUAUACAACAUUGAAGCACCCUAUUCCCACUAUCAUGGAACCAACCUGUGUAUCUCAAGCUAUCCAAGAUCCAAACUAGCGAACUGCUAUGUCUGAAGAAUUUACUUCUUCACAAUGGUACUUGGGAGUUGGAUGCUCCUCAACCUCAUUACAAUGUUGUUGGCUGCAAAUGGAUAUUUCCUAUCAAAAGGCAUCCCGAUGGUAGUGUUGCACGCUAUAAAGCACGACUCAUCGCCAAAGGCUUCCAUUAGAGACCUGGACUAGACUAUCAUGAGAUGUUUAGCCCGGUCGUUAAACCACCCACCGUACGAACUAUUCUUUGCCUUGCUUUAACUCAAAGAUGGUCUCUUCAUCAGCUGGAUGUGAACAAUGCCUUCUUACAUGGUACUCUCAGUCUCACUGGAGUUGUUUAUAUGCAACAACCGCCGGGAUCUGUAAAUCACUCCUUACAUAUUCAUGUCCGUCCACUUAAGAAAGCAAUCUAUGGUCUCAAACAGGCCCCUCGAGCUUGGUAUCAUGCACUUAGUAGCUUUGUUAUUGCAUAUGGGUUCACUCAGUCAAAAUCUGAUUGUUCUCUUUUGAUCUAUCGACAUGAUGGAAUAAUGGCAUACUUUCUUGUGUAUGUUGAUGACCUAAUACUUACAGGAAAUGAUAAAUCAUUUCUACAAAAUUUUGUCCAAGCUCUUUCUGGCAGGUUUUCUCUUAAAGAUCUUGGUGAUCUUCAUUACUUCUUAGGGGUUGAAGUUAUACCAACAACGUAGGGCUUAUUUCUCACUCAGCAUAAAUACAAAAGAGAAAUCCUUGAUAGAACUAAAAUGCUUGGUGCUAAAGAUGUUGCUACUCCACUGUCGACUAGUAGCUCACUAUCUCGUCAUGAUGGCUUCCUCCAACAAAUGCUACCAAGUAUCUGGUGCUCUCCAGUAUCUCUCUAUCACAAGGCCGGACAUAGCUUUUAGCGUCAACAAAUUACCUCAAUUCAUGCAUCAACCAUCGGAGCUUCAUUGGACUGCAGUCAAACGUGUUCUUCGAUAUCCCAAAGGCACUAUCUAUCAUGGAUAGAACUUAAAGCGCUACUCUAAUUUACUAUUACACGCCUUCUCUGAUGCUGACUGGGCUGGUGAUAAAGAUGAUCGUACAUCCACCUCUACGUACAUUGUAUUCCUUGACAUCAAUAAUAUUUCAUGGGGCUCAUGAAAGCAACGAUCUGUUGCCCGCUCUUCUUCGGAGGCUGAAUAUCGUGCCAUUGAGAAUACAGCAUCUGAGUUGGCUUGGAUCCAAUCUCUUCUGCAUGAGCUAGGUGUAUCACUAUCUCAAAUUCCGACUAUUUACUGUGACAAUAUUGGUGCAAACAUAUGUAUGUGCUAAUCCAGUCUUUCACUCCAAGAUGAAGCAUAUAGCUAUUAGCAACCACUUUGUUCGUGAUAAAGUAAGCAAAGGACCGCUAAAAGUAUCUCAUGUAUCAACUUGUUAUCAACUUGCGGAAGUGCUAACAAAACCUCUCUCACGGCAGUGAUUUUCUCUUAUUCGUUCCAAGAUAGGUGUUCACAACGAUACACCUAUCUUGCAGGGGCGUAUAGGCGACAAUCACUCUCCAGGAUCAAUUAACUCCAAGAAUCACUCACCAUCAUUAGACAUGCCAGCAUAGAUGUCUAUAAUUAGAGCUGAAAUAUAAAUGAAGCUAUUAGUAUAUUUCCUUAUAUACAAUAGGAACUAAAUUACUAUAGUAUCUCUUGAUUAUUUCCCUUGUAGACCAACUGAGGCUGUAUUACAUUGUGAAUAGUAACAAUUCUGUUCUUUGAGCUUCUUCCACCUGAAAAUCUGAUGUUAUAAUUCUUCUACAAUAUUUACUAUACAUAAAUCUAAUCCCGGGUUAAAAUAGGGAGUAGAUUUGAAAGAAGAUGAAACUUCAGAGGGGUAAAUUUUAUCACUUAAACUUUUCAGGGGACAUAUUUAAAGGACGAUGAAUCUUUUUCUAGAGUAAGCGGCUACUUUUAAUAGUUGACAAUGAAAGUUAACUCAAAGGCGCAUUUGGUUCGCGCUAUGUAGCAUUCCUGAUUAUUUCAACAUAACCAGGAAUCUGAUUCCUGUGAAUCAGACUAAUGUUGCAUUGCCGCAUUUGUUCAGUGCAGUAAUCAUGUAACCAUACAUGAACAUAUUGGUGAUUAAUAAAUUUAUGACAUGCAAGAUAUGCUAAUGUACCCAUAAGGCAUAUAUGUGAUGAAAAUGUUACAAACAAAAAUAUAAACUAUUUUAUUCAACUAUCAUACAAGUAAAAAAGCAAUCCCUCGAGAUUUGUGGGAAGCAUGCAUCAAAAACAGCACGUAAUGAAUUUAAACAAGUGAAAAACAUGAGAGAUCAGAGUGUUGGCUUAAAUAGGCCAGCAUCCUGUCCUGUGGCGGAAAGCCAGGUUGGGCCAAAUCACGUUCGAAAUGGCAUGAGGCUGGGUUGGGCUGAGUCAUGUUCGAAGUGGUCAAGUCAGUUGGGACGAGUCACAAUCGAGAUCCGUGGGAGCUGUAUUUGUAUGCUUUAAAUAAAUUGGUUGCAUAUUUCUAAUAGCUCCAGCAUUUGGGAUUAAUGGUUAGCCCCAAUGAUCCAACAAAGAGGCUCACUAAAGCAAGAAAAAAAAGAAAAGAAAACAAAAGGAAAGGAAACAUCAAAAGACACUAACAAAAAAGUAAAAAAGAAAAGUUCUCUUGGUCUCGACCAAAUCUCGAACACGAUGGCUAGAUCUGCUUGAGAUCUGGCACAACAGCCAUAACCUGGCAGGCUCCACAAGAAUUUGACUGCCGCAGCCAAGUUGUGGCCGAGCUUGGCUUCGUGACGAGAGAGUGGAGGAGGGUAGAGAGAGAAGGAAAAGGAACAGAGAUAGAAGAAAAUAGAGUACCUCAAAAUCCCAAAAAGGAGAGGUGGAGAGGAGAAUACUACUCUCUAUAAUUGAAAUGAAGAGAUGAGAAAGGAUAUGGCUGGUAGGGAAAGGUAACUUCAUAGUUUUUUAUAAGUUGCAGGAUACCCCGUAACUAGUAAUACAAGAUACCAACCCCCCUCCUCUAUUAACUCUGUUGUUAGUAAUCUUGCAUUACUAAUAGAGUAGAGCAAACGAAAUGUGCCCAAAAGGUAUAUUUGAAAAGGGUUGGAACUUUAGAGAGGUAGAUUUCAUAACUUUUUCUAAGGGUCAAUAUAGAAGGCGGAUACUUUAAGGGUAUGUAGGCAAUUAACCUAAUUAUGGUAGUUAUCUGGUGGGCAGGAUUUACCUUAAUAACUUUGGAGAUAUUCAUCUCUACAACACUAUCGUCAUCUAAUUUCUAGAUUAUUAGAGAAGCUGUAAUGUAACCAGUCUCAAAGGCCCAUAGACAAUAUAACAGAUAUAUCUCAUAGAUCAAAAUCGACAAAAAGUUCAAAUAAUUCAACAACACUUUCUCAAAGCUAAAUUCAUACUAAAAGCUUUGGAAUUGUUGGUUGUGUUAUGAUAAAAGCCGAAAAUCCUACUUCAUCAGGUACAAAGCACCAAUGACAAUCGAGAAGGAGAGAAGAGAAUAAAGCAAACAAGCAAUUUACAUGAUUUGCGCGACUGGCCUAAAUUUAGAAGUCUAACUAACUCACCGAUAACGAUACAAAUAAGUUUGUAUGGCUAAUUUUCUUCAGACAAUGUUAAGUUACCACUAGCGAUAAAAGAAAACCAUAAUCACUAUGUAGAAGAGGCUCAGGACAACUUAACUGAAAUUUACCAAACUACAAAAAAGAUCCAAGAAAGAAAAAGAAAACGUUUAGUAUAAAAAAAAAUGCGUUUGCAUAUUCGAAGUACGAAAAAGAAAAGUAAGAAGUUAUAUAAACAUUCCUACAAAUCAUCAGAAACAUAUCUACAGGUUGUAUUACAAAUCUACAAUGUUAAUAGUAUUCCUAAGGUAUGUAAAAGGUGGUAAACUAAUGUAGGUUAGCUGCUGUGCGUACCGGUCUUCCAAAUUUUGAUAGCUCAGAAACCUUAGCUCUCUGCUGACCUGGAAAACCUAGCAAAAUAAAGAAUAUAAAUUAAUGAACUAAAGCCACUCUUCCUAUUGAACAAUAUGCCACGUUGUACAUCCUUGGCUAACUUAAAAUUUGAAAACUAGCACAACAAGCAUGGAAUAGGCAUUAAAUAGCACUUCUGCACCAUAAAGUGGAAAAGAAACUGAAUCUAGAAUUAAUUGAUCCAUAACCAAUAUAAGAGGAGAAUUAUGUCAGCAACAAUACUUACAAUACAAUCAACAAGUAACAGUGCGAGUUUUCCCUCUAUAUAUUGGCAAACAAAAUACUACAUAUUUUCAUGAUGUGAACAAUUUUAGAUAUGAUGUGCAACAAUUAAAAGAAAAUGAAGGCCAGCCGAGUGAGGCUUGAGAACUCGCCCAGUUCACACCACAAGAAACUAUUCAAGAUCCAAACGCAUAAACUCUAAGAUUUAAGGGAAAAAAAAAUCAAAUUAUAGGAACACGAACUAAAAGUAAAAAUUGUGUAUUGCCUAGGAGGAUGAAAACAAAGUAAUAACUUAGGGAAUUUCACCAAAGCAAAAGCUCUUCUGGGAGAAAAUUAAGUUCAAGCUUAUUCCCUAUUCCCCUGAAAAAUGGGCUGGCAGGUUGUGUUUUGUUCAACAACAUAGUUGGGUCAACUUGAGACUACAUAUAAAUGUUCAUAACUUUUAAAUGUUGAAAAAGAAAAGGAAUUUAUUAAUCAUAUCAUGUUGUGUCAUUUUUGGAUAAACAGGUUUAGGUCGUGUUGAUUUAGUUUUUCUCUUGGUAUUUUUGGGUCAUGUUAUUUUUGGAAUUACUGGCCCUACCUACGAAUGCAGAAAGAAAUUUUAUGGUUGUAAGAAUAUUAAAAUUUGCUGCCCUUUGUCAUCACCAAGAAAGGGAGUGAAUAAAUUAGCUCAUAUGCUGCAUUUUUUACAUUGCAAUAACUAAAAUAGAUAGAAUAAAUAAUUCUACUUUCUUAUAAACAUACCAGCAAAUAUAACUAGGCCGUCAGCUGAAAUCCUUGCCAAGUCCGGAAGGGUUUUGUUAAGGUACUUUGGUGAUAAAUAAUCCAAAGCAUCUGAAACUAUGACAAGGUUAAAAGAUCUUGGUCGGUAGGGCAAAGGGAACUUAAUAUCGGCUACACGCACAAAGCCCUUUCGCACAAGGCUUUUGCAGCUACUAUCAGCAUCCUCUGAAUCAUAAGGUUCCACACCCCAGGCUUCAGUGUUGUCUUCUUUCAAUAGCAUAGAAACCACCGAACAGGCAUUGGGUCCCACAUGAAGAACUUUUUGCAUAGUGUCACCAUAAGCUUUUUGUAAGAAAGGUAUUGCCCGUAUAACUUCUGAUGUGCAAGAGGCACCUGUAAUUUAACAAAAGAAAGUGGGAAUUUUACAAGGAAGAAAUAUUAAUAUCAAGGUUACAACUAUAAUUUUGAUAAAAACACUAACAAUAGCAUCUAAUUUUUCAAGUCUUAUAAGAUGGUAUGCAUCAGACUCUCUAUUCUCAAACAUUCCCGAAGGUUCAAUAAAAGUACUCAAGUCUACAUUACUUUUUUGUUCUGUGCGAGAGAACUGUUCAUCUAUUUUCUUAUUUUCUUUAGGUAAAAAUGUAUGAAGACACCCUCAACCAUAGGCCAUUUUGAAAUAGGCCCCUCAACUUCACUUUUUUUGAUUUGACACCCCCUUUUUUGACGCAAUUUCAAGCGUACCCCGCUAAAGAAAUUUCAUAGAUGCCCCUUUAAAAAUAUCACAUAUACCGCUCAAAGUAUAUAAAUUUAUCACAAAUAACCCUACCGUCAACUUAAUAAGCUUACCCAGGUUAAAAGAGAGUAACACUUUCAGUAAAUGAAAUGAUGAUUUUACCCUCACCUAUCCAUUGUAGGGCAAAAUAUUAACUCAUUUUUUAUUUAGGAUAUGGUUUUUAAUUUAAUAGAUUAUAGCAUGAUUUUUUUAAUUCCUUAUUGUGCGAACUAUAACUUUUAUUUGAUUAAUUUUUUCUUUAAAAAUUGUUAAAAUUAUGAAAAUUGCUUUACUAAUGAUAGUACUAAGCUUUUAGCUUAUUUCGAACAAAUCCAUGAAAUUUGCAUGAGUUUUACGAGGAGCAUUUUAGAACAUUUUUGACAUUUAUGAGGGCAUUGGUUAUAUUUUGAAAAGGGGAACUGAUGAAAUUAUAGCUCGGUAGAACGGCAUUUAAGAAAUUAUUCCAUUAUUGCCCCAGAAAUAAAGGGAUAAUUUCCUUUUAUUUUUGCAGUUAAAUUAUUCUAGUUAGCCGACAAAGAAAUAUUAGUACAAUGGUUACAACUAUAUUUGAUCAAAACAUUAAGAAUACAAUCGAAUUUUUCACAUUUUAUAAAAUUGUAUGCAUCAUAAUUCUGUCAUAUAAGUGUUGUCUAUAAUUAAAUAUUGUUUGGCUAAUAUUAGUCUGAAAAGUACUGUGAAAUAAUGUUAAUUGAUAAAAUACUAUCCAAACAUUAUUUUUAAUACUUAUUCACAUUUAAAAUGUUUUAUAUUGACAAAAACAACCCACGCCAAUUUACCCUCACUAGUGCCCACAACUCCCUGAACCCCCCCAAACGCCCCUGCGCUUUGUCACCGUUACGCUACACCCCACCCCCGCAGUCCCUUGCCGUGCCCCACCCUUGCCGCUCCCUUGCCCCUUGCCAAUGCACGACCCGAAAAGAAAAAUAAUAAUAAGGUGCUUGACUGUUGCCCCAGCCCCACCCCCGCACUCCCUCGCCGCGUCAACACANNNNNNNNNNNCCCCCCCCCGCUCCCACCCCAAGCAUUAAUGUAUACAUCAUUUGUGAAAAUCCUUGCCCUAUGCAAAGCUGAAUGGCAUCAUUAAGUACUGUAACCAAGUCAAAUAUGAAAGGUAAGAGUAGUUAAACAGAAAUCUUUUUAUAUUAUACUUUUCAAUUAGCUAAAAACUUUCUACGUGUUAAAGAGCUUAAUGCAUAAGUUUUUUCUCUAUGCAAUCAACAAAAAUUUGCCUUAAGUUGCUUUGACUUGAAGAGGUAGGAUUUUCAAAACUUUUUCAGGACUCUUCAAGAUAAAAUAAUGUUCCAUUCAUCAUCCAAUAAAAGCUGAUGGUACAAUAGGAGACACAAAACUAGCGUAAAUGAAAAGGAUGAAAAGGCAGAGAUUGGGUAUUAGAGGACCAAAUCUUCAGAGAUCUCCUUAGAUGAAAGUAUUGAAUCAUGAACCUUGAUCAGUUGAUAGAUCAAUCUUCUUCAGCAAAAGAGAGUUGGAGAUAAAUGACACCAAAUAUAAACAUUAUUACACAUGUGAACUUACAAUUUAAAAAUCCUUUUGUUUUAUCAAAGUUACAUUAUAGCAAUGGUCAACGUUGAAGGGACAGGAAAAGGAUUAACUUCAUAUUAGCUUUUUAGCAAUUAUUUCACAAACAAUAAUGCUGGUAAAAAAACACUAAUGCAAGUAAACAUGAAUACUAAUAUUCAAUAAACAAUAUUGUAAUUAAAAAGGUAGAAGUAAAAGGAUUAACUAAAUAGAAAACAACCAAAACAAUGGCAGUGAAUGAGACUGAGAUGUCUACCUUCAACCUUGCUUAUAGCUUCUCUACCACCACCAAAGCCACCUGAGCAUUAACAUACAAAAAAGAAAGAAUCACUUCAGUAUAGACUUAAACCAAGUUUUACUAUUGAAGUAAUUGAAUUGCACCCCAAUAUCUGAAUGUGGAAUGAUUUUGUACCUACCUGAGCCAUGAUAGGAGUAACCAAUCAGAAGAAACGCACCCUGAAAUUUUCAACGCGAAGAUUACCAAAUAAAGACCCAAAUCUAUAGAUGAAGCACCAGAAAAACAGCACACUUCAAAAGUAAAACCUACCAAAAGAACCAACCCAACAGAGAGUAAGGGCGAAGAACGUGACUUCUGAUGGAGUGAACCAACAAGCGGGUUACUCCCGCUGUCUACCAACCGCCGAUUGGGAUUAACUGCUCUUCUUGACAUACUUUUCAGCCUUCAAAACAAUAAGAUCACCUCAUUCACAGUUGCAACAUUCUAGCAUAGGAAAAGAGAAGGAAAAAUAAAAAUAAAAAUAAACUUGGAUAAAAUAUAGGCCAUUUUGAAAUAGACCCCCGAACUUAUUUUGCCUGACACCAACUAAACUUUCAUGUAGGUAAAACAAUAUAGAACUUUGAAUUUGUUUGAUUUAAGCAAAUAGCCAUUUGAUGCUUCUUCUGGUAAAAAUAUAUAUUUAUUGUAAUAUCCUGACCCACUACCAAUAAUCACCGGCCUAAAAUGCCUAAGCACAAUUAUUAUUAAUAUACUUUGUGGUCCUUAUAUUUCCAAUCACAACCCAUUUUCCAUCCGAUAUAGGAUUAUUCGGGUGUUACAAAAUCCUCCUGUUUGGAAAUGACACCCUCAUCAAGUCCAAAUCCGAUCAUAUACACAUAGACUGGAUUACUAGGCGAUGUGAGAUUUUAGAGGCAACUUAUGCAGGUUUAAGAGGUGACUCCCACCAAACUAGUGGUAUAGUAUAGCCCUUUACGCUGCAUAGCAGUUAGCUCUCACACUUUCAACUGGUAUUUUGCUCUAAUACUAAAUGUAACGACCCGACCCACUAGCAAUAAUAAUUCAUUGGUCCCAAAACAUCAGCUCAAAAUGCUUAAAUGCAACUAUUGUUAAUAUGGUCCAUGGUCUCUUAUAUUCCCAAUCACAAUCCGUUUUCCAUCUAACGUGGGACCAUAGGGUGUUACAUUUAUCACUUAUUUAAUGAAUUAUAGCGGUGUUUUAAAUAGCGGCCGCUAUGCCCGCCAUAGCGGCCGCUAUAGCGAAUUUUAUGUGCUACCGCUACGCUAUAAUAUGUAAAACGGUAUGUACCGGAUCGGGUUCAUAGCGGUCGCUUUAGCGGGCAUAGCUAAAGCGGCCACUAUAAAGCGGUUGGAAAGCGGGCGCUAUGAGCCCCAACCUUUAAAAAGUGCAAACGGGUUAAAAUAACUUAUGGAGUUGGAUUCUUAAAUGAAAUAUAAAGAUCAAACAUUGUUUCUAAGGGUUUGGAAAAUAAUUAUUUACCUAAGAUAUCUUUUUUGAUAUCCAUUUACAAAUUGUUUUGAUUGUUAAUGGAUUAUAAAUUUGCAAGUUUUAUAUCUUUUUGGUUUGCUAAAUAUUUUAAAGUUAAUCUUAAAUUCUUAAUAGAUAAUGACAUUAAAUAUAUGUAGCCUUGCAAUACUAAAAAAAAAAAAGAAUGAUUAGUUUUCUUUUCUUCAAAAUUAUAUGUAUCUUUUAUGAGGAACAUAAACAUAUUAAAUUUGUUUUUAUGAAACCUGUUAUGGGAUGGGUUCAUAGCGCCCGUUAUGGUGCCCGCUAUCUGCUUUCCAUUAUGAGACACUCCAAAUGCUAUGUACCCACUAUUCAUUAUUUACAACCUUGAUUUAUAGUCACAUAAAUUAUAUAAAAUAUGCUUAGUAAAGAUAAAUGAUGCAUCCAAAUUUUGAAGUGGGAGAGUCUUUAAAUGGCUUAUCAAAUAAAUGAAAAGUUCAGACAACAAAAUCAUAAUUUUUAAAAGUUAGAUAGCCAGAUCAAGAUCAAAAUGGGUGAUAGGCCUGGUAAAUUCUCUACAUUUUCAUCUUCCAUUUACUUUAGCGUGAAUAUUUCUAGUUUGUCGAAUUCAGGAUUUCUUUAAAUUAAAAAAUGGUUUCGCCAAAUUUCACAGCUCUUACUGUUUUUCAGGUUUCCAGGCUUCCAGCUAAAGAAAAUGUAGAUUCUGUUAUGCCUAAUAGCUGAUGAAGCCAUAGAUUGUGAUGAAACCCUCAACCCAUUUGACUGAAUUUACUCAAAUGCAAUUCAUCUUAUUGAAAUAACUCAAAUGCAAACAGAAAGUUAACAUGGUGUCGAUCAAAAAGUCCAAGAGCCUAUUUCAAAAUGCCUAUUAUAGCUUAAAAGUCUCCAUUCAUUUGUCAGAAAGAGAGCAAUUAAUUUCAUUUAUGAGAUUAUAUAACCAGAAAACACAAUUAAUUUCAUUUAUGAAAUUAUAUAACCAGAAAACACAAUUAGGGCUCGUUUAGUUCGCACUAUGAAAGAUUACUUGGAGUAAAAUGAUAUUCGAGAAUCUUAUUCUUAUUCAUCCUAUUACUAGGAAUAUAGUAUUUCGGUGUUUGGUUUGUAUGGUCAUAUUAUUUAAUCAAUGUUAUUUAAGAUUACGAAAAAUAUAUAAUUAAUUAAUUUAUUUUUUUAAUUAAUUUUAAAUAAUACUAUAAAAAAAUUUCAACAUCUUUUUAGAAAAAAAAGAGAGAGAAUAUAAAUUAGAAAGAGAGAGCAUAAUAAAGAAAUAGGAAGAGAAAUAGAAUCGAGAUUAGAGAGAAUGAGAGGGUUGAGAUUUUAGCAAAAUAGGGGGAGAAAUAGCUUAGUUUAGAGAGAGAAAGAGAUAAGUUUAGAGAGAGAUAUGAGGUUAGAGUGUAAAGAAAAAUAAUACCAACUAGCCGGCGGGUAAGAAGAAAGAAAAAGAUUAGACAUAUUAUAAUUACCCCAAUCUAUUAAUAUAAGAAUACCCACCCUCCCUCAAAGAAAUGAGAUUAGUACUUUGGAAUGCAUCUCAUUCCCAAAUAAAUCUAAUAUUACCAACUAAAUUACUCAGUGCGUUUAGCCAAAUAUCGUCAUAUUUUUUUAUUCCUAUUGGAUUACUAGAAAUCUUAAAAGGAUAGCGCGAACCAAAUGCACCCUUAAUUUCAUUUAUGAGAUUGUAUAACCAGAAAACUGCAUGAAUCCCAAAUCACAAAAUACGUAACAUUAUCUCGCGCAUCUUAGUUCAGAAAAUAAAGCGGGAGAAAUACACAAAAAAAUAGAGAAAAAUAUUGUAGAAGACAACAAAUAAUCAACACCGCCAUUGAAAAUAAAGCAAGAUAAAUACAUAAAAAAAUAGAGAAAAAUCUUGCAGAAGACGAAAUAAUCAACACCACCAUUAAACAUCUUAUAAGCACCAAGCAACACGAAAUCCCUGUAUAUCGAUUCCAAAUAUCAAUCAAAUCUUAAUCAGUUCGAAUCCAUGAUUUAAACCUUUAAUGAUGCCAAAAUGGAACAAAAUUAAACAAAAAGAAGCGGAUUUAACGGUAAGAAAGGGACAUUCAAUCAUUUCUCACAUUUUUCACUAAAAUAAGGGAAAUUGACAGCGAUUUCGUUCCGAAGAAAAAGGAAAGAAAAGUAAUCGAUCAUAUAAAUUAGAAAAAUUAGGGAAAAUUACCUGAAUUAAAGUGAUGAGAGAUCGUGUGCGCGAUAGAUCUUGAGAUCUGAGAGGAAUACCGCUCUCUAAGCUCUACGGCGAGCGCGAGCGAGAGAGAGAGAGAGAGAGAGAGAGAGAGAGAGAGAUCCACCGACGUUGAUCGCACGUGACACAUUUAAAGAGCGAGAGGGGUUGGAGCUUGUCAGCCGUUGGAUCUUCUUCGGACGGGAUUCAUCUAUCCUUUCCUUUUUUUGGUAAGUUAUUAAUUAGGCGAUUUUGGAAAUUGGCGGGCCCAUUAAAGCAUAACGGAAGUUAUUUAUUUAUUUAUUUAUUUUUAAGAGAGAGAAAAAAGAAAAGUCAUCGGCUUUCUUUAUUUUUUCAAAAAUAAACUCAAGUUAAUAAUAUAAAUUAACUAAACUUCAAAUUUAAAACUUCAGAUACCAACCAUUAAUGUCUUAGCCGUUUAGUUCAAGUUAUGUAAUAUUACAGAUAUUUUGAUUAUCACACCCGGAUUACUUGUUUCUUCGGACACUCUAACAGAUCAGCCGUAUACAUAGAAAUUUUUUCUGUAUACGAAGCGAAACUGUACCCGUACCUGUAAUCAUACAACACUACAACCAGUAGUAUAGAGCUGCUAGAAAGAAAUAAAAUAUAUAUAAAAGCAGAAGUUCACUAUACAUACAUAACAUCCAGAUGUACAAAAUGCUCGCUCCAGCGAGAUACAACAUAAGUAUGUAUAGGAAGUUAAAACUAUAACUAUCUGUAGCUGAUAUACUUUAGAUCAGCAACAACUGGGAAGCGAUCUAACUCGCGACUCCCUUUCCGUGGUCCGAAUCAGCAGCAACAGCAGCCGAAGGAGAAGGCUCUGCAAAAGAUUCCAACAACUGAGUGUGAGAACUACUGCAAAAAGAAGUAGUCCUCAGUGGGUACCGCUACCGACCUCAACGGCUCGCCCACUAAGUCUACAGAUGUAUGCUCAAAUGAUAGUAAGGAAACUGGAAACAAUCUACAGUUACAUUCCACUAUACUAUCAUGAUUCGACACUACUAUCUGUAAAAUAAAGCAAACUCUGACCUAAUCUCACUGGAGACUGUAAACAUAGCCGUCUCAGGGACUAUAAACACACCCGUCCCGUCUAUCGAACCUAUACAGCUACCUCCACACUAAGCAGUCCGUGGAGAGCAAGUCCAAACAGGACACAACGACACCAAUGCAAACGCACAAAGCCCGACUCCGGAGUGGCACUCGUGGGUGCUACCGAACUGAGUAUACAAGCGUAUCUCUGUCGAGCUCAAUCAGGCUCUCACAGGCUAUGAUCCAAGUAAACAGGGUCACACUGGCCUAACAACCAAACUCACGUGCCCUCGGUACAAUCUGACGCAAAAAUAGCAAUCCGGGUCCACCGUCAACCUCAACGACACCCAACAGACCGAAACAGUCUAAAUACUACUGUAAAAAUAAGCUCGGUAUCCUAGCACGAGCGUAAAUACAUGCUACACUAUCUUGGGUAUUCACCACCCACAACCUGCGGUGAUACCAAUAAACUAUGGUUCCUAGAGCUAAUCUGGUAGUUUAAACAUAUGACGGUGUAGAAUCGUUAGUUUUCUCCUAAGUCAAAUCCCAGUCCAACAUGUAUAUUUAACUAACAUUUAAGCUCCAAUUUUAGAUUCCAAUAAACAUGCAAAUCCACUAAUUGAGCUAUCUAACAAUACAACAAUAACCAAUAUACAUGCCGACAACUAUAACUUCGAAGGAAAUCCGGUAAUUCCAGUAGCUUAACAAUUCAACCCACCUCUCGCGCAACUCCAUGGCAGCAAGAGGGUCACGAAAACACCGAAAAUCUCUGUUGUAUUCACCAUUAGACCAGCAGUAAACCUCCUCAAAGAUCUGAACAUCAAUACACCAAAAAUUGCAUUAUAACCCAAAAAUUCGAUACUUAAGCUUAAUCCUCCCAUUUCCAAAGACAACUUCACCUUCCAAUCUUCAAAUCAGGUGAGGAAAGGUCUCAAAUCCAGUAGAAAAAGAAAGCACACAAGGUUCAGGUUGCAAUUCCAGCUCCCUCCAAAGAUUGCAUCAUAAAAUCCACAAAAACUCAAAUUUUAGCUUCAAUACUGCAGCAGUCAAGAAAAACAACAAUUUGACCAAACUAACCUCAAUCAAAUACAGUCAAAAAGGACUCCACGAAAACUUCAGGAAGCCAGCUAACCACGAAACCAAGUUUCACUGCAAUCGGGGCUUCCUACGACGCACACAAGCCAAAACGUCGAUGGCCGCUGCAAGAAAACUGCUAGAGUUAAAAUUCUCAAUGUGCGAAUAGUAGAAUUUGAGUUAUUUGGGAAGAUUAGAAUGGUUGAAAUGCAAAUUAUGAGUUCUCUAUGAAGAAGGGAGGAAAAGAGUUCACAGGGGUCGAGUCCAUCAAUUUAUAGGGUGAUAGAAGGGUCCAAAAAACUCCAGGAACACAAGCUGCUAACCUAGUCACCCUGCAGAAAAGGCCACUUUCGGGCGCCCAAAACCCCUGGGCGUCCGAAACCUCCAGGCUACACAAAUCCUCCACUUCGGUUCUAUCGCCCGCGGUGUGCUGCGCCCAUAUUCGGCUCCGACGGACCUCACUUACCACCAACCACGUGUCAGCGCAAACGAUACUCACGAAGUGAAUUUUCGGACCCACUUCUGGGCGCCUGAAACAUAGGAUCCGAAUUGGCUUCCAGUUCUGCUCAGACCAGCACUCAAGUUUUGGGUGACCCAUACUAGUUCUGGGCGCCCGAAUCUUGCAAAACUCUAGUUUUACUUAUUUGAGUACGUCGAGUCCAUUUCUGCAUCCAUUUCGUGCAGAAACGACUUCGACUCAGUCCGACACACUCCAAAUGUGUCGACCAGUCACUAAAACUAUAGCCAAUCCUAUCCAAACCUCAGGAACACUACAUCGAUAUAUCCAUAUAUUUUGAAUUUCUAAAUAAGAUUACUACUGAUGCAGCAUUAGCAAUUUGGUUUAACGCAGUGAUGUAAUGCUGAAUUAUAGUGUUUAGUGUUUAUAACAGUACUAUGUUUGGUUCAGUCUACAAAAUUUAAUAAUCAUAACGAAAAAGUAUAGUCUUUUCCAAAAUUACCCUUUGUGAUCAAUUGAAUAUUAUUUUUUUACUAAAAUAUAAGAAAAAUAUAAUUUGCACUUGUAAAUUAAUUAUAUUAAUAAGUAAUAAAAUAAAAAGACCAAACAUGAAAAAAAAAUUACAUUGCAAAAAAUUAAUUUUAACACAUAAAAGAAUGAAUAGAAAAAGGACUAUAAUACACAAUCAAAAAUCAGACAAUAACAAAUAAAUUUCAAUUUAGAAACUCAUCUAUAAAUAAAAUCAUUAACCAAACAUCACAUAAAGGCACAUUAACAGCAUAAUAUCAAAUAUAUAUUUUUCAUGUUUAAUAUCAAACAGUACUAUUACCAAGUUAAGAAAUUAACAAAGCAUCAUAUAAAAUAAAUAUUUCGUGGAGUCGAAACUUCCACACACAUCAUAAUACCAUCCAAAAGUGAAAGCUUAAACACUUACAUGAUAAAAGUUUAGUUCUUGUACUAAAAAUAGACAUCCAACUCCAAUAACACAAUUUCUUCAAUCACGUCCACCUAAGAUAUGGAAAAUGUAUUGCUUUUUGUAAUGAUCGAGCAUGCAGUAGAAUGUAUAUAAUUUUGUAGAGUCACCCGUUAGGAUUUCAGUGUUCCCUAUUCUCAAGUCCCUCGAUCUUUAGUAUCUCUUCGAACGACUUCUCCUUUUUGGUCUCAUUAUUUGCCAUGAAUUGAAAGCAAGCAAGCCGACCUAAGUGCUCAUUGGCAUCGUUAACUGAAGUUUCAAGUGAACGCAAGAUUGAACAAAAUUGUUCAUUGAUCAAAUCCUCUCCAAGUGGUGACUUUUGCUUCUUUGAUUUUGUCGAUGUGCCACCAUUCGAAGUGUUUACUUGAGCACUACUUUGUUCCAUAAACAACAUCUCAACAUCAGUAUCUUGGGUGGAUGCGUGCGUCAUUAACUUUCCUCUAGGGUUUUUAUUUUUAAUAGGGUUUUAAUUUUUAGGCCAACACAUGAUUAACCUGGGUAUAAAAAAUAUAUAAAUUUUUCUCUAACAUUUCCAAAUUAGAUCCAGGAAACGAGAUCCAAAACUAGAUUAAUAAGAAGGCUAAAUUAUAGAAAACCUCCCUGUCAAAACCCAAUUUUUCACUUUCCCCCUUGUCAUUUAAAAAUCUGCACUUUGCCCCCUUGUAAAAUAAAAAAAUGUGCACUUCACCCCCUACCGUUAGGGUUCCGUUAGGAUUCUGUUAUACCAUUUUUUUAUGCCAAAAAUGCCCCUCCGCCCUUCUUCCCUGUUGCUUCGAUGGCUUCCGGGACAGCGCCCUCGCCGGCCUCGCCUUCCUCCAAGAGCUCAACCUUCUCUUCGACCGCCCCCUCGAUGCCAUCUUCCUCAACUCCAACAGCCUCCUCCACCGCCCUAUCCCCGCCAACCUCGGCGACUCCCCGGCCUCCAUCGUCGUCCUCGCCCACAACAAACUCGACGGCUGCAUCCCGCCCUCCAUCGGCCGCAUGGCCGACACCCUCAACGAGAUCGUCCUUCUCGACGACGGCCUCGCCACCUGCGUCCCACCCGAGGUCGGCCUCCGCCACCGCGGAUGAGGAGGAUGAGGGAGAAGACGAAAAUGGUGAAGGGAAAAAUAGUCAUUUUGUCACAUCGUACCCCCCUGUGAACAUUUUUUAUUUUACAAAGGGGCAAAGUAUAGGUUUUUAAAUGACAGGGGGGGAGAGUGAAAAAGCGGGUUUUGACGGGGGGGUUUUCCGUAAUUUAGCCUAGAAUAAAAAAUACCAAAGUGCUAGUUAAGCAUGUCCGAUAGAAAGAUUGCAACUAAAUGAAACAAGAUAUGGCUUCAGAUUUGACGAAAUUCGCAACAGAUCUGUAAUCAAUAUGUGAAAAAGAGGCAAAAACACUCCUUAAAUCGACGAAAAAAGGAAAAAAAAAAACCUCCAAAUCGGAUCUAAUUAGAAAACAAUGGGUUUUAGCGAGAGAGAAGAAGUGAUUAAAUAUGUACGCGAAAAUGGCAAAUGGAGGGAAGGUGUCACGUCCCGAGACCUGCCUAUUUGGUCGGAUUCGAGCACGCCAACAGACCGCCGAACGGACAGAGUCUCCCUGUACAUCCUAGGCGUCACAAUCCAUACAAAUCGCAAGGUUCCAACCAGGAACAGAUUGCAUAUAUGAUUGCAUAAGGAAGGUAUCAAUAACAUAAACAACUAAGCUAUUACAAUCAUUCACAUCACAUGCAUUUUACAUAUUACAUUUAACUUCCAAAAUACAACCAUUUGUUGUUACAACUUUUUUUCCUUUCUUUUCUAUACCCCUAGCUAGCCGACUUGGGGUACCGCUAUUUCUGGUCUUAGUGGUAGGGCACUAUCUACGGUGCUACGGCCUUUUCUCGCGCCGCCGCACCGCUCGCGUGUGGACCUAAAAACCCCAAAAAAUCGUAGGGUGAGAACUAUUGUCCAUAGUUCCCAGUGGGUACGGCCACCCAAGGAAAAAGCUCGACCCACCAGAUCCAAAUAAGGCAACAAAAUAAGUUAGUCUAACAGAUAUAUAUAUUAUCAUAUAAAUUAUGCAACUAACAGCUAUCAUGCUCAUACCUCACAACAUGCAACAAUGCAAAUCAUGCAACCAAUGCAAGUAGAUCUACUGAUUUUACUUUCUAUUCCACAAUUUAUAUCUCUUACCAUUUUACAUCAUUGGCCAUUUGCUUCUAAGGUUCAUCUACCUUAGUCAAGCUAACCACCCGACUCGAUUUCGAGUCAAUCAUCCGCGGAAUACUGCUCAUAUCCAGGUUUGAGGAAAAUGACGUCUCACAUGCACCUCAGCCUUAAAUUCACUCAACUGGGAUUCCAAAUCCACUCAACUAGGACUCAUCCACAGCUCAUAAUGCAUGCCACUCAUAUGCUUGUCACCCAAUCUCACUGGCUAACCGUAAGGUUAAGCCCCGACUCACAACCAAAUUCCAUAAGUGAGGAGACCCAACUGCUGCGCACACCCAAGACCGUUUGCUGGGUAGGUACGUUAACACAUCGUGUGAUAACUCCGGAGCUCACUCCUUGGGUGGAGCGACCACCGCCAAGCUCAAAACAGACUAUAUGAGUAUGAUUCAAUCCUCUUAACUCGAUGAUACUCUACCAAAUAGGGUUAAUAACAACUCGGGAAUCCAUCUAUCCUAAUAUUCAUGUCAUAGUGUCUCUACUACACUAGUUCCAAUUGCCACUCUUUUAUGUCAUUUACUUAUUCUUAGCACUAUAGGAUUCCAUGUCAAUACCCAAUCCUCAUGCAUCCACUAGAUCAUGUGUCUAACUCACAUUUCUAUUUCUACUAUGGAAGCAUGCAAGGAAUUGAAUUCCAUCUAACCACAUAUCCUACAAUGCAUGAUAUCAACAUAUAUACCCAAUGACACUAGGUUCAAUGUCCAAUAUUCAUUUAUUUUUUAUCCUAGUUGUCCACAUUUAGGAUUCAUAGUUUUCAUGCCACACUUGUCGAGUUCUCUAAUCUUCCUAGAGUUUAUCGACCCAAGUUCAACAUUCAUAUGAAUCUAGCAUAUUCUCACAAUAUGUCAACAUGUAUAUAUCAUCUAGCAUCUCAUGCACAUGCCAUCAUCGUCAUCUAAUGGUAGGUAACAUCAUCCAGCAUAAUAUGAUUCAUGCAUUCAUUUUAUCAUAUACAACCUACCACUACACAUAUAUGCAUCAACAGCAAACAUACUUCACUUUGACAUAGAAGUGACCUAAUCACUUCGGUAAAGCACAACCCACCUCACAAUAUUCUCCGAUUGCUUGUCGACACUUGCAAUCGGGCUCCUGUGGCACACGUUGUCCGGUUCGGCUCGAACUCGCAAUCGAUGACGAAACACUCACCAAUCCGCAACCUAGAGUUGUCUGGGGCUCAUCUCUAACCUUCAAUUAGAGAACCAUAGGGUCAAUUAGGUUCAAAAUGAAAGUUUUGAGGAGCCCAAGGAUCUAUCUAGAUUGUAUCUAACACCUAGAGGGGGGAAAAUAAGUGUAAUAGCCAAAAACCACAAAUCUCAAUGCGAUAAAAAUAAAUGUGGAAAAUAAAAAUCACACCGAGAUUUACGUGGGAAAACUCCAACUUGGAAAAAAAUCCACGGAACCAACACGCGAAAAAAUAAUUCACUAAAAGAAAAGAUUACAAGGUGAUUACCAACUCCACGGACUCAACCUCUCUUAACCUCCUAUGAACCUCGCGCAAUCCUCCGGGUUGUCCACGCCCUCACGUUCGAAUCCACGAACGCCUCGCACACGUUCGAAUCCACGAGCGCUACUCGAAUUCACGAGCCCACGAUCCGAAUCCACGAACCGCCGUCAAUCACGCCGAAUCCACGACGCCAUCAUGAAGAACAUCGUGUGUAUGGUGAUCUUUCGCUUAGAGUAUCGAUGAAAACCAGGGAAGCAAACUCCAAGCGAAGCGGAGAUCAAAUCGACAUAUUGAUAUCAAAAUCCAAAAUCUCGAUUUGACCUAAAAGAGGCUUUAUGUAGAAAAUAGAUUUUAGAUGAAAUCCGAGCCUCUAGGGUUUCUCAAAUAUGUAUUUUCGUGAUGCUUGAUAUGUUAGAGAAUCCCAAUAGCUUAUUUAUAGACUUUAGAAUCAAACGGAGUCGGAUUAGAAAGUUUUCACGAUUUUACACAGUGUACCGGUACACGAAAGGCUGUCACCGAUUACACAAUGACAGAACAAAAAUCUGCGAAGCCAAAGUUGAUGGCUGUACCGGUACUGGUCAAUUGCUGUACCGGUACAUAAUACAUUUUUUCACACAUUGCACUGUUUCGGAUUUCACAACGUUCCGAGGCACUUUCUAAUCCAUUAAACUUUGAGUUUAUGAUUCUAAUGCCUAUAACUAAGUAUGAAUCACCAUAACAUGAAUUAAAACUUUAGCUGAGCAUCGUGAUUCACGUCGUGAGGUAUUUUCUGAUUUCUUCGAAGUCUUGGUGUAAGGAAGUGAAUUCUCGAAAUACGAGGAUUGUACUUCAUCCAGGAUCGACUGAUUGUCGAAAGUAAACCCUUUGUGGGAGUUGAGAAUGUCCAAAGCACAAAGAGUGCCUUGGAGUUGAGUCCGCGAGAGCAAAUGAGGCAGAUGGCAUCAUUGGGCAGAAGUUGCUCUCGGGGACCGGUCUCUGCAGGUGAGAGACCGGUUCCCUCGACUGGGUGUUGCGGGGUUGCGUGAUGCAACCGGUCCCUGGUGGUGAGGGACCGGUUCCCGAACGUGGCCCCAGCGUAAGAUGCCAAAAAUUGGCUAAGUCCUGAAAAUCAAGCUCUCGGGGACCGGUCUCUCAGGUGAGGAUCGGUCUCCCGAGGACCGGUCUCCCGGGGAGAGACCGGUUCCCAAACGCGUGCGCCCGAGGGAAGCUCUCGGGGACCGGUCCCAAGUCGGGGAGACCGGUCCCUCCGCGCGAAAACUGCCCAGUAAGGGCAGUGCACAGGGGUGAAAGUUGAGGGGCUUUUGUGCAAAAUGGCAUUUAUUUGAGUGGGCUGAGCCCUCUCUCUCCCUCACACUCUCUCAUUUCCUCUCUCUCACUCUCAUUUCUCUCUUGCUCUCUCUCUCUCUAGAAAGGAAAGAAGGAGAAGAAGAACAAGAAGGAGAGGAAGGAAAAGAAGAGGAAGAUAAGGAAGGAGAAGAAGAAGGAGAUCAAGAGGAAGGCUUUGAGCACCUCCAUCUCCCUCUCCUCUUCCCAUUGGAGUAGCUCUUGAGGUAAGCUACUAAACCCUAGCUUCUAGAACUUAGGGUUUUUGGGUUUUAUGCCUUGGAAUGGGUCAAAUGGACCCUAAGCAAGCUUCUAAAUAGAUCAAUCCCAAGAAUCUAGGGAUUUAUGGGGUGAUUUGCUAUAGGUGCAAAUCUAGGGUUCCAAAAUGGGGUUUUUGUAAAUGUAUGAGAUUGAUCUCAUUUGAAGCCUUGGAAACCCUAUUGAUAGGUCCCAAAACGCGGGGGCGAAGUCGAUUUUGGCAUUCGGCGAACCGACGUGAAGUUCUCGGCAAAAUCGGGCCGGGCUAGUGUUGAUUCGGGCGAGGAAGGCUAAAGCCUUUUCGUAAAGCUCGCCGAGAGAGAUUUCCGAAACCUCUACAUCGAUUAAAGGUGGGGGGUGUCAUCCGAAACUUUCGAACUCCUUUCUAUGUCUUAGAUUGCAUUUAAUCUCAUCUCUUCAUGUUGCAUUGUAGGAUUGCAUAGUAGCUCCAUUCCUUAUGCUUUCUAAUUGAUAACCUAGUGUACUUGGAACGCUUGGUAACUUAGAUAGGUGAGGAUUGGGUCGAGACGUGAAUCCUAUGGUGCGAAAGAAAAGAGAUGAACCCGAUGGGGGUAUUGAUGACAUAGAAAGUAGUGUUAUUGUUAAAGAACAAACGAGUGGCAUCCAAACAUUGAAUGAUAACGAGUGGCAUUAAUGUAGUGUAAAUAACACUAGAGGUCGAUGGACCUAGGGAUAGGUGGAUCCCUUAGAAAAUGCCUUGUGAACAAUGAAUUUAGAAAACUAAAUAGCAUUGCAUGAAUGUCGGGAACCGAUGAUUCCGCGAUAGUCGUUGACCCUAGUGUAGGGCGUCCUCACUUGGAGAGGAUUCGAUUGGGUUAUUGACUCUAGUUGUAGAGCCUCCUCACUUGGAGAGGAUUGGAUUGGGUGUUGACCCUAGUUACAGUGUAUCCUCACAUGGAGAGGAUAGAUCUAGCUCACAGUCUGCGUUUAGGGUGGCAUAGCCAUCCAAUCCCCACAUGGAGGGGAUUGUCGUCGAGUACUCCGGAGUGUCGCGCGACUAGGACCACUUGGAGGUCCGGACCACAUGGAGGUCCGCAGACGGUCCCGGGCUUGGGUGCACUUGGAGCUCCCUCCCCACUUUGGGAUUUGAAGGUGAGUCAUGGGCGAGCCCUAGGGCCUCGCCACAGAUUGGGUAAAUGAAAAGGUUAAAGGUUUAUGAAUGUCAUUGAACAUUACUAUUCGAACAUGGAUCGAAUUUGUUAGCUUGGUAGUAAACCUUAUUAUAUGACGCAUGCAUUCAUAUUCAUGAUUAUGGGCAUAGUAGCAUAGUUUUCCUACUACUGCAUUUACAGCUUUCAGAUACAUAUCUAUCUAUCUAUCUGUUGUUACUUGUGCCCACUUGGACCUAGUGGGGAGAUCGGCAGAGUCGGCGGCCGAGCCCACUGGGAACUAUGGAAGAUAGUUCUCACCCCACUCUAUUUCCAGUGGUAGGUUCAGGGCUGCAGAGAGAGGACCGCGGCAAGGGCGUCGCGCCCGACCAGUGAGACCGUGGUAGUAUAGUAGCUUUCCUUUUUGCAUUAGUCACCUAUGUAUUGAGAGAGACUCUUGUAGGUGAGGUUGGAGAGCUAUGUAUUUCGGAUGAAAAAUGAUGUAAUGAAUGUAACUAAUGUAAUAGUUAGUAAAGUACUCUCUUCAUUUCACUUGUAUAUCUCGUGGAUUACUUGCUCUUCUGGUUGUUGGCACUGUUUGUGCCCUCGUUGAAUGUGUAUGUUUAGGAUUAAAAUUCCUGGGUAAAUCCUUGUACACAUUCCUGUUGUUGAGCCUUGGGCGGACAGGGGAGGUGCUGUCCGUUCGGCGGUUCGUCGCCGCGGCCGAACCGUGCCAAAUCGGUAGUGGUUUCGGGGCGGGGCGUGACACUUGGAUUCUUCGAUCUUUGUCAAUCCGCUUCGAUCCUUCAAGACUCCAACUGACUUCACGAAACUUGCCAAUACAAAAUCCUUAACAAUCUCCCCCUUUGGCAAUUUCGUGACAAAACUCACAAAACUCAAAAAUAUAUAAAAGAAUCGAAGUUCAAUUGUCAUCACCAAAAUAUUGAACUCCUCGCGUGUAAUCCAAAUACAAUUUGAGAUUCAAAAUUACAGCAAUAACUCCUAAAACAGACUCUAUGACUUAGACGCAACUAGGAGUCUUGAAGUAUUGAUUUCCUGCAAAAUAAUUCAUUCAAAAAUGAUUAACCUUAAAUUCUUAUACCUUCUCCCCUUUUGUUCACAUCUCGAUCACAUCUCAUCAUCCUCUGCUUAGUUCAAUGCCUGUUCAUCCAUGCUCUCCCCCUGUUCAUUUACGCUCUCCUCCUUUUUGUCAAAAAUUGCCAAAAUGAAAGCAAAUAGAGAGGAAACAUACUAAAAAGUAGUCAAGUCAUAGUUACAGGCCUAAAACAAAAGUAAAAAUAUGCCAAAGAAAGAUAAGCAAGCAAAACUAAACUAAAACAUCAUCCUAAACAUCAAAUACAGUGAAAUAGAAAGACUAAGCUCGAGGAAGAGAUCACUCCGUGUCCUCGUCAUCAUCAUCAUCAACUCCAGCGCCAGCUCCAGAACCUCCCGCAUCCAAAGCUCCAAUAGAUGGAGGAAUAAGAGGAUGUCGUGAAGUAAACCUCGUAUAGACAGGCUAAGGAGGAAAAAUAUCGUCAUGUCUACAUCCCAACUUAUCCAUCAUCCUCUUCAUACCCACUUCCACCUUUCUAGUAAGAUCAGCCACUUUCUUCUUUAAAGAUCGUACUUCAUGGCGAAGUGAUUUUCCCCCUGAACUGGAAGAUCCUUCACGCUCUGCGCGUGGUGGAGGUGCCUGGCUAGGAGCUGCUCGAGAUGAUCCUUUUGUUUGCUGAAACGUCUUUAGAGUGCUGACCGACUUCCCCCAGGUAACAGCAUCGAUUGGACCAAGACCAAAAUUAUACUUUUCACAAGAAACAUCCACUCCAUUGUCCUGUAGAAUCCUCGUGAUCAAAAGAGGAAAUGGAAGUAGAUCCCGUCGAGCAGAAGCCUGAAUAACAUGAAUCAUCCGCUGCCACAUCAGAAAAGGAAUGUUGAUGUUCAAUCCAUAUGCUUGCUCCGGGUGACCAAGUAGAAACAGUAGAAGCAAACGAUCCCAACGAAUCUUUUUUGUUCCAAUCGUUGGUUGCACAUUAUAGCUCAAGACCAAGGACAGUAAAUGAUACUCUGGUCGCAAAUCCUUGGACUCUACAUAAGCACGAUUCGUUUGCACUCCAGCUUUGCAGAUAGCUGCUACAACUGUAUCCCAGUGAGAUGAAGAUUGAAAUCCUCCUGAAGUAUAAAGAAGGCCUGUAGUGUCCACAUUCAUCCCCAAAAGCUCUCCUAUAGUGUAUGGGGUAACGACGACCCUCUGCUGACGCACGACUGUCUCAAAAAGAAAAGUCCCGGUCUCCUCAUCUUCUGCAAGUACCUUCCCGUUCAUAUAGAACUCACGAAUGAGUUCCAUACAAAAAGGAGCCCGAGCAGGAACCCUACCAACUGGCUCAAUAGGAACCCGCUGAAGUAGUCGCCCAAAGUUAGGAACGUCAUAUAUAAGAUCAUUGAAGUUGACAUAACGCUCUUCAAUACAAGACUUGCUCAAGAACAUCCUCCGUCGCUCUGGGGGAACAUCCGCGGCAUGCUUCGACCGAGUUUCCCUUGCACGAGAACCACCGCCACGCGAGGAUUCUCCAGCUAUUCCUUUGCCCUUGUCAAGACGAGUAACAGGUUUUCAGUCUCUUCCGGGGAGCUUGCCUGAUAAUCCGGAUCAGAUCCGGACGCUUCUUCAGCUGUACGUGUCCUCUUAGAGGCCCCACGACGACCUCUACCACCACCUCGGCCACGACCACGACCACGACCGCUUCCAGCGGCCAUUAGUACCAAAAUCAGCAACACAAGCGAAAACGCCAUUUUUCCUAUACAAAAAUUAACCUUGCAUGAACAAAACUUUGAAAAAAUCUGUAAAAAUAGCGAAAUAAUUUCUAAUAACAUUAGAAUGCAUACAAAUGCUAUUUCUAACCAGAUCAUGCAAAAAAUUUUAUCAAAAAUUAUAUUUUAUCAAAAAUCUCGAAAUUACAUGCAAAUUGAAGCUUAGAAAAUAGAUCAGCGAAAAAUAAUAUGUUUUGAUGUGAUUCAAGUGUUCUAGAAGCAAGAUAAUGUCAUUAAGCACUGAUCUACAGCAAAAAAUUGCAUCAAAAAUGAAUCAAAAUAGAGAUCUAGCUUCAACUCAGAAUAUUUUUGAAAAAUAAACAUGAACGCGAUGAAACGAAUAAAUCCAAACAAAAUACUCACAAAUUUUUGAGGGAAAUCGUGUAGAUCUGGAAGAGGAAAGCACCAGGGAUUUUUAGAGAGAGAAAGAGCGAAAUUUGGUUUUGAUUUGAGUGAGAAAUAAAGCCCUAUAACCGGUUAUAUUUCCGCGGCUACAGUAACCGUACCGGUACAGGUUUGUGUACCGGUACACGAUCUCAGAUUUCGAAAAAUUUGCUUUAAAAAUCCAUCAAAUUAAAUUAAAUUCAUAUAAAUUAAGGAUUUUACUUCAAAUAUCAUUAAAAUGAGAAUAAAAUAUUAUAAGAUUUCAAAAUACAUCGAAACAUCAAAAUUUUAUUAUAAAAAAUGAUCUCAAGUUUCAAAAUCAUCAAGAUGUAAUGAUUUACGAAAAAUGAUUUUUAGAAAUUCGGCAAAAUUGACACCAAUUUGUCGCAAUCCGUUCAAAAUAGAGAUUUAACUAAUAUGAUACCGGGGGUGGCUCUUUGAGCAUUUUUUUCAAACUAACACCUUAUUACUCCGAAAAUUCUAAAAUAUUCAAUUUUUUUUUGAACCUUUUUCGGUUAAUCAAUUCAAUCUUCAUGUGGUAGCUUCACACACUUGUCGGACAACCGGGGUGGUAGCUCUUUCCUACAUGUGGUGGUAGUUUUUACACUUCUUUUGGAUGUAACUCUUUCCACAUCUUUUUAAACAUAGGUGUUUUUUUCUCUUUUUUUUUUAAUAAUUUCAAACUCCCCCUAAANAAUUAGACAAUCUCACAAUUGAAAAUAUUUUGACAAAUUUUAGUCUAUUAGCGAAUAUCCAUCUAUUAUAUUCAACACACACAACCGAGAUAGAUUAAUCACCAAAAGAUCAAAUUUGAUUUCAAAAUUUUGAUAAAUAUAUAUAUUAGGAAAUCAUAUAUUAAAUUAUCGUCAAAAUAAUAAAAAGUGGAGUAAAAAUGAUAAUUUAAUAUGAAUUUAACUUAAUAUGAUUAUAAAAUUAAAUACUAUUUAAGUGAUUUUGAAAAAUUUCUCUCCUCAAAAUAAUGAUUCUCAAUCNNNNNNNNNNNNNNNNNNNNNNNNNNNNNNNNNNNNNNNNNNNNNNNNNNNNNNNNNNNNNNNNNNNNNNNNNNNNNNNNNNNNNNNNNNNNNNNNNNNNACUACAAAAGGCUAAGAUCCCCGGUGCCCGCAGGACCACUUGCGGCCAAACCAUUGCGUCGCGAUCCAGUCCGCCGCCAAGCGCUUCGUCUUAGACUGUAGCAACCCCAGUUAGUGUGUAUGUGAGAACUACAACGAUCCAGUGGGCCCGCAUCCUCCUGCCAAUUACCCUGAUCAAUUCAAGGCAUAGUAUUUCAAAGGGUAAAGAAAUGUAACGUUACUAAUGUAAUUAAUACUAUGCCUGCAAGAAAGAAUGACUCUUAAGUAAGAUAUACAUUUCAAGGCAGGUAAUGAAAUGUGCAUGAUUCAUAAUAUCAAGCUUUGGAUCUUACAUCGCGGUUAAACUCGCGUUAAUCCCCAAAUAACUCACAACCAAAUCCGUUUAAUUAUACGCCGGCGGAUUCGAACCUCCUAGGGACCAGUUCAACUGGUGGACUUUAUCCACGCCAGAAUGUAUACCAUCCGGCAGCGCACCGCUCGAGGGGGAGCGACCUCCCUCAAGCCAAGACGAAAUGUGAGUAUCGAUCUAAUCCUCAACAUGAGGACUCAUAGCCACUAGUCACAAUGCCAAUAUCACGAUAGGUCUCUACCUAUUUAUUCUUGCCACUAUCAAGGCUUUAUCUUCGACCAUGUCAUUAUGGGUUAAACUAUAUUCAACGGUUCAUCUCUCAAUGCAAUUCUUGUUUCUAUGUCAAUGACACCCUUGUUUUCUAAGGUCCUAGUCCAUUCUUACAUUCACACAACUUGAGGGUCCAAUCACAAAUGUCCAUUUUGGUUCUAUCAUUCUCUAUGUUCAACUACGUUAGAAGCAUAUAAAUGAAGUCAAACCAAGUUCCACAUGUAGUUACCCUACUAUGUAUGAAUGGGUAUAUAUAUAUCAUAUAUGCUCAAGAAUAGAGAAAACAGACAUAGAAGGGAAUCCAACGAUUCCGGCGUGCACCCCCCACCUCUAUUGGUCGUGUGGGUGUAGAGUACUAAGGCCCCCGCACUUUACGAAAGCCGAUUCCGCGCCCUAUAAUCAAAAUAGUGCCAUAUUAGGCCCUUUUGUACAUGAACUAUACUCUAACAUUUUCGAAAUGUUAAACGAAGUUGUCCAACGUGUUUAGGGCACCCCCAAUUAGGUUUCUACGGGGUCAAUUUGUCCCCGAGCAAUCCUAGGGCAAAAGCCCCAAAUUCAAGCCCUAAUAAUGCCAUUUAGGGUUUUCCCAUAAAUCGAUCCCAACCCUAAGCAAAGAAUAGCAUAGGAUCAUUUAAGGAGCAUCCUAACAAGGUUUCUAGACCUUUGGCACCAACCCUAGGGCUCCAAACAUCACUUCCAAGGAUUCACCAUGAGAGCACCUUGAGCUCUCAUGGGUUCCAUGGUAUUCAUGGCUCAAAGAGCCCCUAAAGCCUCUAAGGAGCACAAGGCUCCAAAUCCCUAAGCCAAAAUCCAAACCCUAGAGGAAAAACCUACAAAACUUACCUCUAGUCCAAGCUCCACCAAGAUUCUCCUUGUUGCAGAGCUCCUAGAAGCCUCCAAAGCCUCCAAAUCCUCCUCCUCUUCUCUUCUUCUUCUUCUUCUCCAAGUCCUAGAGCAUGGGUUCUAGAGAGAGAAAGAGAGGAAAUGGGAGAGAAGGGUGAAAAUGGCUGUGGAAGAGAGGGGUGAGUCAUAUAUAGUGUUGUAACAAUUGUACUUAAGCCCCUACACUUGUUUCCACUUGAACUGCCCAGACUGGGCAUUUUUCGCCUUCGGGGACCGGUCUCCCCGAACGGGGGUUUUCCAGGACUUAGCCAAAUUUUUCGAGUUUUCGGCUGUUGCGCAGCGAGGGACUGGUCUGCCCGUCAGGGACCGGUCUCCCGAGGACCGGUCUCACCACCAGGGACUGGAUGCCUCAGGAUUUCCUGGCAGGCUACGCGCACGGGGACCGGUCUCUCCUUCAGGGACCGGUCCCCGAGAGCACAAAAUCUUGGACUUGGCCAGAUUUUCAGAUUACUCUCCCGGGUCCCUUCUAGCUUCACUCAUGGACUCUAAUGUGCUUAGAGUCCAUUCAAACUCGUUCAAUUCCGCGUUCCGCUCAUUUUGACGGAACUCGGCACGAUUUACGAGGGAUGUGGUAUGUUACACCACGGCCUCACUGAUCGGGCGCGACGCCCUUGCCGCAGUCCUCUCUCUGCAGUCCUGAACCUACCGCUGGAAAUAGAGUGGUGUAAGAACUAUCUUCCAUAGUUCCCAGUGGGCUCGGCCGCCGACUCUGCCGAUCUCCCCACUAGGUCCAAGUGGGCACAAGUAACCACAGAUAGAUAGAUAGAUAUGUAUCUGAAAGCUGUAAAUGCAACAGUAGGAAAACUAUGCUGCUAUGCCCAUAAUCAUAAGUAUGAAUGCAUGCAUCAUAUAAUAAAGGUUUGCUACCAUGUUAACAAAUUCGAUCCAUGUUCGAAUAGCCAUGUUCAAUGACAUUAAUAAACCUUUAACCUCUCCAUUUACCCAAUCUGUGGCGAGGCUCUAGGGCUCGCCCAUGACUCACCUUUAAAUCCCAAAGUGGGGAGGGAGCUCCAAGUGCACCCAAGCCCGGGACCGUCUGCGGACCUCCAUGUGGUCCGGACCUCCAAGUGGUCCUAGUCGCGCGACACUCCGGAGUACUCGACGACAAUCCCCUCUAUGUGGGGAUUGGAUGGCUAUACCAUCCUAAACGCAGACUGUGAGCUAGAUCUAUCCUCUCCAAGUGAGGAUACACUGUAACCAGGGUCUACACCUAAUCCAAUCCUCUCUAAGUGAGGAGGCUCUACAACUAGAGUCAAUAACCCAAUCGAAUCCUCUCCAAGUGAGGACGCCCUACACUAGGGUCAACGACUAUCGCGGAAUCAUCGGUUCCCGACAUUCAUGCAAUGCUAUUUAGUUUUCUAAAUUCAUUGUUCAUAAGGCAUUUUCUAAGGGAUCCACCUAUCCUUAGGUCCAUCGACCUCUAGUGUUAUUUACACUACAUUAAUGCCACUCGUUAUCAUUCAAUGUUUGGAUGCCACUCGUUUGUUCUUUAACAAUAACACUACUUUCUAUGUCAUCAACACCCCCAUCGGGUUCAUCUCUAUCUUUAGCAUCAUAGGAUCCACCUUCCGACCCAAUCCUCACCUAUCUAGUUACCAAGCGUUCCAAGUACACUAGGUCAUCAAUUAGAAAGCAUAAGGAAUGGAGCUACUAUGCAAUCCUACAAUGCAACAUGAAGAGAUGAGAUUAAAUGCAAUCUAAGACAUAGAAAGGAGUUCGAAAGUUUCGGAUGACACCCCCCACCUUUAAUCGAUGUAGAGGCUUGGAAAAUCCUUCUCGGCGAGCUCUACGAAAAGGCUUUAGCCUUCCUCGCCCGAAUCAACACUAGCCCGGCCCGAUUUUGCCGAGAACUUCACGUCGGUUCACCGAAUGCUGAAAUCGACUUCGCCCCCGCAUUUUGUAACCUAACAAUAGGGUUUCCAAGGCUUCAAAUGAGACCAAUCUCAUACUUUUACAAAAACCCCAUUUUGGAGCCCUAGGUUUGCACCUAUAGCAAACCACCCAAUAAAUCCCUAGAUUCUUGGGAUUAAUCUAUUUAGAAGCUAGCUUAGGGUCCAUUUGACCCAAUCCAAGGCAUAAAAUCCAAAAACCCUAAAUUUACAAAGCUAGGGUUUAGUAGCUUACCUCAAGAGCUACACCAAUGGGAAGAGGAGAGGGAGAUGGAGGUGCUCAAAGCCUUCCUCUUGAUCUCCUUCUUCUUCUCCUUCCUUAUCUUCCUUUUCUUUUCCUUCCUCUCCUUCUUGUUCUUCUUCUCCUUCUUUCCUUUCUAGAGAGAGAGAGAGAGGGAGCAAGAGAGAAAUGAGAGUGAGGGAGAGUGGAAUGAGAGAGUGUGAGGGAGAGAGAGGGCUCAGCCCACUCAAAUAAAAGCCAUUUUGCAUAAAAGCCCCUCAACUUUCCCUCCUGUGCACUGCCCUCACUGGGCAGUUUUCGCGCGGAGGGACCGGUCUCCCCGACUUGGGACCGGUCCCCGAGAGCUUCCCUCGGGCGCACGCGUUCGGGAACCGGUCUCUCCCCGGGAGACCGGUCCUCGGGAGACCGGUCCUCACCUGAGAGACCGGUCCCCGAGAGCUCGAUUUUCAGGACUUAGCCAAUUUUUGGCAUCUCUCGCUGGGACCACGUUCGGGAACUGGUCCCCCCCUACCAAGGACCGGUUGCAUCAUGCAACCCCGCUACAACCAGCCAGUGGAACCGGUCUCUCACCUGCAGAGACCGGUCCCCGAGAGCAACAUCAGCCCAAUGAUGCAGUUUGCCUCAUUUGCUCUCGCGGACUCAACUCCAAAGCACUUUUUGUGUUUCGGACAUUUCCAACUCCCACAAAGGGUACACUCUCGACAGUUAGUCGAUCCUGGAUGAAGUACAAUCCUCGGAUUUCGAGAAUUCACUUCCUUACAUCCUCCCCUCCUUAAAAGGAGUUUCAUCCUCGAAACUAACUCAAUUCUUAACUUUAAUUUAAACUUGUACCUCACUCCUCAAACAGAUGAGGAUGGUGUUUUCUCAUCAGCUCCUCGAGUUCCCAGGUGGCCUCGCGAUCAUCGUGAUUGCUCUACCGAAUUUUCACAUAGGGGAUUUCUCGAUUCCUCAACUUUCGCACCUCUUGGACGGUAAUCCCUACCGGAAACUCUUCAUAGCUCAAAUCUUCUUGAAGUUCCGGCGGCACAUAUAGCAUUGCGUGCUCGGGGUCGUGAAUAUACUUACGGAGAUUAGAGACAUGGAACACAUUGUGCACAUCCGCAAGCUUCGGCGGCAAAGCAAGUCGAUACGCCACCGUGCCGACUCGCUCCAAUAUCUCAUAUGGCCCAAUGUACCGGGGACUCAGCUUUCCCCGUACUCCGAACCGCUUCACACCCCGCAUUGGUGAAACCUUCAGGAAUACGCGGUCACCCACCGCGAACUCUAUAUCCCGACGGCGCUUAUCUGCAUAGCUUUGCUGUCUCGACUGCGCCGUGAGCAAUCUCUUGCGAGCAAGGCGGACUUUCUCUUCCGCUUCUCGCAAAACAUCUGGGCUGAACUCAGCACGCUCGCCAACAUCGCUCCAGUGUAUAGGAGAUCGACACGUCCGCCUAUAGAGAGCCUCGAACGGUGCCAUCUCCACACUAGCAUGAUAACUGUUGUUGUAGGCGAACUCGGCCAUGGGUAGAUGGUCGCACCAACUUCCCUUAUAGUCGAUGACACACGCUCGCAACAUAUCCUCCAGAGUUUGAAUAGUUCUCUCUGUUUGCCCAUCGGUUUGAGGGUGAAAUGCGGUGCUAAAGUCGAGUCGUGUGCCAAGGGCUUCCUGCAGGCUCUUCCAAAAGUGUGAAGUGAACUGGGGGUCACGAUCCGAUACGAUCGAUUUCGGCACCCCAUGCAGUCUUACUAUCUCGUCGAGGUAUACCUGCGGUAACUUGUCACCCGACCACGUGGUGUGGAUCGGCAAGAAAUGAGCCGACUUAGUUAAUCGGUCCACAAUUACCCAAAUUGCAUCGUGGCCGCCCGUUGAGCGAGGCAAGCCGACCACGAAAUCCAUCGAGAUAUCAUCCCAUUUCCAAACGGGGAUUGGUAGGCUUUGAAGCUUUCCCGCUGGAAAUCGACGCUCUGCUUUUACUUGCUGGCACGUUAAGCACUUCGCCACAAAGCGCCCAAUAUCACCCUUCAUUCCCGGCCACCAAUAGUGCAUUUUCAAUCCUCGAUACAUUUUGGUGCCGCCCGGGUGAUCAGCAUACGGAGAUCUGUGUGCUUCUUGUAGAAUCAAUUCGUGAAGCUCUCCAUCUUUCGGCACACACCAUCGGUUUCUAAACCGAAGCGCACCAUCGGCGUUUAUACUGAAAUCGCCGCCUCGACCAUCCUCGAUGUUUCGCCGCACCUUCUGGAGUUCUGGGUCCGCAGGUUGCAGAUCUUUAAUCCUCUCCAACAAGGUCGGUUGGACAACGAGUGCCAUCAACUGGGCUGGGAUCUCGGGAGGAACCACUUCGAGAUCCAGUCGUUUCAUAUCCCGCCAUACGGGUGUUUGCUGGGUAAUAUCAAAAGCGAGAUUCUUCGCCGACUUCCUACUCAGCGCAUCCGCGACCACAUUUGCCUUCCCGGGGUGGUAGAGAAUAUCGACAUCAUAAUCCUUUAACAGCUCCAACCACCGCCGCUGACGCAUAUUGAGCUCUUUCUAAAUAAACAAGUACUUUAAGCUCUUGUGGUCGGUAUAGAUCUCACAGUGGGCACCAUAUAAAUAGUGCCUCCACAGCUUUAAGGCGAAAAUCACCGCCGCUAGCUCCAAAUCAUGGAUUGGGUAGUUCUUUUCAUAGCUCUUCAGCUGACGGGAUGCGUAGGCAAUCACCUUCCCGUUUUGCAUCAACACACACCCCAAUCCAAGAUAGGAGGCAUCACUGUAGACUACAAAGUCCUCGCCCUGCACCGGUAGAGCGAGCACCGGAGUCGAAGUCAAUCUUUGCUUCAACUCUUUGAAACUCCGAUCGCAUUCUUCGCUCCAAACGAACUUGGCGCCUUUCUGGGUCAGACGAGUAAGUGGAAUCACUAUCUUUGAAAAGCCUUCCACAAACCGCCUAUAGUAGCCCGCCAAACCCACGAAGCUUCGGACCUCCGUGACAUUCGUCGGGCGCGGCCAAUCCUUGAUUGCCUCAACUUUCCUCGGGUCUAUAGAAACUCCACCCGCGGAAAUCACAUGCCCUAAGAAGGCGACCUCGCGAAGCCAAAAGUCACACUUCUUCAGUUUAGCAUAUAGCUUCUCCUCCCGAAGGACUUGAAGCACUAUUCUCAAAUGCUCGGCAUGAUCCUCUUCGCUACGCGAAUAGACCAAUAUGUCAUCUAUGAAAACCACGACAAAUCGAUCCAAAUACUUUUUGAAGACACGGUUCAUCAAGUCCAUAAAUGCCGCUGGAGCAUUCGUGAGUCCAAAUGGCAUGACCGUGAAUUCGUAGUGUCCAUACCGCGUGCGAAACGCGGUCUUCUGCACAUCUCCAGCUUAAUUUUCAGUUGGUGAUAGCCGGAUUGCAAAUCUAUCUUUGAGUACACACACGACCCUUGCAACUGAUCGAGCAGGUCAUCGAUUCGGGGUAGUGGGUACUUGUUCUUGAUCGUGACUCUGUUUAGUUCUCGAUAAUCCACACAGAGUCGAAACGAUCCGUCCUCUUUUCGUACAAAUAACACCGGGGCUCCCCACGGUGAUACACUUGGCCGGAUAAAUUGCUUGUCGAGGAGGUCUUGCAGUUGACUCCUCAACUCCUUCAACUCCGCCGGCGCCAUUCGGUACGGAGCCUUCGAGAUCGGUGCGGUACCGGGAACCAAGUCUAUAACGAACUCGAUCUCCCGAUCCGGUGGUAUCCCUGGCAACUCCGUAGGGAACACGUCCGGAAACUCCUGCACCACCGAUAUCUCCUCCAACGUGGGAGCUACUUGAUCCACUUCUACGAUGGUUGCCAAAAACGCUGCACAACCAUUGCUCACCAACUUUCUUGCCCUUGUCGCCGACACCGUCGCGACGAAGCACGAGCUCUGGCAAGCUUGAUAGGUGAAUUCUUCUUGUCCUGGCUCACGGAACGUGAUCACCCUGCUCUUGCAGUCGAUCGUUGCAUAAUACUUCGAAAGCCAGUCUAUACCCAAUAUGACAUCGUACGCCUCUAAUUUCGUGAGUUCCAACGUCCGGAUUGGCAUAAUCCAUCCGCCUAUUUGCACCGGACACGAGGCGCACUCCGAGUAGGUAUUAAAUGUCGACCCAGGGCCCUCUACUCACCACUUGCCACUCGCUUCUAUAUGUAUACCAUGCAUGCGUGCGAAUGAUCUACUUAUGAAUGAAUGCGUGGCUCCUGUAUCAAAUAAAGCCCUGGAGCGGACUCCGUUAAUUGAAACCAUACCUGCCACAAGGCGAUGCUCCUCCGCCUCCGCAGGUUCCUCAGCUUGGACUUGAGCGGCGAAUACCCGUCCGCUCGGGGCCGAUCGCGCCACCUCAGGUUGACGCGGCAUCAUCGCGCGUCCAGUCGACGCGGUUGUCGGUGGAGCUCCUCCAUAGUGAGCCGGAAUCACCGGCGCCGAUGCAAUCGAAGGGGCAGGUGAGGCUCCUCCUCCCGGGCAAUCUCGAAUGAAGUGUCCCGGCUGCCCACAUUUGUAGCACUUGCCUCGGCCUUGUUCACAGCGCGAGACCGGGUGGUCUCCGCCACAUAUCAUGCAUCGCCGCACUCCACCGCUCUUCUGUUGAGUGCGCGCAUACUUCGGGGGCUUCUUGUAACGUGUCUGUCCCCCCGAACUACCGCCGCCUUGGCGUUUCUUGCCCUUGUCCUUGGAUUCCGCCAAAAGCUCACGCUUCUCCCGGACGUGGGCGUCUCCGUGCUCCACCCAUAGCGCUCGAUCAAAGACCUCAGCAAAGGUCGUGAGCUUAAGUAUUUGCACGGCCUUGUAGAUUCCCGGCCGAAGUCCUCGCAAGAACCACUCGGCCCGGUCCCGGUCAUCCUUGACAACAUCCGGGACACAAUCUAUGAUGUGGGAGAAUUCUUGUUCAUACUCCGCCACUGAGCGGUCCCCUUGCUCUAGCUUGCGGAACUUCUCCUUGAGCUUCCGCUUCAAUGUGUCGGGGAAAUAAUUGGCGAACAUCUCCCGCUUAAAUUCUUCCCAUAACAUCGGCGGAAGGCCGGGAGGCCGAUCCCGCUUAACGCGCUUCCACCAAACCUUCGCCGCCUUCUCCAAGCAAUGGGUGGCGAGGUACACCUUGUCCCUCUCCAAGGUACGCAAGUCGUCGAAGAGGGUUUCCAUCAAGUCGAUCCAAGACUCGACCAUCUCCGGUUCCACUUUCUCGCACUCAAAAGUUGGCGGAUGGAACUUGUUGAACUUGAUAAGAGCCGCCAAUGCGCGCUCCUCCUCCACAUCUUCGGCCGACACAUCGGGUGUAGCCGAUCCCGAUGCCGCCUGCGGUGCGAUCGCUGGCGGUGGGAGUGCCGUCACCGGAACCGCCUUAAUACCCUCACCCUCCGCCACCUCGGGUACACGGGUCGAGGGCGCGGGCGGACCACCACCCUCAGCCACUGUCGCGGGCGCUGCCGCGAGCUGCCGCUCCAUAAGCUCCUGGAGCCUCUCGAAUCCGGUCUCUUGGCGUUGCACCACAUUGGUCAACGCGGUCACUUGCGCCUGCAGCCGAUCCAUCAUGCUCGGCUCCGUCUGCUCGGGCACCUCAGGUGGUGGUGCCGGAGUAGAUCUCGUACUUGGGCGCCUCUUCGGUGCCAUAGCUCCUGAAAUGCUACCACUUGGUUAAUCACUUUAACCAACUUCCUCGUCGGAAUUACGACACAUGACGACUCAACAACAAAAUCGGGCGGAAGCACACAAGCGUACUCGUCCUAGACUCUUGGCAUCAUGUCGUCGGCCGCCGACACAACCACCUCAAGUCAAGAACUCAUACAACUCGAAUCCGUCUCUAAUCGCAACUAGAGACCUAUACUAACUUCGACCCAAUCGAAUUAACUUCCGCCAUCGCUAUAGGUUCACGCUCCGCUCACGCACCUAUAACCUUAAGGCUUACCAACCUAGGGUCUCCUAGGUCAUCCUAAACUCUCUUUACUUGCUCUUAUUGCUCUGAUACCACAAAAGACUGUCACGCCCCGCCCCGAAACCACUACCGAUUUGGCACGAUUCGGCCGCGGCGACGGACCGCCGGACGGACAGCACCUCCCUUGUCCGCCCAAGGCUCAACGACAGGAAUGUGUACAAGAAUUUACCCAGGACUUUAAAUUCUAAACAUGCACAUUCAACGAGGGCACAAACAGUGCCAACAACAAGAAGAGCAAGUAAUCCACAAGAUAUACGAGUGAAAUAAAGAGAGUACUUUACUAACUAUUACAAUAGUUGCAUUCUUUACCUUUACAUCAUUUUCCAAAAUGAAUAUAUUUGAUCCUCGAAAUACAUAGCUCUCCAACCUCACCUACAUGAAUCUCUCUCAAUACAUAGGUGUGCUAAUGCAAAAGGAAAGCUACUAUGCUACCACGUGUCACGUCCCAAUCCCCGCCAAUUUGGUCGGGUUCGGGUCACGUCGACAGACGCCGAACGGACAGAGCCUCCCCUGUCCGCCCAAGGCUCUAACAANCGUUACACUAACUCUAGUGUUCUUUAUGCCACAUUUGUUGCUAACUCUAGCUUUGUUGUUCUUUAUGCCACACUUGUUCUCUUUGAUGCCACACACUAACUCUAGUGUUCAAAUACUUUAGCGUUCAUUAUCCUUAUUAAUGCCACACAUACUAACUCUAGUGUCAUCUUUGCAUUUACUAAUGCCACUCGAUCUACCUGUCAUAGUGUCACAUUUGUCCUCUUACCUCAAUUAGGUUUUUAUGUUACAUCUCAUGCAUAUAUAGGGUUCCUAGGUUCUCAACCAUCUCAUAAUGCAAUUGUACUCACAACAUGCAACAUUCACAUAAACAUCAUCUCAUUCACCCUAAAAUGCAUGCAACAAUAUAUAUAUGUAUGCUCAAUGAGUGACACAUUAGACAUAGAAAGAAUUUCAAGAAGUUUGGAAAGCACCACCCACCUUGUAGGCUUGCUAAGGUGUUCAGGUUCGAAUUUCACGAUUUUUGGCCGCCUAUUUCCUUGCCUGCAACAAAACGAAGCCAAAUUAGGCUUUUUCGCUCAUAACUUCGCAUAGGCUUUUCGUAACGUUAAACCGAGCACACCAACGCGUCGAAAAUACCCCUAAUUAGGUUUCUAGAGGGUCAAUUUAACUUUGAAACCCUCACAAGCAAAAGCCCCAAUUUGGGUGCCCUAGUUCCAUCACAUAUACAAAACCCUAGUUUAGAUCUCUUGGGGAAGCAAAAGAAAACUUCAAAUCAUCUAGAGGUUUCAUUAAAAUCAUCCUUAGGUCAAUCAAAAUCCAUUAUAGGGUUUUACGAUGAGAGAGGAUCAAAGCUUACCUCUUAAGCUUUCCUUUCUUGAGUUGGAGGUGAAGGAGAGGGAGUUGCUUCACUCAUUCUUCUUCUUCUCUACCUUUUUCUCCUUUUCUUUCUCUUUCUACUUUUCUUUCUUCUCUUCUUCUCCUUGCCUUCUAGAGAGAGGAUGAGAGAUAUGAGAGAGUGUGAGGGAGAGGAAUGAGGGAAAUAUCUCAUACCCCCCCCCCAAUACAUAGCCCACUUAGUGCGUAAAUGCAAAUAAGCCCCUCAACUUUCACCAUGUCCUACUGCCCAGACUGGGCAUUUUUCGGGCACGGGGACCGGUCUCUCUAGUAGGGACGGGUCCCCGAGAGCAGCCCCUCAGCUACGAAAAAUGGGCCUGGUUCCUUCCUGAUGGAACCGGUCUCUCGGGGACCGGUCUCUCCCCGCAGGGACCGGUUCCCGAGAGCUGCUCUCCUAGGACUUAGCCAAUUUUUCCACAUUCUCAAAUCUCACACGUACGGGGACCGGUCUUUCCCACCAGGGACCGGUCCCCGAGAGCUUAAAAACUGCAGUUGCAGAUUCUUUGAUUCUCUAGCUCUCGAAGAACCCCUAUAAUGCACUUUUACUCUCUUUGACGCCUUCGGCCUUUCCGAAGCCUAUUAACCUCGCACUUUGGUCAUUUUGACUAAAGUUCGAUAUUUGUUUACCGAAGUUUUUGUAUAUUACAUUUUACACUCCUUAAAAUAGUUUCGUCCGCGAAACUAAACAUACCUCAACUUGUCGACUCAAAUAGGUGAGGAUACAUCCUCCACAUAGUCUCCUCAAGCUCCCAAGUGGCUUCACGCACCGCGUGGUUGCUCCAUUGGACUUUUACAUAUGGAAUUGUGCGACUCCGCAAUUUCCUUUCUUCUCUAUCGAGGAUGCACACCGGGUACUCCACAUACGACAUGUCUUCGCGUAGCUCCACUGGCUCACACUCUAACACAAGUGUUGAGUUGCGAAUAUACUUUCGGAGGUUCGACACGUGAAAUACGUCGUGAACUCCCGCAAGUCUCAGUGGCAAUGCAACCUUGUACGCCACCGCGCCAAUGCGCUCUAACACCUCGAAUGGUCCGACAUAUCGGAGGCUUAACUUCCCGCGGACCCCAAAACGCCUUACACCUCGCAUAGGCGAUACUUUCACAAAUACACGGGCUCCGACCGCGAAUUCUAAUUCCCUUCUACGCUUGUCGGCAUAACUCUUUUGCCUUGAUUGUGCCGUCGCAAGACGUUGACGGGCAAGGCGAACUUUCUCCUCCGCCUUCCGCAACACAUCGGGGCCAAGAGUGUAAUAUACCGAAAAUUCGGAAAAUAAAUAUCGAACUUUAGUCAAAUUGACCAAAGUGCGAGGAUGGAAACACUUCGGAAAGUCCGAAGGUGUUAAAAUGAGUAAAAGUGAGUUGUGGAAGGUUUUCGAGAGCUAAAAAAAUCGAAUUCUGCAAAACUGCAGAUUUUCAGCUCUCGGGGACCGGUCCCUGGUGGGAGAGACCGGUCCCCGAACGCGUGCAGAAUGAGACAACCGAAAAAUCGGCUAAGUCCUGGAAGGAUAGCUCUCGGGAACCGGUCUCUACCUGAGAGACCGGUCCCCCAGAGACCGGUCCCAUCAGAGGGAGACCGGUCGCAUCGCGCGCAGCGACUCUGGCUGCGCAGGGUGGACGUUCGGGAACCGGUCCCUGCUCGGGGAGACCGGUCUCUGCCUGCGCGAACUGCCCAGUUCGGGCAGUGUAAUAAAGUAAAAGUUGAGGGGUUUAUUAGCAAUUUUGCAACCCAAGGGUUAUGUUGGGGCUGAGAGAGCCUUCCUCUCUCAUUCCCUUACCCUCUCACACUCCCUCCUCUCUUUCUCUCUCUAGAAGACAAAGAAGGAGAAGAAGAAGACAAGGAAAAGAAGGACAAGAAGGAGAGGAAAGUGAAGAAGAAGAUCAAAGAGCAAAAGGGGCUUCAUCUUCUUCCUCUCUAGGGCAAGAAAGGAGAGCUUACAAGGUAAGCUUUGAACCCUAAUGUAGUAAAACCCUAGAAAUGGGUUUGAAUGAACAUAGAAAUGGUUUUUAAUGGAAUGUCUAGUAGUUUUGAAGCUUUCUUUUGCUUCUAAAGAGAUCAAAACCUAGUUUUGCUAUAUAGGUGAGCUUGGACCACCUCUAAUGGUGAAAUCCAAACUAGGGUUUUGGAAAGCCUAAGAAUGGUUCUAAUGGGUUAUUUAGAGUAUAAUGAAGCUACUUUUGCUUCCCAAUGAGAUCAAACCCUAGGUUUUGAUAUACAAUGGAGCUAGGGCACCCAAAUUGGGGCUUUUGCUCAUGAAGGUUUCUAUGUGCAAUUGACCCUCUAAAAACCUAAUUGGGGGUAUUUCCGACGCAUUGGUGCGCUCGGAAUAGCAUUACGAAAAGUCAAAGUAAAGUUAUGAGCAAAAUGGCCUAAUAAGGGUUCGUUUUGCCGCAGGUAAAGAACGAGAGGUCUAAAAAUCCCAAGAAAAUCAUCGGAGCACCUAAAUAGACCUGCAAGGUGGGUGGUGCUUUCCAAACUCAUUGAAAUUCUCUCUAUGCCUAAUGUGUCAUUCCUUGAGCAUAUGUUCUAUAUAUUGUUGCAUGCAUUUUAGGGUAAAGUAAUGAUGAAAUGUGAUGAUUGCAUGAUUGUGAGCACAACUUGCAUAAUGAGAUGGUUGAGAACCUAAUAAUGUCAAAACCCUAGAUGUAUGCAUGAGAGAAAAUGUGAGCACCCAAAGUGAGCAAAAGAACAGAGUGGCACAAUGACAUAGAUCGAGUGGCAUUGGAAAAUGUAAAGUAAAGAGACACUAGAGUUAGUGUGAUGCAAAGAACUAAAGUGAAGUAAAGAAUGAUGAAAAUGACAAUGUCUAAAGUUAAAGUAAUGUGGGGAAUAAAGAAUAUAAUUGCUAGAGUUAGCAAAAGUAAAAGAAAUGUAAAGAAUGUGAUUGCAUGAGUUUGCAACAUAAAGUGAUGUAAAGAACACUAGAGCUAGUGUAAAGUCAAGAUUGAACUUAUAAAUCCUUUGAGUUAAGGAUAUGAUCAUACUUGCUAUGAGUUCCGUGCUCGAGGGCGGUCGCUCCCCCUCGGGCGAUGCGCUCCGGAGUUAUGCAUCCGGGUUGGAGUAGACCCGUAAGGACGGUCCUAGCUGGUGAGUUCCUGCGAUGAUGGACUUAAUGUGAAGCAAGUUAAUGUGGCGAAACCCCCGGGUUAGCCUUGAGAUUAAAGAACAAAGAGCAAAGAACAAAGUACAAAGAACAAGAACAAAGAGUAAUGUGAAAAGAAUAAAGAAUUUGCAUAAUCUGCAUAUAUUUAAUGUUGAGCAUAUUUCUUGCUAUUUGUUCAGGCAUAUUAGCAUCAUGUUAUAGAUUGGUUACUAUAUCCUACUUAUCCUUUCUAUUAUGCCUGAGUUAGUCCUAGUGGGAAAGUCGGUGAUGUUGAGGCCGAACCCACUGGGAACUUUGUUGUAGUUCUCACCCCACUAUUUCCACAGAGCCGGGACCGAGCGAGCCGGCGAGCGACCGAGGUAAAGGUAUCGCGUCCUAGUCAGAGGCCACCAAUGUUGGAUUUCAUUUUGUAGUAAAGUACCUUAUGAU